AAGAAGCUAGAAAAAAACAGAGCAAAAACAGAAGCUAUACGUGUGUGAGAGAGUGAGAGAGAGUAGCCGUCAACCCGACCAGAAAACCCGACCCGGAACCCGCAACCCGCAACCUUGACCCGACCAUAUCUCCCAUUUCCGGCCACCGUUUCGGCUGAGCUUGGUACCAAUCUGAAGCUUAGAAGCCGACCGUCGUUCCCCUGCCAUCCUCGCCGCCGAAAACCAACCGGAACGCCGGCGAUCGAAGCUUGAAACCCGCGACUAUUUCACUUUGUUCCGCCAGGAUUUUCGCCGAUUUUGGGUGACACCACCAGUUGGAUUUUGUUCCCCACGACUCCCUCUUCCAUUUCCGACCAUCCAUAGGCACCGAGAGUCAUUGUUUUGCCGCCGGUCGAUUGUUGGAAUUCACGACUGCCGAGCUCGAUUCCGGCGCCGUUGCCGCGCGUUGGAGCUCACCGCCGGUACCAUUGAACUCAGCGUGAUUGGAACUUUCAGAUUUGAGCUUCCUAGCCAGCGUUGACCAAUUUUCCGUGACCGUUGACCGGCAAGGGCAUUUUGGUAAUUUCACACUAUGAGGGCAAUUUUGUAAUUUCUGAGCCUGUGGAUAUUUUAGUAAUUCCUAGAGUUGAGGAUUGGGUGUAAUUACGAUUCCGAGGGUAAUUCGGUGAUUUACGAUUUCGGAGCAUGUUAAUGAUUUACGGACUCAAGGGCAUUUUGGUAAUUUUAUGGACACGGGAGUUGUCAAUUAUGGAUAGAUGUUCGUUUCGAGUUUAUUGCAUAAAUUGAGUCGUAAUUUCGAUUUACGGAAAAUACUUAUGUCGUUUCCUUGAUUUAGGAGGAUCUGCGAGCCAGAACCGAUCCGCGGACGUGGACGAUAACCGACUGUGAACACCAUCACUGUGAGUGGAAUAUACAAAACUUAUUUUCAUAGUUAAUUAUGAUAGUAAAAUAUGUUUGCGAAAUAAGUAUUUUAAAUGUUCUGAUUUAAUGAUUUCUUCGAAAUGGAUUUUAUUCACACAUUGAUAUUUUAUUAAAUGUUUGGUUAAUGAUUUUAUGUAUCGACUUUGAAUAAGCAUGAUAGUAUUUUAAAGAUGAGAAACGUGGAUUCAAAUGUGGUAUGAUUUAAAGUAUGAUUAAAAUGUAUGUGACUAUGAGUAUAAUGAUUGUUUUUGAAAUCAUUAGACAGUACCCUUCCCCUCCAGAUACAGUGAUACAUGUCAUAUGAGAUGAGAGGCCUUUGGGGCCCAUCUGAACACACAUAGAGGCUUUGGGCCGUGUGUUUGGACGCUUUUACCUUUUGGGGGCAUAUGCAUGCAGUAUGAUGAUUAUAGAGAUACAGAUAUGAGAUACAGACAGAUAUUGAGAUACAUAUGAUACAGAUAUUGAGAUACAGAUGAUACAGAUGAGUUACAGGCCUUUGGGGCCCGUCUGAGUACACAUAGAGGCUUUGGGCCGUGUGCUUGGGCAUUUUAUUAUGCAUGCACAGAUAUGAUGAGAUAUGAUGAGAUAUGAGAUGGUAUUUCCCUAUCUAUCCGUGUAGCUCCGGGGCGUGACGUUACCCAGAUAGUACGUCAUUGCCCGUCCGUUGAGGUCCGGAUAUGAUGAGAUUAUUUCCCGGGGUACUUGUUUGGUGACGAUUUUCAGAUUUGUGAAUUCUAUAUGAUAUUGUGAUAUGAUUUCCAUGGUUAGUAAUCUGAUUUAAAUGUUUAAUGAUUUAUUAUUGGUUUCUCGCUUAUGGUUUAAUGAAAUCGUAUUUGGAAAUGAGAUGAUUAUUUCUUUUAAAGUAAGAAUUAAUUUUCAAAACUACUAUCCACUCACUGAGUUUUAAACUCACCCCGUUUUUAUUAUAUUUUUCCCCCCUCACUAGGAGGUUGCAGGUACACCAGACCGACCUAGCAACUGGAAAUAUAUUUUGAAUCUUGGCCACGUGAUGGUGUUAGAAGAUAUAGAUGUUUUUGUUAGGACAUCUUGGUCAUCUUGUUCUUUUGAGAUUGUAUAAUUUUGUUAUAUUCUUCUUUUGGGAUUAAGAAUAAACUGAGAUAUUAAUAUUAAUUAUAAUAUUAUCUUUUGAGACCCUGGAGAUAUAAAACUCAGCAUUUUAGUUGAGGAUGUUGAGCACUGGAGUUUGUUGUAUCUUGAAUUGUAUUGGGAGUGUUAUAUUCAUAUUUGUAGAUUGGGAGUGGUAUAUAUAUAAAGGAGACUCUGCCGAAUUUUCGGCAGAAUCUUUACGAAUAGAAUUAUUAUCAAGUCUGUUUUGAUGAGACUAGAUAGACUCACCUGGGGGGAUUCGAGGCGGGUCGUUUCAAACAAAUUAUAUGCUGCUCUGCUCGUAACCUUGCAAUCUUGCUGCAAGUUCUUAAAAAAAAAAAACCUCAAAUUAUCAAAUACACAAAGUGUUUACCAGCAUUCUGAAUUUUAGCCGUUAAGUAGUUCCUUUUACUGUCAAAAUCAAAAUACACAAGAUUGAUCAGAAAGCGGCCUACAUGGUUCCUGAAGUUGCUGCUGAAGGUAAUAUAUCUCUUGAUGCUAAAAAAACAUUUACGUGCUGCGAUAAUUAAAAUCACAAGAAAAAUUAUCAAAUACACAACUCGCUGAUCAUCGGCAGUCUGCUGAUAAUCAAAAAACUGAGUAACACGGUUAAACCAUUCUGUAGGAUCACCACCUGAAUAUCGCGGAAAUUCGAGCUUGGCUACUUGUGGUGGAAAUUGUUGUCGUUCCCCUUCACUCUCCCCUCGGCCUGGACGUAAAGAUCCUGCCUGAUCUUGUUGGUUCAUAACUCCUUGAGAUAGGCUGAAUGACUCGACCAGUUUGCUAAUCAUUGCUUCCAAGUGGUGGAAUUUAUCGUUCAUGCCUUGUUCUAUCCGUUGUAUGUUAUUCUGCAUUCCACCGAGCUCCACUUCGACACGUUCAAUCCGCUCUUUGUUGGUUAACAUUGUUAACCCCUGCUCUGAUACCAAUGUUAGGUCUCGAUCAAAACACGAUAACAAUGAAUUAUACUUGUUCUGUUUAUGGUAAGAACAACAUAAUUUCUUUGAACAAUUACUCGAUGCUUUAUUCCUCAUAGCUGAAGCUUAUUUAUAGUAGUUAUACAAAGACUACUUAUGAUUCCAACAAUCUCGGCUCAAAUCAAUUUAAAUCAAAUAAAGCAAUUAAUAAAUAUCAACUAAAAAACAGAAAACAAAUCAAACUUUAUUUGCUUCACCGUGCGAUCUGCAACAACCCCUUGACGUGGUCUUCCCUUUAUUUGCUCAGCUAUUUUACUUUAUAAGUAAACAUCACGUUUAAACUAGACUUGUAUGGAUAUGCAUGUGACGAGUACGUGAGAUGAAGUUCAUGCAUGAACAUGCAUGGUCAAACAAAGUCCACAUAUCUGUUACUAGGCUUAGAAGCCCUAGCUGACCUCCUUGGUUGUUUAUCAAAUUCUGCAUUCUUCAACUCUGCUUUCGUCUUCUUCAUCAUUCAUUCUUUCCGAUUGAAAUCCAAGAAAACGAUUGCUUGCAACAUUCAUUCAUUUUAAAGGCUUCAAAGAGAAAAGGGUUUUUGUGAAUUUUGAAUUCUUGAUUUUGAUGUGUACUAUUCACAGAAAACGAACCGCAGAAGAAUCUCUACUACCUUGGGCAAGUUUGGGCAAGAUCCUCUGCCAUUACCAAUUCUGAUUCUUGUAACGCUGGCCAUGAUGAUCUUUCUAGUCACCGCCCCUCGGAUUUUCUCUGUUGAGUUGAGCAUUGUAAAACCCACAGAAGUCAAAACCCAUUUGGUGCUUCCGGCCGUAUUACUUGUUCUAGUAAUGCUGGUUCAAUUCCUAUCUUCAUCACAAUUUUGGCUCUCGGAGGGAUUCUUUCAGUUCAGGGUUACUGCUUUGAUUAUGUUGUUAGUUUCAUGGGACCAUAUCAGAACUAGAUUCACGCAAAAUGUUGUCCUUUUGGGUUUAUGUUGUAGAAUUAUAUGUGUUUAGCUUUAGAAAUAGGUGUGUAGUUGUGUAUGGAUAUGCAUGUGACGAGUACGUGAGAUCAAAGUUCAUGCAUGAACAUGCAUGGUCAAACAAAGUCCACAUACUUGGCUUAGAAGCCCUAGUUGACCUCCUUGGUUGUUUAUCAAUGCCCCCGUCUGGAAGAGGGCCCUUGUCCUCAAGGGCCAAGAAUAGAAAUUGCUAUUGAAUCACAGAUGUGUCCUCCCAUGUAGCUUUUUCAGACGGUAACUUCUUCCAACGUACUAGACUCUGCUCAAUGAGCUUGCCCCCUCGCUUCAGCCAUCUUGUAUCAAUAAUUCCAUCAGGUUCAAGCAUAAGAACAUCGUCAUCAUCUAUGGGGGGAAGUUCCUCGCUGCUUUCGGUUAUCUCACCCAUUACCUUUUUGAGUAACGACACAUGAAACACCGAAUGAAUUCGAGGUCCUGUCGGCAAUUGUAGCUUGUAAGCGACGGGUCCUAUCUUUUCAAUAACUCGAUACGGACCAAAAAAUUUACUUGCCAAUUUUUUAUGUACUCACUUAAAAACCGAAGCUUGACGGUACGGCUAUAACUUCAAAAACACCAGGUCAUCCUUUUGAAGUUUCACAUCCCGUUGGUGCCUAUCUGCCGUUUGUUUCAUUCGGUUGGUAGCUGCUGCCAAAUUUCUUUUGAGUUGCAACAGUAACUCAUCUCUUGCCACUAAAGCUUUAUCAACUUCAUUCACAGGCGACGCUCCCACAUGAUACAGCGGCACUGUUGGAGGUUCUAUGCCAUAUAAUGCUUGGAAGGGUGUCAUGCUAGUGGAUAUGUGAUACAUAGUGUUAUACCAGUAUUCUGCCCAAGGAAGGAACUCAUGCCACUUACGCGGCCAUUGAUGAACAAAACUCCGCAAGUACUGCUCGAGGCACCGGUUGACUACUUCCAUCUGACCAUCGGUUUGAAGGUGAUAUGCCGAACUCAUUUUGAGUUGCGUGCCCGACAUCUUGAAGAACUCUUGCCAGAAUUUGUUAAUGAAGAUUGGAUCUCGAUCGCUGACUAUGGAUUUGGAUAUGCUGUGCAACUUCACAACGCCAUCUAUAAAGUCUAUUAGUGUUCCGCCACUGUCUUUGCUGAGAAUGGGUGAGACAAAGACAUGAAGUUGGCUGAUUUGCUGAGUCUAUCGACCACAACUAAGAUGGUAUUCUUGCCCUGCGACAUCGGUAAUCCCUCAAUGAAAUCUAACGUAAUGUCACCCCAUACCUGGCAGGGAAUGGAUAGCAGUUGGAGCAGCCCCGUCGACUUAAGAAUUGAGGGUUUGGUGCGUUGGCAAAUCUCACACUUGCUGACGUAUUGUUGUACCGAAUGGAACAUUGACGACCAAUAAAACUGUUGUGCCAACCUUUUAUACGUGCGUAGGACUCCUGAAUGGCCUCCAAUUCUUGUGUUGUGGGAGUUUCGAACAUAAGCGUUUCUCGUAUCUUCUGAGGGACCACUACUUUCCCAUUAAAAAAUACUAACCCAUUCCGCGUCGUAUAUGGUUCUGCUGUUUGAUUUUGGGCAAUUGUAGUAACUCGUUUCAUGUACUCAUCUUCCUCCGCUGCCGUUUUAAUUUCUUCCCGAAGAGCCACAUGCGGCACAAAUAAAUAAUUAAGCGUCGGGCUAUCAGGUCACCGCGAGAGGGCGUCGGCAGCAGUGUUGUCACGACCUGGCCGGUACAAGAUUUCAUACUCAUAAACCAUUAGUUUGGCAAGCCACUUCUGCUGCUCUGGCGUUGCGGCUUCUGGUCCAAUAAAUACUUCAAACUCUGCUGGUCGAUUUGAAUUAUGAAUCUCUGCCCCAAAAUAUACGGCCUCCACAUUUUGAUGGCUUCAAGUAUUGUCAGCAUCUUUUUGGCGUAAAUAGACCAAGACUUCUUGGAUACCCCUAGUGCAAGACUCAUAAAUGCAAUGGGUCUCCCUUUUUGUUGCAAAACAGCCCCGAUUCCAUCACCUGACGUGUCAGUUUCGAUAAUGAAUGUGUCGCUGAAGUUCGGCAUAGCCAAGGUUGGCGUACUAGACAUUGCUUGUUUGAGUCUAUUGAACGCUUCUUCAGCUUCCUCAUUCCAGCCAAAUUGACCCUUUUUAAGCAAGUUGGUCAAUGGACGAGCAAUAACACCAUAACCUUGCACGAACUUGCGAUAAUACCCGGUUAGUCCGAGAAACCCCCACAACUCUGUUAUUGUUUGUGGUCUGGGCCAAGACAACAUGGCGGCAAUCUUUUUGUCAUCAACUUUAACGCCUUGACAAGUGACGAUAUGCCCUAAGUAUUCCAGUUCUUGUUGGCCGAAUGUGCAUUUACUGGCUUUGACAAAGAACUUCUGUUGUUUAAGAAUCUCCAUAGCCUAUUUAACAUGGUCAAGAUGACUAUUCCAUAGUCUGUUUAACAUGGUCAAGAUGACUAUUCCAAGAGGGACUGUAAAUUAGUAUGUCAUAAAAAAAAACAAGAAUAAACUUCCUGAGAAACUGCCGAAAUAUGGUAUUCAUGAUGGCUUGAAAUGUUGAAGGAGCGUUGCACAGUCCAAACGGCAUGAGUAGGUAUUCGUAGUAGCCGUUGUGAGUGCGGAAUGCUGUUUUGUGAACAUCUGGUGAAUUGAGUCACACCUGAUGAUAACCGGCACAGAGGUCCAGCUUAGUGAAGUAGGUGACUCCAUAUAGUUCGUCAAGCAUGUCGUCGACGGCGGGAAUUGGAAAUCGAUCCUUGAUUGUGGCUUCAUUGAGGGCGCGGUAGUCCGUGUAGAACCUCCAGCUCCCUUUUUUUUUUUUUUUAACAAGUAAUACUGGAGAAGAAAAAGGGCUGGUUCUAGGCCUUAUUAAUCCAGAAUUUAGCAUCUCCUGUACCUGCUUCUCUAUUUCUGCCUUUUGGAAGUGAGCAUAGUGGUAGGGCCUGACGUUGAUAGGUUCUGUUCCUUCUUUAAGUGUGAUAGAGUGAUCAAUUUCACGCUUAGGAGGUAGUUGUGUUGGCUCUUGAAACAACUCUUCGUAAUUUUUUAAUAACUCCUGCAUGGUUGCUGGUGACGUGGCCUCUUCUAAUUUUAGAUGAAAACAAAUUGCAAAGGCUUCAUGUCCCAGUCUUAUUUCUUUAUUAACUUUUGCCACUAAGGGCGUUUGUAAAGAUUGAGGGUUGAGGCCCUGUAGGUGUCGCGGCUUAUUGUUCCAAUUGAAGUUCAUGGUGAGAGUUUUCCAAUUGCACUCCACCGUCCCUAGCUCCUCGAGCCAUUGUAUACCAGCACCAAAUUCAAUCCUGAUAUGGGCAACGCAUAGACUGUUAGCAAAAAAAGAAUGUCUUGGAUUAGAAUUUGUACCUUCUCAAACUUCCCUUGACACGCCAGUUUUUCACCAUUCGCAACUCUGACCGAAACGCCGCCGUUAGUUUUAUUGGAAGCUGCAGUAGAUUAGCUAGACGUGUACUAAUAAAAUUAUGUGUUGACCUGCUGUCGAUUAACACCACAAUCUCAUAGGGUCUGAUUUUCGCCUUGACACGCAUUGUUUGCUGUGCUGUCCAACUAGUUAAGGCAUAGAAGGUGAUUUUGGGAUCCUGUAAUUCUUCUGGAUGGGUUAUAGCUUUAAUAGUUUCACCAGGGUCUUCUUUGCUUUCCAAAAUUAAAAGUUGGGCCUUUGUACACCGGUGCCCUGCCGUGAAUUUCUCAUUGCAAUUGAUGUAAAAUAUGAGAGAAAAGUAGAAUGGACAGAAGCGUUUUUUCAUUGAUAUUUGAUUGAGUAUAUAUACAUAUAUGACUGACUUGCUAUACAUGGUAGGAUCCUUAUAAUUAAGCUAUGCAAUCAAAGUCUAUUGUAAUUUAGGAAUACAUAUAGAAAGAUAUAUUUACAGCUCAAUAUAAUGAAUAAAUUGAUUCUACUUUCCAAUACUCCCCCUCAAGUUGGAGAGUGAAUGUCCAGCACUCCCAACUUGCGAACCAUAGGCAUGAAAAUUUCUUUUCCUAAAGCUUUGGUCAACACAUCAGCAAGUUGAUUUGCGGAACUUACAAAUCUCGUUAUCACACAACCUUCUUGUAUCUUGUCUCUUAUAUAAUGACAAUCCAUCUCUAUGUGCCUUGUACGUUCAUGAAAAACUGGAUUAGCUGCUAUAUGUAAUGCAGCCUUAUUGUCACAAUAUAGCAGUGCAGCCUCUUGAUGUAAAAUCCCCAAAUCUCUAAGUAAGUAACGAAGCCAUGUCAAUUCACAACAAGCUCCAGUCAUUGCAUGAUACUCUGCUUCGGCUAAGGAAAGGGAGACGGUUUUCUGGCGCCUCGAUCUCCAUGAAAUCAACGAAGGGCCCAAGAACACACAAUACCCCGUAGUAGAUCUUCUUGUAAGGGGGCAUCCUGCCCAAUCCGAGUCACAAUAUGCUCGCAACCGAAGAUCACUAAUUGAUGAGAAGAAGAGGCCUUAGCCAGGAGCAGAUUUUAAAUAGCGCACAACCCGUAAAGCUGCCUCCCAAUGAUCAUUCCGGGGUUGGUGCAUAAAUCUGCUUAAUAUAUGGACAGCGUACGUGAUAUCGGGCCUCGCAACUGUGAGAUAUAUUAAUCUUCCAACUAAUCGCCUAUAUCGCCAUGGGUCUUUGAGUGGAUCACUUUUAUCAGACAACUUUAAGCCACGUUCUAUGGGAGUAUCAAUGGGAGCUGCCCCUAAUAACCCUGCAUCCUUAAUAAUUUCCGAUGCAUACUUUCUCUGAGAAAUAAAAAUGCCCUUCCUAGAUGCAGAAAUCUCAAUACCAAGGAAAUACUUCAAGUCUCCUAGAUCUUUAAGGUCAAAUUGAUUAUGCAAGAAUUUUUUGAUAUCAGCUAUACUCACAGGAUCAUUGCCAUUGAUUAAAAUGUCAUCAACAUAUAUCAAAAGAGCAGUAAAGGACUUGCCUUGCUUCUUGGUGAACAGAGAGUAGUCAGCUUUUGAUUGUACAAAUCCAGCUGAACGUAUGGCCUCGGAGAAUUUAGCAAACCAUUGACGAGAGGCCUGUUUCAACCCAUAUAAUGACUUGUGGAGGCGACAAACCAAGUGUUCCUCCCCCUGUCGCCGAAGACCUGGCGGCAGAGACAUGUAGAUUUCUUCUUGGAGGUCACCAUGAAGAAAGGCAUUAUUGACAUCGAGUUGAUGAAGAGACCAACCACGGGCAGCAGCUAACGCCAACAAGCAACGAACAGAAAUUAUUUUUGCUGUUGGAGAAAAAGUAUCCUGGUAGUCAACUCCCUCCAAUUGAGUGAAACCCUUGGCUACAAGUCGCGCCUUAUACCGUUCAACAGAUCCAUCAGAUUUAUGCUUAAUCUUGUAAACCCAACGACAACCAAUUGGAGUUUUACCAGCCGGAAGAGAGGUAAGAGACCAAGUACCAUUUUCCUACAGUGCCUGCAAUUCGGAACGCAUUGCUGAUUGCCACUCAGGGAGAACGAUAGCUUCUGAAUAAGACCUGGGUUCUGUGAGAUGACUGAUUUGAGCAAUAAAGGACUGAUAAGCAGGCUUAUAUCGGUGAUAUGAAAUAUAAUUAGCCAGUGGAUAUCGUGUACCUUUGGUCGGACCUGGAAUUAAGGAGGCCGAUUGGUCGGAGUAAACAUGUGAGCAGACGUAGUCGUGGAGCUUGACCGGUGGACCGGUGUUGCGGCUGGAGCGACGAAGUUCAGGUCCGGGUUCGGGUUCGGGUUCUUGUGAUGCAGCGGGUUCAGGGAAUGGAGGAGGCGAGGAUUGUGGGGCUGGAGAAGAUGGAUCAGAGAAGUGUAAUGGGGAUGGGUCAGUUGAGACUAGUGGGGUAGCAGGUUUAGGACGGCGGGAAUAAGUACGAAGGACAGCUUGGGGAGGGGAAGAUGGUGGUUCUACCGCGAGAAGAGAAGAGGAAAUUGGAUCGGGAGAAUUAGGAGAGAGUUAGGAUGAGGGAAUGGGGCUUGGUGGAAUGACAUGAGAGUUGAAUGAUGAGUCAAGGGAAGAAGGAAUUAAAGGAAUUGGGCUUGAUUGAUGGGCUGUCAAUGGAAGAGAAAAUUUGGGUUGGACGGAUGAGUAAGGAAAAAUGGUUUCGUGGAAUUUGACAUCCCGGCUUGUAAAAAAUUUUUUAGUUGAUAAAUUAAAUAAUUUGUAGCCCUUUUGAGCAAUGGGAUAACCGAUGAAUAUGGAUGGUAUGGCACGAGAGUCGAAUUUGUGAGAAGUGUGAACAUUAGUGGCAUAGGCUAAACACCCAAAAACACGAAGAUGGAAAAAGGAAGGUGGUUUUGAAUAGAGAAGUUCGUAAGGAGUUUUGAGAGAAAUAACCGGAGAAGGUAACCUAUUGAUGAUGUGUACAGCAGUGAGUGCACAUUCACCCCAAAAUUGGGUUGGUAGGUGUGCUUGGAAUUUUAAUGCUCGGGCUACUUGUAGGAUAUGGCGAUGUUUGCGUUCCACAACCCCGUUUUGUUGAGGUGUGUAAACGUAUGAAGUUUGGAAAACAACACCAUGAUCGUGAAAGAAAGAUCGGAGUGAGAUAAAUUCUCCACCAUUGUCACUGCGAAAUGUUUUAAUGCGACAGUCAAAUUGAGUGGAAACAUGGGUGAAAAAGCGUUUUAAAAGAGAUUGUGUUUCAUUUUUGUGUCGCAUAAAAAAAAUCCAUGUGAAACGAGUAUAAUCAUCAACAAUAGUGAGGAAAUAAUAAGCUCUGGGUAAGGGAAGGGUGUUGAUAACGACCCCAAAUAUCACAAUGAAUUAUUUCAAAAGGUUCUGUAGAGGAAAUAACACUGUUAUUGAAAGGAAAAUGACUUUGUUUAGCCAACGGACAUAUGAGGCAAACAUUAUUAGACUUAACAGAAAAAUUCAAAAAGUUCUUAGCAAUAAAACUUAAACGAGAAGGUGUUACAUGGCCUGAGCGAUUAUGCCAGAGGUCGGUGGAUGAGAUGGUGAGAUUGCAGGCUGGUCGAUUUUUUGGUGAGGAAGGUUUUGACACAGAUUGCUUCGUCACUAAUGCCACCAAAAAAUAUAGCCCAUCUCGUUGUUUACCCAAACCAAUCGUCCUCUUCGUAGCCAGAUCCUGCAAAAUACACCAAGAAGGGAAAAACGUCACUGAACAACCCAAACCUCUUGUCAAACGACUAACUGACAUCAAAUCAACUUUAAAUGUAGGCACAAAUAACACAUUAUAUAGAUAAUAGACGGAAUUGAGAGGUAAAGACCCUUUUGCAACAAUAUUUGCUCUUUCUCCACUAGGCAACAAUACAGGCGGUAACGAGCAAUUGUUAUCUUUAUGCAAUAAUUUAGAUGAUGAAGUAAUAUGAUCUGUCGCCCCGCUAUCAAUAAUCCAAUUUCGGGAAACAAUUUUAGACAAACCUGGCUUUGUUACCGUAUUUGCUUUGGAGUGAGAACCUUCAUUUUGAUUAUUCAGGAGUGACAAAAGUUGCUUGAGUUGAGCAUCGGAUAUUGUAAGUGAGCCUUCAUUUGUGUUUGACCCCUCUCCAACUUGAUUAGCCACAUAAAUACCUUUAUGCCGAUUUGAAUUUUGGCCUGAGUUUAUUUUAGCUUUAGGAUGGCCUGGUGGGUAUCCAUGUAGCUUAUAACAUUUCUGGAUCCAAUGGCCGAAAUUCCCACAGUGGUCACACAAAGGCCUACCUCUCCCAGAGCCAAAUCGACGCCGAUCUCCUUCUUGAGGUUCUACAAGUUCUGGCGCUUGAGAGUAUGUUCGAUCGCGAGAAUCUGGAAAACCAUGAGAGCGAGUUUGUUCGGUUUUUUUUGUUGCCGAAGGAGUCAGUUUGCUGCGUACAGCCAUGGCAGCAGCGCUGCUGUUUGAAUCGGUGUUCGUAUGUGCUGAACUAAGGAGGCGCUGUUUCUCUUCUUGGGAGAUUGAAGAGUAGGCUUGGCGAAUAGAAGGCAAAGGAUUCAUGAGCAGGAUUUGACCUCGAAUUGCACUAUAAGUUUCGUUUAGACCCAUUAGAAACUGCAUCAAUUUCUGUCGAUCGGCUUGUGCUAUGUCUGAAUGUGUUGCCAAUUCAUCCCAUAAACUUUUCAACUUAGUGUAGUAAGCUGAGAGAGUUGCUCUUGUCGAAGAGAAGCAAUAUCUCGUUGUAUCUCGAAGAUGCGAGUUGCAUUGCCUUGAGAGAAACCCUCAUAGAGAUCUUCCCAAACCUCAUGAGCAGUAGGAUAAUAAGUCACACUGUCAGCUAUUUCUGGAUCGCAGGAAUUGACGAUCCAGGAAUGAACCAGAUCAUUGCAUCUCGACCAAAUUGCAUAGCCUUCAGGAUCAGUUUCUUCUAAAGGAACUUUGAUAGAACCAUUGACAAAUCCGAGCUUGUUUUUGGAGUUUAAAGCUCGAACCAUAACCCUUUUCCAACCAAAAUAAUUAUCUCCAUUUAGAGGUUUGGAGACGAGAAUCAAUCCGGGGUUAUCCGAAUGGUGAGCGAAGAAGGGAUUGGAGAGAUUUGCCUUGGAGAAAUCUGCAGAAAUCUUUGAUUUUUGUGGAUCAGAACUGCUGGUUUUUGGAAUAUCUUCAAGGGCCAUGAUGGCUGAAAGAGAGAUGCUACACGAGAGAUUAAAGUGCAGCGAGUUCUAGCUCUGAUACCAUGUAAAAUAUGAGAGAAAAGUAGAAUGGACAGAAGCGUUUUUUCAUUGAUAUUUGAUUGAGUAUAUAUACAUAUAUGACUGACUUGCUAUACAUAGUAGGAUCCCUAUAAUUAAGCUAUGCAAUCAAAGUCUACUGUAAUUUAGGAAUACAUAUAGAAAGAUAUAUUUACAGCUCAAUAUAAUGAAUAAAUUGAUUCUACUUUCCAAUAAUUGAAGCACAAGCCUUGUGCUCGCCAGUGUUGCAUCUCAUCCUAGCUCAGUCUUUUGUAUGGCGUAGCUGGUGAGUUUCUGUUGGCGAUUGGUGAUGUUGAUAAUGCACGAUUGCUGAACGCUGGUCGUACUAGCUUUCUCUGACGUGUGAGUUGCUCAUCUUUCAUCCGAGCUAGGAUGAUGGCUUCCUUGAGAGUCUUUGGCCUCAACAUACGUAUUUCUUCCGAAAUCUCUGGUUUGAGUCCCCCCAUAAAAGUCCCCACCAGUGCUCGCUGCGUCCAUCCGUGCACCCAGCUGCCCAAUCUUUCAAAUUCUUUAUGAUAAUCUCGUAGUGACCCAGUUUGCUUCACGCGCGACAAUGCUUCGUCAAAAUCCUCGCAUUCCGUUGGUCUGAAACGAGCCCACAAUUCAUCAACGAAGGUUUUCCACGUCACCAAUUGUCCUUCUUCCUGGUAUGCUCGGCGCAACCACUGCCACCACUGGUUGGCUUCCCCCUCAAGGUGGUACGAUGCUAACACAACUCGCUGAUCAUCGGCAGUCUCCUGAUAAUCAAAAAACGGAGUUACGCGGUUAAACCAUUCUGUAGGAUCAUCACCUGAAUAUCGCGGAAAUUCGAGCUUGGCUACUCGUGGUGGAAAUUGUUGUCGUUCCCCCUCACUCGCCCCUCGGUCUAGACGUAAAGAUCCUACCUGAUCUUGUUGGUUCAUAACUCCUUGAGAUAGGCUGAAUGACUCGGCCAGUUUGCUAAUCAUUGCUUCCAAGUGGUGGAAUUUAUCGUUCAUGCCUUGUUCUAUCCGUUGUAUGUUAUUCUGCAUUCCACCGAGCUCCACUUCGACACGUUCAAUCCGCUCUUUGUUGGUUAACAUUGUUAGCCCCUGCUCUGAUACUAAUGUUAGGUCCCGAUCAAAGCACGAUAACAAUGAAUGAUACUUGUUCUGUUUAUGGUAAGAACAACCAAUAAUUUCUUUGAACAAUUACUCGAUGCUUUAUUCCUCAUAGCUGAAGCUUAUUUAUAGUAGUCAUACAAAGACUACUUAUGAUUUGUAGCCAACAAUCUCGGCUCAAAUCAAUUUAAAUCAAAUAAAGCAAUUAAUAAAUAUCAACUAGAAAGCAGAAAACAAAUCAAACUUUAUUUGCUUCACCGUGCAAUCUGCAACAACCCCUUGACGUGGUCUUCCCUUUAUUUGCUCAGCUAUUUUACUUUAUAAGUAAACAUCACGUUUAAACUAGACUUGUACGGAUAUGCUUGUGACGAGUACGUGAGAUCAAGUUCAUGCAUGAACAUGCAUGGUCAAACAAAGUCCACAUAUCUGUUACUAGGCUUAGAAGCCCUAGCUGACCUCCUUGGUUGUUUAUCAAAUUCUGCAUUCUUCAACUCUGCUUUCUUCUUCUUCAUCAUUCAUUCUUUCCGAUUGAAAUCCAAGAAAACGAUUGCUUGCAACAUUCAUUCAUUUUAAAGGCUUCAAAGAGAAAAGGGUUUUUGUGAAUUUUGAAUUCUUGAUUUUGAUGUAUACUAUUCACAGAAAACGAACCGCAGAAGAAUCUCUACUACCUUGGGCAAGUUUGGGCAAGAUCCUCUGCCAUUACCAAUUCUGAUUCUUGUAACGCUGGCCAUGAUGAUCUUUCUAGUCACCGCCCCUCGGAUUUUCUCUGUUGAGUUGAGCAUUGUAAAACCCACAGAAGUCAAAACCCAUUUGGUGCUUCCGGCCGUAUUACCUGUUCUAGUAAUGCUGGUUCAAUUUCUAUCUUCAUCACAAUUUUGGCUCUCGGAGGGAUUCUUUCAGUUCAGGGUUACUGCUUUGAUUGUGUUGUUAGCUUUCAUGGGACCAUAUCAGAACCAGAUUCACGCAAAAUGUUGUCCUUUUGGGUUUAUGUUGUAGAAUUAUAUGUGUUUAGCUUUAGAAAUAGGUGUGUAGUUGUGUUUGAAAUUUCUUAAUUGUUACAUAUUACUAGUUAAUCAAUUCAAAGUUGGUUCCCUAAGCCUGAAGCAUUGGCAAUAUCUUGUAAUUCUUUGAGUUAAGAUAUACUUGUAAAACUAGGGAUUUUUUUCUUGAUGCGAGAUUUGUAGUAUUUGUGUACUAUUAUCAUUGUCAAUGAGAAGCUUGGUUACAAAAAUUUCAGUUAUUUUUCUUCAUUUCUUUUCAGUAUUUUGGCUUUGUUGUUUGGUUAAUUAAGUCAUGAAUGGUUUGUCUUUGAAGCUUCAGGAUCAGACUCUGUUAACUGAUCCUAACAGGCAACUUUUUAAUCAUUUUCAUAGAAAAAUCUCCACCUGGAGAAUGUUUUGCUCAUUCAAUUCUAAAGAGGGGUUAAAUUUAUGAGUGUGUUGCCAUGGAAUCAAUCAUGAUGAUAUUAACUGACCAUUCUUCUUUGUUCCCCCUAUACUUAUUGAUAAGAUAAGGUCAGUAGGUCACAGAUUAAAUUAAGAGACAAACCAGUGCUUGUACGGCAAAAGAGUCAUCUUAAUUAGUACCUAAUGCAUCAGCUUGCAGAGGUAAAGCAUGUUUUUACUCGCAUUAACUUUCAUAAUAUGGUUGAAGCUCGAUUAAAAGAAACUAAAAUGCCUGCUCAUGAAGAUACGAGGGAAUCUAAAUUUCAUACCCAGAAACACUAGCAAGUGCAUCCCUUGUGGCCUGAGACACUUGCUUUAGAUGGAUUUUGUAAUCAAUUUAUACAUAAUGACAUGGCAAUCAAUUUAUACAUUAAUUAUAAUCUUUAAAUGGAUUUUGUAAAACUACAGACGUCAGGAUUGAAUUUCUGCAUUUGUUGACAUUAUAUGCAUUUAUGUACUCAAACCCUUUUCAAAUAUGUUCUCUAUGUGUGUUAUAAACUAAAAUUGGAUUUGGACAGAGGAACGUCACAUGUAGUUGGGAGGCUUACAUUCUACAGUUCAAUGUGUGUUACUUCUUAUGGUCUUAAGAUAAGAAUUUUUUCACAGGAAAAGUGAGAAAAUUCACCAAGAAGAAUGAAGAAAAGAUUUCCUUCCCGUGACUAAGCAAUUGGAGAUGAAGAAUGAUAAGUAGCAACCAAAUCGAAGGGGACAGAAUCUGUGAGUCUUGUAGACCAUCAGCUAAUCCGAUCUGGCGCAAGAGCUUGAAAAGCAAAGAAAUUGUCUGAAUGCCAGCUUCAUUACAGAGAGUAGGUUAUGCAGAUAGAAAUGCUGUGAAUGAUAACAGAAAAGAGAGCCCUUGAAUUGGCUAAGAUGGAAACCAAAAAUUUGGAAUCUAGAGCUAAAAGCAUUAAAGUUUUCCUUGAAAGACAAUACACGCACAUUCUCUAGAAGGAUACAUCUCAGAAGAUGGAAGUUUCCACUUUAACUCGUAAGAGUGUCUGAAUUGAAGCUUGUGCAAAAAUUUUCACAGAAAAAGCCUCUCAGGAAUAUCAAGAGUGGCCUUUUGGAGAUUUUGAAUGAGAAGGAGCAGUAUUAGUCAUCUAUAGCUUUUGGCUCUGUCAGUUAAGGACUUGAUGCAGAAUUAUCCAAUGCCAAGCACCGAGGGAGAAAAAAUCUAAAAGAAGAAAAUGGCUCAAGUCAAAAUCUGGCAUAAUGAUGUAUCAUUUCAGAAUAUAAGAAGAAGAGUCUUGAGGGCCUUUAGCUAAAGAUUUUGAAUUCUGGACUACUAAUCAGAGAAAGAGGCAGAGCACAGCUAAAAUCUGGUCUGGACUUUAUUUAUUUCCACCAAUUAAUUUCUGGUUUUGCUUAUUCAUUUAAAAAGCCCACUCAACCAAAUGGUUGUGGCUCAAUUGGCGGCGCAGGCUGGGUAAGUGGGAAGAGCUCUCGGGUUCGAUCUCCACUAAACACACCAUUUGGGAGGGGUAAGGAGCCUUAACUGUAACUACACCUCGAAUCCGAAUUAGUCGGGACCCAAUGCGGUCGCCGGAAAUCGGGUGGUUUAAACCAAAAAAAAAAAAAGCCCACUCACGUAUAAAAAAUUCAAAAUAAAUAAUAAAUAACAUAAAUAAAAUGUUCACAAGUAGAAAAGCGAAUAAAAGUUGAAAAUUUAUUACUGAAAUAGCUUAAACUUAUAAAUUAAUAACCUUUACUUGCAGAAAAAGAAAAAGGGUAGGGUAAAAAUUUGAAGUUGUGACCGUUAUCGUUAGGCUUAUGACUAGAAUCGGCGCGCCAAAAAUCCUGACUUUAACUGCCCCAAGUUAAUGAUUUAACGCGUUUCUUUCCCAAUCGAUUUAGGAAGCUUAUUUCUGAGUUACCCAAAUUUAAGUAGGAAACCCACUUCAAGUAGAUACUAUCAUAGAAAACAUUUAAACUAUCAAAAGUUCAGAACGCAAAAAGGCUUCUAGAAAUCCAUUGUUAAUUUCUGAAAACAGAUGAUAGAAUGUAGCAAUUGCGAAACAAAAUUGCUGGAAGCAAAGCCUAGCUAUUAAAUUGAACAUCAAGUUUACAAAAAAAUUGGGUGUGUUUACAAUUUUCUAGAAAUAAAAAUUUCUAUUCAUGUACAAAAAAAGAAACCGAAAAGAGAGCCCUAAUAUUAUUUGUCCAAUUGGGUUUAAGCUACCACCGAAAACAAUCGCGCGUAAACGAUCUAACGGGACCCGUCUGAACGCCAAUUAGCUUCUCAAAUUCCUGGGUAACAUAUAAAGCAUCGUUCCAUUCAACAGUUCUUUGAAUCUUUUCUAUCGCAAGCCUGGCGAUUUCCCUUUCUUUUGGCCUUUGCAUCUUCUUCAACUCCAUCUUAGCGGCUCUGAUUCGAGCUUCAGUAAGAGCUUUCUCCUUUUUCAAUCUUUCCUUUUCAGCUUUAUUGCUUUCUUUCAGGAUCAUGUUUUGUUGGCAUCUCAAUAUAGUCUCAGCAAACCUGGUCCGGAUCAUUGCAGCCCGGAAUCUGUUUUCAGAUUCAACGGACAUGUUCGAACCAGAAAUCGAAGAAUUAUCUCCCAAUGUGUUCUGGUUCUUGAGAUUAACAUUACUUCCACCAGCGACUUCAAGAAAACUAUAGGUCCGUUUCAGACCAAUCGCACGCAUUUUGAUUUGGGAAAUGGACGAAACUCUUUGUGGGUUCUAAUUAUUUUUCAAGAGGGUCUGGGAAUUUGCAAAAAGAUUGAGAAGAUUUAACGAAAUGCUUAUGAACGGAACAAAGGAAUGAUCGUACGUAGUGGGAUUGGGGAAUUACAAGAAUUAGGGUUUUGUUGGACAAAAACUGAAAGAGCAAAGAGUUGAGAGAGUUUUUAGUUGAUUCUUUUUCCUGAGUGAAGUGGGAAUUAAGCAAAAACGCGGUUAAAAUCUUUAUGAUUGAGAGAUGUGGAUAAAGCCGUUAAUACCGCGCACCAAGACUGUUCUCUCUAACCCUAGUAGAGGUUAACGGUCGAUUUUGUUGAGUUUCAAAUUUCCCUUUUUCUUUCUCUGCAAGUAAAAGCUUUUUCUUUUUUGUUUUUAAAUCUAAUUGUUUUAAAAAUAAGGCGCUACUUAAUUUUUUUAUUUUAUUAAUUUUUUCUAUCUUUUUGAAAGAAUAAAAAAUAAUUUUUUUAAAUUUUUUUUUAUUUCCAUAUUUUGGAUAAUAUGUUCUGUUAUAUAAAGGGAGGUGUUUGUUCGAGUUUUUAAAAACAUUAACAACGCCCAAAUUAAUGCUCUGAUUACAUUUGAGAGAAAUGGGUGCCUUUGUACCUAUUAGUUUUUUUUAAAUAAAUUUUUAAAUUACUGAUUUAGGUCUUUAAAAUGGGUAUGAAUCUUUUCACUUUGAAGAGGUAAGCGACACUUGAUAAUGGUUGAAUUGAUCAAUCUCCAGGUGAAUUUAGCAAUUGAAAAUGAAUAAUGGGCAUGAUGAGUGCAAUGAAGUGAAAAGGGUUGUGAAAUAAAUGCACAUUUGGUUUGAUUUUGAGGAGCUAGAAGGGUUAAUGAAGCAAUAUAUGCUUUAGAGAAAAUGGAGAACCUUAGAAUGAAGCUGCAAUUGCUGGAUUUGAUAAUAAGUUGUACAUGAUUUUGUUAGAAUAGUGGGGAAACAGAAGAAUUUGCCAAGAAUGAAUGAGGUCUAUAGAGAAAUGUAAGAAAACAGCAACGUUUCAGUGAAAGACUAUUACAUCACAUGCCAUUAGCAAACAGUAAUAAGCACAAAAUAUGAACUCUGACAGGCAAUUCUAUGUGGUAAAAAACUCAAGAAUGCAGCUAAGACCAAAAAUAAUUGCCUCAACUAAAGAAUGCUCAGAAAUCAUUCCAAGCCUUGCCAUUUUGGUCAAUGUGGGCAAGCAAUGGUAGCACAAUAACAAAAUGUGGAAGGCUCAAACAUCUAAGAACUAAAAGAUGCACCGUAUAAUUGGUUUGUAAAGCAAUUGAAUCACAAAGUUUACAGAAACGAGGUCAUAGAAAUGUAAGGAAGCAAUGAAUCAAGCAAGGUUUCGAUGCUUCAUCAUUAGAAAAUAAAAUUAGUCGAAGUUUUACUGUACAUGGUUGUAGCAGAAGAAAAUUAGGGAACUCAUUUUAUUAAAACAAAGCAUUUUAGCCCCAUGAAAUAGGACCUCCAUAGAAUAAUUUAUCAGCUCAUUUUGAACAGAAGAAAACACAACUCAGAAGGGUCAACACAACUUAGAACUGUUGUUCCUGAAGCUCCACAGUGGCACAGACACACCAUUUACCAGUCCAUUUUCUUUAUCAUUCACUACCAAUGAAAGCCAAAAUGUGGACUGUGCAAACAUCAAAGAAUGAAUUUUGUUCUUCUAAACAUCAAAUUGAUAAUGUGUAAUGUGGAGGAGCAAUGGAAUAAAUCAACGAAUAUAGGAACAAAAUUGAUCCAUCAAUAAAUAAUUUCUCACAAACAGGCUCUACUGGUAUGUUUUCUUAACAGGAUUACACCUUGAUAUUUUCAAAAUUUAGCUUAGUUCUUGACAAUGGCUGUCAUGUUUGUAGAACAAGCUCCAUGCAAUAAGAUGUGCACAAGAGGCAGGGUAAAGGUAGCCAGAAUUAAUCGAAUCGGGCUCUAUAUAAGUUGAUUGGAGAAAGAAAUUGCAGAGUACAAUUUCAACACAUAACAUUAAUGUAGAGUAUUACAAUGAAGCCAUGAGUGGUAAAAUCAAUAGCAGUAUUACAUUACAUAAAUGAAUCAAAGAAUGGCUUAAAAUGUGGAACCGAAGAUUGUUCCAUGAUCAGGGGAGAUAAUCAUCUUCAGGCUGCCUACGCCAGAGGAAAUAACAAUCAUCUAUCCACCUUGGAUGUACCAAGAACUUCUCCUCUUGCUCUGCCCAGAGACAAUCCUCAGGUUCCGUAGAGACCAAAUGCGCAACUGAGGAGUCAAUUACUAUUGUGCACGUGGCUCCCAUCUCCUCUGCCCUUGAACUGCUUCGUAUAAAAUCCGCAAAAUCACUGAAAAGUAAAGAACAUCCCUUGAGAAUCCCACUACGAAUUUUCGGCAAGUAAGUCCGAACAUCUCCACAGACACUGUCAUAGAACAACCUAUGUAUUGUUUUCAGAACUCUCAGAACGCUUGCCAAUGCCCCUUCAUUCUCACUUUCAUCAGUCAAUGUCUCAGAAUAAGAUUUGUGAUCGCCUUUCAAUUCUUUAUCUCUAAAGUAGUCAUAUUUCGCCACAACAAUCAAGUUUUCAGUGUGAUCACUCCACACACUCUCAGUGUCAUCAAGAAUAACAAUGCCCCUCUCUUGGCCCAAUACUAGGUCCAGGUUCUUCCUAUCUUUUCCGUUGAAAUGUUCCCGAGCAAUGAUCCGGGAACUGAAGUAUUUGGAAUCUGGGUCCAGGAGCUUGACAGCUGCCUUAGCGUAACAUCGGGUACCCAUCCAAAAACUUCUUGUUGAAAAUUUUAAUAUACUCGUAAGCGCACGAAUCUAGAGAUAGAAUAGUGGUAACGAGGUCGAUCCCACAGGGAUUGUUAUAAAUUGAAAAGUCUAAUUUAAAUCUAAAAUUAAUAUUAAUUCUAACCUAGUUGACCAAAUUGAGUUUCUAAGAAAAUUAAACCAAUUAAACUAAGGAAGCAAUUUAAAUAAAGGAGAAUUCAAUAAGAUAAGAAUUACCAAGGUUUCAGAAUCCACCACUAUUCAACUAGUAAUUAUCUAAUUAUUAAUUAAUCCUCAAUUUUAGAGUGACAACUCGAAAUCAAUCUAUGUCAUCUCAUGGAUAUAACAAUUAAGCCCAAAUAAUUAAUCUUGUGUAAGUUCUUUUUCUGCUUAAUAAUAUGACAUCUAAGCAUUCCAUGUAAACAUAUUGAAUAACAAAGAGUCAAAGUUUUCCUAAGCACUCCAUGUAAAAAAUUUAAUGAAAGACAUAAAAUCAAAGAUAAUUAUGUAUAAACUUUAUAAAUCCAAGCAUAGAUUUAAUCAAAUAUUAAUCUUAACAAUCAAUAAUGCAUGACAGAAUUGAUGAAAAGAUUUUAUCAAUAUCCAAUUAAUCAUGUGAAAUAAAAAUCAUAAUCAUCAAAGAACAUAUAUAGGGAAUUAAUUAAAUAAAAAGAUAAUUAUUUUAUUGAAUAGAGUUUCAUCCUUAAUCUCAGUAUAAGAAAAUUAGCUAGACAUACUUGAAUUAAGAGCAAUAAAAGAGAUAAAACCAGCCAUGAGAAAUAUUGAACUGUUGCUGCCGAUUGCUCUCUUCCAGCCUUGCGUCUCUCUCCUUUGGCGGCUCCUCUCUCCCCAAAAGCCAAAAGCUUAGCUUUCUUAUAUAGCCUUUAAAAUGGGCCCCACCUUGUCAAUCCUAAAGCCAAAAGGGUUUGGCCUUUUAUUUGUUUUGCUUCACUCACGUGGGCACUUUGAAUUGUAAUAGGUUUCCUUUUCCCAUUUAUGAAAGCCAAGUGGGGUCCAUUCUUAAAGCUAAAAUCAAUUUCUCUCUUUUGUCCGCAUGUGCAUGAUGAAUUAACUUGUUGAAUUCGGUUCCUUGGCUUGAUUUCCACAUGCAUGUAUGUCUAAUUCCUUCCAAAAAUCAAUUAAUCUUUAAUGUUUAUAAAUUGAACUCCUUUAUGCUCUUUUUCUUCAUAAUCUCCAAUUAAUUUCUUAUUCAAUAAAAUUAUUCAAUUAAUUAAAAAUAACAAAUAAAUAUAACUAAUAAUUAUUUAAUUAAUGGUAAAAUAUGUACGUAUUAUAUGCUCAUCAGGUACCCAUCGUGCAUACAUACAUCUCAAACAAGCUACUGGCUUGUUCAAGAAAAGUGCGCACAAAUGGCCUCAACUUCACCAAAUUGUCAUCAUCUAUCUGGAAUAAACUGCCAUUGAAAGGAUGAACUUGCUUCUUCAAAUAUUUCUCUCCGGAUGAGUGGCUUUUAAUCUUUCGACAGUGGAGCAGCGUAUGGUGUAAAUCUAGAACAAGAUGGAGCUUCCUCUUCCUCAACAAAGCCUUUGUGCUUCUUUUCUUCAAACCUAAAACUUCUUCUUCACUGUACCUUAAUCCUGGCAGCAUAUAAUCAAAAGAUAAACCGAAAGAACCAUCCAUGCCUUGGUUGCAAAAAAUGCACCUUCUGUUCCGAACAGUAGAAUGGGUGCAUGACAAAAGCGGCUCAGAAGAACAAGAAUCUACACCAGCGAAACCACCACAGCUUCUCUUGAUAACAAACUUUGUCUUCCUAACACACUCGAGUUUGUAACUGUAUUUCCCCAUUUUGUGUGUUUUGAUUGUUUGUUUGAAGAGGGUUUUGAAAAUUUGCACGAAAGGAUUUUAAAAGAUUCAAAGAACAAAGAUUGAGAAGCCCUAGAAUGAAUGCCUGUUGCUAGAAAUUGUUUUUAUUGGGUUUCAAUCGGUAAGAAUUACCAAGAAAAAGAGUCAUUUGUAGAAUUUCAAAGAGAUUUUAUUGAAACAGAGUUGAGAGGUAGUGAUUGUGUAAAAAAAAAUCUUUUCCUGAGUGACGUGGGAAUUAAGAAAAAACGCGAUUAAAAUGGCUAAUGGAGGGAUACGGAUACAGUAGUUGUUAGAACUCAAAAGACUUUGGAGCCAAGAUGGUUCUCUCUAACCCUAAGCUAAGCCUAUUUCCUUUCUGGGCAAGUAAAAGCUUUUUCUUAAUUAAUUUAACUGUUUAAUGAAAUUCAGUGUUAUAAAAUAAGACGUUAAUAUGUUUAUACUUAUAUUCAUUCUUUCUUUUUCUUUAUUUUUUCAAAUAAAAAAAUUAUUUUACCUUUUUGGUUUCUCUGUAUACUGGUGCAAGUGGGUGCUUGAGUUUCUUAGUACAUAUAAACUAACGAGUUUACCUCAAAUGGUUUUAAUGUCAAACAAUUUCAGGAGUCAUUUGUUAAGGAUGACUUUACUGCAUAACAUCAGAUAUUUUAUUAGAUAAUAUUUAUGUGAAAAAUAAAAAUUUUCCUGCAAGUCCUUAGAAGUGGUGAACAGAGGAUUAUGUAAUUUAGCAUUUUAGUCAAGUGCUUUAUCAGGAAUCUCACAAUGCGCAGACUGUGAGGCUGAGAAGGAUGACGAGCCGGUUGAGGUGUUUUGUAAAAUGGCGGCGAAGAAUUGCAUAUGUUCUGUACUUUGACUAAUUGAUAGAGGUCUAGUAGAGGUUAAGUGAAGUUCUUGAAGUUUUUGAACAGCCGAAGAAGAGUGAUUUGAACCGGAAGCGCAUACUUGCAAUGCUCUUUUGGGGCUUAGUGUUGGUCAAUGAGGAUGCAUAUAAGAUGAUGGACGAGAUGGGAAAGUGUGGCAUUGGUCCGAAUUCUCGACUUUAUGAUAUAGUCAUUUUCUCAUCAACUAACAGAGGCUAGACAAAUUAAAGAGGCUUACUCAGUUUUUCAGAGAGCAGUAGUAAGCCACCUAACCCAGCCAACUCUGAGUACCUAUGAAAUUUUUAGGAUGCUUUGCAAUCAAGACCUUGUAGAUAUGGCAAUGAGGAUUUGAGAACUGAUGAAGUCAAAGGGCGUGCUUCCUAGAAUGCACAUUUUAUUUUGAAUUCACAGUCUAAACUUGGGAUUACUCCCAUUUCAAUUUUUUUUCCCCGGAUAGCACAUAAAAUGGUUAGAUGCAAGAAUGGAAAAAAAUGAGACAAGUCAAAAUAUUGCCCCAGUAUCAAGCUUCUGUCAACCUUUUACCAGUCUGUGUCUUUUGGCAAGCUAAGUAAUUGAUCAAAGGAGACGCUUCUGGUAGAAAGAUAUGAACCAAAACUUCACUAACAAAAUCAAAAACUCUGAAGAAAACAUCUCACAGCAUAGCUUUUGUGAUUUACAAAGCCAAAAAUACGAAGAAACAGAGAAGAAAAAGCCACAAAAGUUUUUCUGAUUUUCUGAUCUGAGAUGAUUGCGACAUAUUAUUCAGGUAGAAUACCUUCAACACCAUGAAUAAACGUCCAGUCACUCCGAUACAAGUUAAGCGACAAGACUAGCUAAUCAAGAGACAAGUCCUUGCGAGUUUGCUUCGUAUUGAUCUUAAACCGUCCAAGAAUGCCGUUCUUGACUGAAAUCAAUCAAAUCAUGAUAUGAAAUCUUGCAAGGAAACAUAAUAUUUCAACAGAGUACCUUGAUUAAGUAUCCACUAUAAGAUCAUGCCAGCAUUAAGAAAUAUUAAUAUUUCAGAAGUUUUAGAGCACAUGAGUUUACUUCAUCAAACAUAGCAUGCUUUUUCCACAGAACAAUUUUUUAUAAUUUCCUCUGCCUUUCGAGCUCUUCCACUGGAACAAUUAGUCAUGAAUACAUCAAAGUGCAACAUAUCUUAAGAAAGUUUCAUGCUCUCUAAAAUUUCUUAUGUACACUAAAAAUUUUCAUGUACUCUCAAAAUUUUCAUCGAAACCUAGCUGGUUCAUAUAGCUGGACCGACCUUGUUAUAUCUCAAAAUUUUCCCGCACAAUCAAAGAGAUAAGAAAAGUUUUGACUCUGGACUACCAAGCUAAAGUGUGUGUGUAUAUCUAUUGUCAUGCUCAAGUUUGGACGUCAGAACCGAGGAAGCCAGCUUAUAAAUUCGUAAACAUGGAGGUCUGGACCUACGUAUUUUCACACAUAUGUAUAUGUUGAUGAAGAGUGAAGCUAAAAUCAGAAAUUAUAAUUGAGUCCAACAAGUCAGAUAUAUAGUCAGAAAGUAUCUGCCUCGUCGUAUAGUCUUCAACGACAUGUCGGUUGAUAUCUCGUUUUGUAUAUACGGCAUUAACUCAAUGUUGUCUGGGGUGUUUAGAGAGGCACAUGACUUGUCACAUGCGUCACUUAAAUCAUUUGCCUCAAAUGACAACAGUAGCUGCCGUUUUGAAGAUAAUAGCUUAUACAGGUGUGGUCAAAGCUGUUUCAAAUGUUUGUUGAAGUUGUUACAAAUGGCGGGAAAAAUCUGGGUUUGUUACAAACCGACUAACCGACAUGACAGGUGGAGGAGCUUCCUACAUCGAUUUCUAAUUGUAUAUAAAGCCUUGGAGCUUAUCCUUUGACACACUAAGUUCAUUUACAUUUUCUCUGAAGCAUUGUAUCUUGUAAGCGCACUGAUAGUAAAAGCUCUCUUCAAUUUUCACAAUGGAUGUAAGCAUAAUCAUGGUCGAACCGUUAUAAUAUCUUGCGUUAGUUUUAAUUUUUAUUGCUUCUCUGGGUAAUUGAUUCUUGUGGUUGCGUUAGAUACUGAUUUUGAUCAACAACAUAGGGUUAAUAGGACUUGAUUUAAGGGGUUAUUAGCUCAUUAGCUUAGAUUAGAUCUUAGGGAGUGUUGCUGAACCUUCACAGCCUUCCCACUUGAUAUCCGGUCUUCCUUAUCUCGUGCAAUUUAAGGGGAAACAACUACGGGCAUCGAACUCACACGCACUCUAUCAUGCGUAACAACACUCCUCUUCUUUUCCUAUGGAAUUUGCAAUAUUUUCAUUUCUUCACUGGGGCCAUUCUAAAUCAAUUCCAACUGGAACAGAUAGGAACCAAUAGAAGGCAACUGCUGGAGCGAACUACUCAUUGCUGUCUAUCCCCAACCUAAGGAAAGGGCAUUCGAAGAGUAGUAUUGUUUUGAGGGAGGGACAGCGUGGUUGACGAGCCACUACGAGGAGGCGACUGGAGUGGAGUGCUUUUAUCAAAUGAUGCAUGUGGCUGAGCCAUUCCCAUUCCAACUGGUUGCCCAAACGAGAUUCUUCAGAUAGCGGAGAAAACCAUUUCUCUAAAAAAUAGAGGCUCGGUAAAUAUUUCAGUUGUAUCUCCUUUUUUUUUCUUCGAAUGGUUGAGUUUUAUCUAAAUUUGUGCUGAAUUGCUCAUGGUUUAUGACGCAAAAUAUGCAGUAAUAUCAUUGCUCUGUAUGCUGGUUUUCUGAUGCUUAAAUAUUAAGCCUUAGAAUAAAUAAAGAUACCAUCGGCUGGUGUUAUGACAAAACUACUGGAUUGAUGAGUGCAAUUGCUUAGCCGUGGUGCUCUAUUUGUAAGAGUAGCCACUUCAUGUGAAUUGCUAAAGUGUAAGACUGAAACCUGAAACACCCCUUUAUCCUGCAUUUACCCAUUUUUGGUGAACAACCUUUUCUGCUUUUGAGAACAUAUUGGUGAGCUUUUUCUUAGUCAUAUUUAUUUAUUUUUCAUAUUAGUCUUAAUAUAAUGCAGCAUGAACUUGGUUCAAUGUCUGUUUUAGCUGAUCCUUUGAGAAAGCAUGUCCGUUUGGAUCAUGACGCUGAGGCCCAAGCAGCAUCCUGUUGUGUAAGUAUAUUUUCAUUUCUGCAUAAAGAUGAAAAUAUUACAUUUGCUAGAGUGACUUUAUUACAAGUCCUUUUCCAGCUUCUGGCCCAGCUUUUGUACUUACGCAGGUGUUACCAUCCUAUAGUUGCUACAAUAGACAGCUAAAAUGUGAAGUAUUUGGAAAAUGUCUUUUAGUUUUUGCACCAAGUUAACGCUUGCAUUAUGGUGGUUCCUUUGUUGGAGGGCUCUUCAACACCGUAUCUAGUUACAAUUUGGUUACGUAUUUGCAGCGUUCCUGUGUUAUUGAAUUUGAUGAGGAAAUCCUAGACUGCCUAGUGUAGCCACCGUGCUGAUGAUGGAAGUUUGGUACACAGUCACACUCACUAUUGUGAAUCCGUUUAUUUCUUAAACACAUUUAUCUGUUUAACCAUUUUUUUUUAAUAGAUUUGUAAAUCGCAAGAGGGCCUGGCAUAACAACAAAUAAUGUUGCCGAAUAUUGAGACUUGAUUUUGGGAUUGAAAUAUGCCCUUCAAUACGGCUUUUACAACAUCCGUGUGCGGGAGACUCCAAACUUGUCUGUACGAAGGUUUGUGCUACCGUUACAAAAUAUUUUUUAAAAAAAUUGGAUUUUAUGAUUAGCUCAUUGAUGACAAUGUUUCACGAUAUUCUGAUUGUUAUCUCGUUGGUUCCUGAACUUCUUCUUUUCCUAGCUUUUCUUGCACAGGUUGUUUCAUGAUGCAGGUUGUUGGUGUUGGAGAAAAAUACAGGUUUUUAAAUUUUUAUAAAACCUUUUUAAAAUCGCUCUUAUAUAAUAUAUAAGAAUUUGUAAUCUAGAAAUCGUACCUUGAAAAUCUGAUUUAGAUUUUUCCGCUGAAGUGAUUUAGGCUCCCAGAUCAUAAUCCGUCACCACCACGCCUGUUAAAUCACGAUCCGUCACCACCACGUUGUUAGAUCACGAAAUGUCACCAAUGAUCUUCCAGGUUAUGACUCAGGUUUGAUCUGCACUUGACGUGUGGGCGCCUUUAUCACUACCAAAGCAACUAGCACGAGAAAUUUUUUCUCUCAACAAUAGAGAGAAAAAUCUUUUUAUCUGAUCUGUAUAAAGUGGCUGCUAUGUUUCUUUAGAGAAAAUAAACCUUUUAUAUCUCCCUUUAGUGAAAACCCUAGGCUCCAAAUAAUAAAAAACAAAAUUCACGUUACUUACUUUUUCUAUAGGGGACCCACCUUGUAAAAUAACAUAAGGCCCCUACACACAAGCUAAUUAAAUGGAGCUCCCACUAAAUGAUAUAUUUAGGCUUUUGACCCAAAUAGCUAGUUAUCUUGCUUAUUAAUCCAGUAGUGGUACAGUCAAUUAAAUGAGCUAACUCGGAGAUCAUUUGGGAAUAUACAAUAGUGGCUAUAACAAUUAGGCCUGUAAUUAAAUUAGCCUAAUUAUUUAAUUCCAAAUCUACUCCACUAAAAGAUUAGAAUUGACCUCCAUAAUUGUAUGCUCGAAUAAUAAUUCGUCCCAAGCCACAUUGAUUUCUUUACUGCACAAUCCUUUAUACCACAUCAUUAAUUAAAUCGAUAUCUCAACUGUCCAAUCAAUUUAAUUACAUCUUGUUCCUUGACACUUACUAGUUUUCUCUAAUAAUCAUUUUCAACAUACUAAAUAUGUUGACACACUCUGGCCAGAGAAUUCUAUAAUUAAGUGCCGAAAACCUAUCAAAAGAUGUGUUGUACAAAUUCUAUAUUGUUAAUCCAUAACUCUAAUACUCAUAAUUGCUCCCACCAAGAUACCGGGUAAUCUUGCCACAAUUGUGUGUCGUGCCCAUUGGUAACUCAAAUGGAAUAACAAUUACAAUCACGAAAUCAUAACUAACUCAAGAUUAAGAUUACAGUAAAAUCAAUGCCUAUGAGAUUUAAUAAGUCUGACAGUCAUUUCAAGGUUAAUUAAAUCUCAUAUGUGAUCCUGUUCAAUGUAGUCGUACUACAUCAAUAAAUUCAUACAUGAUUAAGACAAAUCAUUCAAUGAAUUCAUUACAGUCUAUACCUAAAUAAAGUGCCCAACUUUAUUUAUCAACUGCGAACUAAAUUUAUUUAAUCAUAAGAUAACUUAUAUUUAUGUCUUCUGUGAAUCCACAUGGUGAUCACAUAAAUACAUAUAAUAUGAUUAAAUGGACUUUGAUCAAAAUAUUAAUGCAAUUAAGAUAUUUGAAUAAAAUACCUCAUUAAUUUUAUUAAUCAGAAAAAAUGUUUAUUACAAUUAAAUAAACACAUAUGCUUUUAAAGAGCAUAUUUUCCCAACAGUUGGUUCAUGGAAGACCAUUCACCAGGGCAUGGCUGAACUAUAUGGGGAGGCCAAGAGGGUGAGGAUAAAUUGCUUUCCAUAUAGAUAGCUUAUGUUCUAAGGGUGACUAUAGUUUUUGUGCCUUACGGUUCUUAUGGCUUUGUACAAGAUAAUGUCUUUAUUCUCCCAUUGACUCCCAUGUGUUGGUUAUAAAAGUUCUCGCUGCUGCUUUUUCCUUUUCUUGCACAAGUUUCUGAUGUUUUUCUUUGCACAUUUGGAAGAACCUGAACUCUAAGGCUGAUGCUCGAGCGAACGUGGCUGCUGGUCUUAUUGGUGAGGCUGGCUUAAUUAUUUGACUGUUAUGCCAUUCACAUUGCUUUAAUCAAUCCAUGAAUACCUAAUUAGCUUUAUCUGUUGCUCUAGUUGGUGAAUUUGCAGAGAAGCGCGCGAUUUAGUGCAUACGAUGAUUGGCUGUUGGAUACAUUUUAGGUUUGUUUUAGAACGAUUGUGCAUUGAGAUGUAGCAAACAUCAUUACUCUUAAGGUUAAAAAUUUAUUAUCUAUGAAGGUGAUAUUGGCCAUUCUCAGAACUCAACUCUGCAAAUGAAUGAGCAGGUUUUUUGCAACUAGAUUUGGUGGUGUUAAUAGGAGGUCAAAUAACCUGAGCGAGCCCUUGACGACUUUAUUUUGUUUUCACAUUUUGAUAAUAGAGAAUACCAAUUGAUUAUGAACCUCACCUGAGAUCGGGCUGAUCAAAAGAGAUAAGAAAAGAAAUGUACAAACCUAAAUGCUAAACUACUCUCUUUUGGGAAAUUUACAAAAAUAACCAUAAAACUUCUACUAUUUUCACAAUUAACCCUCUAAACUUUUUUCUAUCAACAUUAGCCAAACACAAGCUUUUCUCCCCAAAUUACCAUUGUUUACAAACCAAAAGCAACUUUCUUUCUCCCCUUUCGUCAAACCAAACACAGCUUUCCACUCUUGAAUCAUCACCGGUGACGGCAAAAGGCACCUUGUCGCACCAAGAGUAAAUUCAUUGCAACUGACUAUUAAUUUGAUAGUGCUCAAAUAGUUUAUUUAUCUUUUAUAAUUUCAGGCUUAAUGGAUUCAGUUGUACUUUAAUUGUGUUAUGAUGGUUGGUGGGAGACAUUAGAUGAUGGCCGUAUGGAGUAUGUAAAUGGUAAAAAUAGAGUUUUUUUGGUUGGGAAAAAUUGUUUGUUCGAUCAGUUUUUGGCAAGAGUAUACGAGAUGUUACAAAUAAAUCCUAAUGAAUAUAGCAUCACAAUGAAGACAACUUUGAGGUCUAAUAACACAUUAUAUCGUAUAUGUGCACUGCCCAUGGAUAUAUUUGAUGAUGAAAUGGUGAGGGUUGUGUUGCAUAUGGCAUCCAAUGUAGCCAAUUUUGGAUGCAUUCCUAUAUUCGUUACCACAUAACCUUGAGUUUCGAGCGAAGAUAUUGAGCGACAUGUCGAUACAGAAACUUCCUUUAGAGCAAAUAUGUCUGGCCCCGAUAAUGAUGAAGAGGUGUUGCCAAGGACAAUGUCACUGCAGCAAUAUUACUCUCCAAUCCACGAUAAUUAUGACAACAUUGAUGACAACGACAUUACGUUACAGGAUGUUGGAGAAGAGGUAUUUCCAAUAACGACGUCGUUGGAGCAACGAUAUUCUCUAUAUCACAACAAUGAUUUCCGAGACAAUGAUGAUCUUCAUGAUGAGACAGAUGGGGAUAAUGUUUGUGCAGAGCCUUCUAAUAGUAUGAGGGGCAGUCAUUUCAAUAAUGCUGGUGAUGAUGGAGGAGCUGGUCCUUCGAAUAUUCCGUCGUUUCAGCAUGAGGAUGAGUGUGAAGACAAUACUUCUGUGAAUAACAGAGGCAAUGGACCUAUUCCUCCAAUGGUUCGAUCGAGAAGGAGGAUUGACCCCCUCACAAGUCUUGCUCCAAUUUUACCUUUGAACAUGGUUGCUCUAAGCUUUCUUAGCAGUUGUGACUCAGAUGAUAUCAGUGUGGGUAAGUUAUUUGCUGAGAAGAAUGAGUUUAUAUUACAACUACGCAAGGUUGCCUUUAGGGAUAAGUUUGAUUUUAAGAUUGCACGGUCUAAAACGACACGUUUCGAGGCUCACUGUUGUUCGGAAUCAUGUAAAUGGAGUAUUCGAGCAACUAGAAGUUCGAACGAGCAAAAUGUUCCUUGGGUGGUGCGGAGAAUUGACAAUGUACACACUUGUCAUAAUGAGGUAUUGGUUGAUAGACGUCAACAAGUAAGGAGCUGGGUUGUCGGUCAUAUUAUCGCAGAUAAAUAUAUUGAAGACACGAGGAUUUAUACCCCGAAUGACAUAAGAGCAAAUAUGCAACAGGAAUACGGUGUUCAGUUAACAUACCAACAGGCAUAUCGGGCCAGAGAAGUUGGUCUUGAAAUAGUUCGAGGCAACCCUGCAGAGUCAUACAACUUGCUCCCUAAAUACUCUCACGUAUUAACUAAAGUGAAUGAGGGUACAGUCACUCACCUCGAGCGGGAUGGAGAUGGUAAUUUCUUGUACUACUUUGUAGCACUUGGAUCUUCCAUCAAGGGCUUUAUGCAGUACAUUCGGCCUGUCAUUGCUGUAGAUGGUACUCAUCUCAAGGGGCUAUAUCGUGGAAGCAUGUUCGUAGCAACAUGUCUUGAUGGUAAUAAUCAAUGAUAUCUAUUAGCCAUUGGGGUCAUGGAUUCAGAAAACAAUGAUGUUUGGGAAUGGUUUAUGAUGAAGUUACACGAAGUGAUUGGCGAUAGACCUGAGUUGGUAAUUAUCUCUGAUCGAUGCACUGCCAUAAGGAGAGCCGUUCUUAAAGUAUUUCACAAUGCAACUCAUGGCGUUUGUUUUUAUCAUGUGAAAGGUAACAUUAAGUCAUGGUUUAGGAUGUCCAAAGCUCUUUGGGAUGAAUUUGAGCCUGCCUUUAUUAAUGCAACAAAAGCAUAUGGCCACGAGGAAUUUAAAAGACAACUUAAAGGGUUGUGGAUGAUCCACUCAGGUGCGGCUGAUUACUUAGAAAAUAAUGUCGGUACGUGUAAUUGGGUAAGGUCUCAGUUUGAAGGUAGGAGGCACAACAUACUUACCACCAACAUCGUGGAGAGUGUUAAUUCUUUCAUUAGGGAACCACGAAAAUUUCAUGUUACUCAUCUUGUUGAUUACUUUAGGAAAACAUUGCAGCAAUGGUUUUAUGAUAGAAAAAUUAUGGCUGAAUCAAUGAGUACAACAUGGGCAGAUGAAAUAGUCACUGAGAGGAGAACUAUAGCUAAAAGAAUGAUAACCGGCCGGUGUCUCCACACCAAUUUCAAGUUGUUGGUGGUGGGAUUAAGGAAGGUUUGGUUGACUUGCAAAAGAAAACUUUCUCUUGUAGAGUGUUUCAGCUUGAUCAGCUUGUAUGUGCUCAUGCAAUUGCGGUGUGUCUAACUGUCCGAGUGGAUUUUAUUAACCUUUGUUCAGACUUUUACACUACAAAAUCGUUGGCGAUGGCUUAUGUACAAUCGUUUGUAUUUUAAACAUUUUUGUAACAUAUAUGAAAAAUAAAAUGAAAUUGAGGCGGUUAAGGAUUUUAUUAAAAAGAAUAGAAUAAGCUAGAAACAAGGAACAUAUACACACACGUGUGAGAGUAAUAGAAGCUAUCAACUAACUCGGAAAACCCGACCCGACCCGCAAACUUGACCCAGUCGUAACUUCCAUUUUGGGCCACCGUUCCGGUCAAGCUUGGUACCAAUCUGAAGCUUGAAGACCGGCCAUCAUACCCCUGCCAUUCACGUCGCCGAAAAACAACCAGAACGCCAGCGACCAAAGCUUGAAAACCCGCGACUGUUUCGUUUUGCUCCGCCAGGAUUUUCGUCGAUUUUGGGUGAUACCACCGGUUGGAUUUUGUUCCUCACGACUCCCUCUUCAUUUUCGACCAUCCAUAGCCACCGGGAGUCAUUGUUUCGCCGCCGAUCAAUUGUUGAAAAUUCACGGCUGUCGAGCUAGAUUUUGGCGUCGUUGCCGCGCGUUAGAGCUCACCGCCGGUACCAUUGAACUCAGCUUGGCCAAAAGUGUCUAACUUGUGCUUCCCGCCCAGCGUUGACCAAAUUUCGGUGGCCGUUGACCGGCAAGGGCAUUUCGGUAAUUUCACACUAUGAGGGCAAUUUUGUAAUUUAUGAGCCUGUGGAUAUUUUAGUAAUUCCAAGAAUUGAGGAUUGGGUGUAAUUACGAUUCCGAGGGUAAUUCGGUGAUUUACAAUUUCAGAGUAUUUUAAUGAUUUACGGACCCGAGGGCAUUUUAGUAAUUUUAUCAACAUGGGAGUUGUAAAUUAUGGAUAGAUAUUCAUUUAGAGUAUUAUUGCAUAAAUUUAGUCAUAAUUACGAUUUAUGAAAAAUAAUUAUGGCGUUUCCUUGAUUUAGGAGGAUCCGCGAGCGAGAACUAGGCCGCGGACGUGGACGAUAACCGAGCGUGAACACCGUCACUGUGAGUGAAAUAUACAAAACCUAUUUUCAUAGUUAAUUAUGAUAGUAAUGCAUAUUUGCUAAAUAAGUGUUUUAAAUGUUAUGAUUUAAUGAUUUUCUCAAAAUGGAUUUUAUUCACGCAUUGAUAUUAUAUUAAAAUAUUUGGUUAAUGGUUUUUCAUAUCGAUAUUGAAUAAAAUAUAAUAGUAUUUUAAAGAUGAGAAAAGUGGAUUUAGAUGUGAUAAUGAAAAGAAAUGUGGUAUGACUUAAAAUAUGGUUAAAAGGUAUGUGAAUAUGAGUAUAAUGAUUGUUUUUUAAAUCAUUAGACAGUACCCUUCCCCUUCAAAUACAGUGAUACAAAUGAGAUGAGAUAGAGGUCUUUUGGGCCCGUCUGAACACACAUAGAGGCUUUGGGCCGUGUGUUUGGGCGUUUCUGCCUUUUGGAGGCAUAUGCAUGCGGUAUGAUGAUUACAAAGAUACAAAUAUGAGAUACAGAUAGAUAUUGAGAUACAAAUGAUACAGAUGAGAUUCGGAUCCUGUUUAUCCGUGUAGCUCUGGGGCGUGACGGUACCCAGAUAGUACGUCAUUGCCCGUCCGUUGAGGUUCGGAUACGACGAGAUUAUUCCCUAGAUACUUGUUUAGUGAUGAUUUUCAGAUAUGUGUAUUUUAUAUGAUAUUGCGAUAUGAUUUCCAUGGUUAUUUAGUACGAUAUUAUAUAUGCUUUUCAUGGUUAGUAAUAUGAUUUAAAUGUUAAAUGAUUUACUAUUGGUUUCUUGCAUAUGGUUUGAUGAAAUCGUGUUUGGAAAUGAUAUGAUUAUUUCUUUUAAAGUAAGAAUUAAUUUUCAAAAACUAUUAUCCACUCACUGAUCUCACUGAGUUUUAAACUCACCCCGUUUUUAUUAUAUUCCCCCCCCCACCAGGAGGUUGCAGGUACACCAGAUCGACCCAGCGACUGUAAAUAUAUUUUGAGUCUUGGCCACGUAAUGAUGUUAGAAGAAAUAGAUGUUUUUGUUAGGACAUCUUGGUUAUCUCAUCCUGUUGGGAUUGUAUAAUUUUGUUAUAUUAUUCUUUUGGGAUUAAGAAUAAACUGAGAUAUUAAUAUUAGUUAUAAUAUUAUCUUUUGAGACUCUGGAGAUAUAAAACUCAGAAUUUUGGUUGAGGAUGUUGAUCAUUGGAGUUUGUUGUAUAUUGAAUUAUAUUGGGAGUUAGAUUGGGAGUGUUAUAUAUAUAAAGGAGACUCUGCCGAAUUUUAUUGCUUUCUAGAUGGCUACUCAGGAUAUAAUCAGAUUCUUAUAGCACCAAAAGAUCAAGAGAAAACUACUUUCACUUGCCCUUUUGGCACUUUUGCAUAUAGGAGAAUGCCAUUUCGAUUAUGUAAUGCACCUGCUACAUUUCAACGAUGCAUGUUAAGCAUUUUCUCUGAUAUGGUUGAACGAUUCCUUGAAGUCUUUAUGGAUGAAUUUUCUAUCUUUGGUGAUUCAUUUGAUCAAUGUUUACAUCAUCUAACACUAGUUCUGCAGAGAUGUAUCGAGAAGAACUUAGUCUUAAAUUAGGAGAAGCGCCAUUUUAUGGUAAAACAAGGUAUUGUUCUCGGUCACAUCAUUUCGAGCAAAUGUAUUGAGGUUGACAAAGCCAAGGUGAAUCUCAUUUCUAAUCUUCCUCCACCCAAAACAAUCAGAGAAGUAAGAUCUUUCCUUGGGCAUGCUGGUUUUUAUAGACGUUUCAUUAAAGAUUUUAGCAAAGUUUCUAGACCUUUAUGCAAUCUACUUGUUAAGGAUGUACCUUUUAUCUUUGAUGAUUCAUGUCUUGUGGCAUUUGAAAAACUAAAGCAAUUGUUGACAUCAUCACUCAUCAUUCAGCCCCCAAAUUGGAGCUUACCAUUCGAGCUCAUGUGUGAUGCAUCUGAUUAUGCAGUAGGAGUAGUUUUAGGAUAAAGAGUUGAUCGAAUUUCCCAUGUUAUUUACUAUGCUAGUAUGACAUUGAAUGAUGCACAGUUGAACUAUUCAACUACUGAAAAAGAAAUGCUAGCAGUAGUGUUUGCAUUAGAGAAAUUUUGAUUUUAUCUCAUUGGUUGUAAAAUAAUUAUAUUCACAGAUCAUGCUGCUCUUAAAUAUCUACUCACAAAGAAAGAUGCAAAAGCUAGACUAAUUCGUUGGGUGUUACUUUUGCAGGAGUUCGACUUAGAAUUUAAAGAUAAGAAAGGCACAGAGAAUAUUGUGGCUGACCAUCUCUCCCGUCUCCAUUUUGACACAAUUACAGAACCAUUAACAUUGAAUGAGUCAUUUCCAGAUGAACAAUUGAUGAGUGUGGAAGUAUUACCAUGGUAUGCUAACAUCGUGAAUUAUCUUAUUACAGGUCAACUUCCAGAGCAUUGGACCAAGCAAGACAAGGCCAAAUUUUUUACAGAAAUAAAGAAUUUAUUUUGGGAUGACCCGUAUUUGUUCAAGUAUUGUGCAGAUCAAAUUGUUAGACGAUAUGUCCCAGAAAGUGAAAUUCAGAAUAUCCUUUCAUUCUGCGAUGAACAAGCUUGUGGAGGCCAUUUCAGCGCUAAGAAAACAACGACUAAAAUUUUACAAUGUGGUUUCUAUUGGCCAACUAUAUUUCGAGACGCUUACACUUUUUGUUCUUCAUGUGGUAGGUGUCAACGAAUGGGGAGCAUUACACGAAGGAAUAUGAUGCCACUAAAUCCAAUUUUAGUGGUUGAGAUUUUUUAUGUAUGAGGUAUCGACUUCAUGGGACCCUUUCCCCCUUCUUUUUGGCCAUCAAUACAUAUUGGUUGCUGUUGCUCAUGAGCAAUAACAUACCUGCUGACAUCCGUUGGUUAAUCGAGGCCAAAGUACGUUUGACAGGUGAGUUACCUCCAAAAUUUAUUGCAUACAUGCCUGGUUGUGGUAAAGGAAAUUAUGCAAGAAAACGAAGAGCUCGAAGAAUUUCUGUUGCUUGUCAUAAAUGUGCCAGAAUGAGAUGCAAUAAAAACCCAUGUUCUUUAGGAAUGGUGUCUGAUAACAGGGAAGAUAAGAUUCAAUUCAUUAGGGAUGGCUUGAGUAAGGAGUCAUUUAAUGAUAUCCUUUUGUCUUUUGAAACGCAUCCCAGUGGAUAUGUGCAAGGAGCAAUUCUCCAGUUAUGACCAUUAUUCCAGAAAGAGCAUGCACGAUAUAGUCUUAGGAAUCUAACUAUAAACGACCAUGUUUGCCAGUUUAUAAGAAAAUUGGAUAGGAAGCCUAUCCUCCACCCAUAGAGGGCGUUCAAGCCGUUUCUGGAUGUAAAACCAGAGGAAGAUGUGAGCCACAGUCGCAACUACAUGUAAAUAUCCUUUUACUUCACUGUUAUUUUAUCAUUUGCAUUAUUGUCUUUAAUAAUUUUAUUUUAUCAUUGUUUCUUUUUCUUUUUAUUGUUUUCUUUUUGACUCGCGAGCCAUGUGCUUUACGCGUUAUUUGACAUUGACAUGCCUCCUCAUACACAGUUGUGACCUAUUGUCACCAAGAUUCUUAAAUAUGACUUUUUGUUAAGCACUCACAAAUUAUUUUUUAGAAAUAUUCCAAUGGCAGCUACUCUCAAUAGACAAUUCAAGAACAUUUGUGUGCUUUCUGGAUUUAACUAUGGCAAACAUAAAGAGUUCGUUGAGGCAGCCAUAGAUCUUGGUCGAAGGAUAGCAGAGAGAAAAUUACACUUAGUGUAUAGAGGAGGUAACCGAGGGUUAUCAAAAUUGGUCUCAGAAGCUGCUUUUGUCAGAGGAAGCCAAGUGUUAGGUAUCAUCCCAAGAGCCCUAAAACCUUUGGACAGUUUGUCUGACUAACUGACUGGAGAAGAGUUAGUCGUCUCAGGUAUGCAAGAAAGAAUAACUAAAAUGCUUAAUCAUGCUGAUGCUUUUAUUUUCCUACUAGGAGAUCUUGCAACUCUAGGGGCACUUAUCACAUUAGCAUCUUGGGCCCAUCUGCACAUUCACCAGAACCCAUUGAUUUGUUAAAUGUCAAUAACUUUUAUGAUGACUUUAUCGCAUUUCUUAACCAUGCAAUAAAAAACUAUUUCAUUCCUUUUACAGCGAAAAAGAUUUUUAUUUGUGCUCACACUGCUAAUGAGCUACUUGAUCUGUUACAAGCUUAUCGACUAGAGACAAAUCCCAGGACCUUGGUGUUGGAGUCUCUAAUUAAUGACGGUAACAAUAGCCGUAGUAAGAAGUACAAAUUAGAUUUAACUCUCCGCUUGUAAAUAUUUUCUUCUGUGUUGCACCACCCAGGUGAUGUCUUCUAAACUCUACUUCUUUCCUUUAAAACAUUGAGGACAAUGUUUCGUUCUGGUUGGGGGGAGGGAAUAGUUGACAAUUGUGGAAUCUUGGUUAAGUUUUUACUGAUUUUUUAUUGUAGGAACUAACUAUUGCUAACUUUUUGUGUUGAAGAUGGUUGAAUAUAGAGUGUAGUUACUCUAGAAUGUUUUAAGUUUUAAAACAUUGAGGACAAUGUUUCGUUCUGGUUGGGGGGAGGGAAUAGUCGACAAUUGUGGAAUCUUGGUUAAGAUUUUACUGAUUUUUUAUUGUAGAAACUAACUGUUGCUAACUUUUUGUGUUGAAGAUGGCUGAAUAUGGAGUGUAGUUACUCUAGAAACGCAUCUUCUUCGUUAAAAAAAAAAACAAAAAAAAAAUUCCAGACACUUUCUUUUUCUUUAUUAAGCUUUGAUAUUCAUUUUUUUUUUACUUCUUCUUUUUAAUUUCUCCCUUAUAAAUAUACAUUUUCAAAUUUUUGAGUCGAAGAUGGCUGAAUAUGGAGUGUAGUGCCUCUAGAAACACAUCUUCUUAGAAAAAAAAAAUAUUUUCUUUUUCUAUCAUUUUAAGUGUAACUUUUCUAAUUAGUUUUUCUGCAUCAUUUUCACAUUUCUGCAUGCAUAUUUUCCUUUCAUGUUUAGAAUAGGUUGGGGGGGGUAGAAUGUUGUUUAAAAAAAAAUUAUGUGAUUUAUUUUAACAUUGGAUGACAUGAUGAAUUUCAAAUUUUAGUAUUUGUACUAUCUUUGGUCUUAAGUGAUGUUACGACAUGUUUGCUACUCUACAUGUUGAUGUCGAAGACAAAUAUGAGUUGCUUGAAGGAAAUGCCAAGUGAGUUUUUGAGCCUAUCAUUUUUCUUGGAGAGUAACCCUUUUGCCCAUUCUUCAUACAGCUUAGCAGUUUAUUAUUUAGAGCCCUAAAAGACGAUGGAAAUGCCAUCUUUGAUCCGUUUGAACCUUUCUAGCCAUCCCUUUUGUGAAAUAUCCAUAGUUAACCCUCUUGAGCCUUAAAAACAAAAAUCUUUUCUUUGUCAAACUUAUCAUCUUGACCCACUCCGAUUUGGAGUAUUACCCGGUAUCUUACAAGUUCCAUCACCUAUUUAUGUUUGAGAAAAAUGUAAAUAAUUAUUUUGUUCAGUGAAGUUGUGCCAAACAAAAGAAAAAAAAUUGUUGUUAAAAAAAUAAAUAAAUAACAAUAAUAGGUGAAAUCCACCUUGCAACUUCCAAAAAAAAAUUUCUCUGCAUUUUUCUCAAACAUACACUUUGUUUUCCUCAUUUCCCCUCCUUUGUUACCCAUGUCCCUAACCUACGUUACGUCCUAGUAAAAGUCCUUCUUGAUUUUAGGGAACUAUAGUAUGAAGUAGAAGCUAGUUAUAUGGACUAAAAAGAUAUAGCGGAGCAUUAAAAAAAACAAAUAAAUAAAUAAAUUGGGUUGACUAGCAUUUUUAUUUGACUUGAGAUCGUAUUAUUUCUAAGCUGGGGGCAUAUUUAUUUCAUUUUAGUGAGAGCAUGUGAUAUCACUUCUUUAUUAUUUUCUCUCAAUUACCAUUCAUUGGAGUGACUAUUUUUAUUGGGUUUAAUUUCUUUGUGAGAGUGUCAUUAUUUCUAGUGAGAUUUUGGGGUUUAACAUGUCAUUCUUGAAAGUAGUUGUGACAAAGUCUACUGGGCUGAUUCAUGUGGAUGGUUGAUGUGGGUGUGAUAUUUCUUUAGACUUGAGAUAAUGCUUAUACUUUUAUUUGAUUUCUAUCAUUAGUCUGAUUGAAUAAACAAGAUUGUUUAAAAAAAAAAAAUUAUUUUGGGUUUGGAUUUUGUUUUUGCUUUAUUUGCUAGGGACUAGCAAUAAGCUGGUUGGGGGGUGUGUUGAGUGUUAGAAAAUGUAUAUUUAUAAAGGAGAAAAUCGUCAUUUUACAUUUCAAGUCUUAGUAACACCCUUACUUUUAUGUAUUUAAGCUUCUUGUGAUUUAAUUACGUGUGUUUUAUUUUAAUUAAGUAUUUUAUGUAUUUUAUGUUAACAUGAAUAUGUUAAUAAUAUUGAUUUUGAUGAUAACAAACUUUAAAUGGUUUUUGAUAAAAUUGUUGGAGCUAUUCCUUAAUAAAUGAAAGCCUUAAUAAUCAUUCCAUUCAUAUUCAUAAAAGAUGGACUUUCAAAUUAGAAAAAGAUUCUCUGCAAAAUCUGGUUUAAAAUGUGAUUAUGGAAAUAAACGGUGAAUCGUUUUCUUUUAAAACGGUUAACCGAUUAAUACCAGAGAGCAACAUAUUGCCUAAGCUCUAACCGUUUAUGAAAAACGGAAAACACAAAAGAUGGAAAGGCUACCAGAAUUUAACGGUGAACCUUUUAUUUAAACGGUUAACCGAUAAAAUCCAGAAUGAAAGUUUGUACCUGGAAACAAACGGCAAAAGCUUAAUUGAAACGGAUAAGGCUAACUUGUUUUGUAGGUUACUGGAAACAAACGGCGAACCGUUAAUUACAAACGGCUAACCGAUAAAUUUUAGAAAGGUUAUUUCAUAUAACUCUUUAACCGUUUAGUAUGAACUAACAACUGAAGCUUAUAUUGCAGGUCUAUGGAAUUUAAUGGCUAACGGGUAAUCCUAAACGGCAAACUGUUUAUAUGAAAUUUGGCCCAACGGUAAAUUUUGACUAGCCUAAACGGUUAACCGUUAAUGGUUAACGGCGAACCGUUUUCGGGCCGACAGUUUGUAACAGCUAGUUUUUCAGCUCCAAAUAUAAAUAAGCUCAUUCAAAUUCAAAGAAAUUUUGAUCACAACACGACUAUUGAGCUUAUAUUCGAGAAUACAAUCUUCAUAGAGCUUAGAACACAUUCUUGCUUCAUCUAUUCACAUAUUGGGCAUCAUUGUGUAAUUUUAUAUAUUGUGAGAGGCAAAACAAAUUUGAAAUCUUUUGUUUUGAGUGAUUGUAAGUGUUGGGAUACACUUGGGUUAAAGAGAUUGGGAUAAUCUCUUGUUGUAAAGGUUAUUGACACCUUGGAAGUCAAGUGUAAGCAUUUGAAGCCUUGGAGGCUUGCUUAGUGGAAUCCUCAAGCCCGGAAAGCUUGGAGGCGUGGACGUAGGCGAGGUUGGCCGAACCACGUAAAAAUCUCUGUGUUUGAAUUUCUCUUCCCUUAUCUUUUUAUAUUGUGAGCAACUUAAUUGUUAUUGCUUUGAAUUUGAAUUAUAUUUGCUUUAAGUUUUUCUUUAUAAAUUGAAUAAUUUUUAGAAUCCCAAUUCACCCCCGUCUUGGGUUGCAUACUUGUAUUUCAUUUGGUAUCAGAGCCUUGUUCUCUUAUUAGGACUUAAUCGUCUAGAGUAAAAGAUCCAUGGCAACCCUAAAUACUCAACCUUUAGAGAAGGGCAAUCCACAACUAGACCACCGUUCUUUGAGGGUAAUGACUAUGCAUAUUGGAAAACUAGAAUGAGAAUCUAUUUGCAAGCUUUAGAUUAUGAAAUUUGGGAAGUUGUUUGUGAUGGUCCGUUUUUGCCCGUAACUAAAAAUGAAUUCGGGGAAGAUAUUCCAAAACCUUCAAGGGAAUGGAAUAAAUUGGAAAAAAGAAAAGCUUCUCUAAAUUCCAAAGAUAUGAAUACUUUAUUUUGUGCUCUUGAUAAGAAAGAAUUUCAUCGAGUAUCUAGUUGUGAAAGUGCUAAUGAAAUUUGGUACAAAGUUGAAGUAGUUUAUGAAGGCACAAAUCAAGUAUAAGAGUAAAAAAUUAGUAGAUACACUCGACAAUAUGAGUUGUUCCAAAUGGAACAAAAUGAGAGUGUGUACUCUAUGUAUACGAGAUUUACGGACAUAGUAAACACUCUAGGAGCCCUAGGAAAGACCUUCUCAAAUAGCGAAAAAGUUAAGAAAAUCAUUAGGUCACUUCCGAAAGAAUGGAGACCAAAAAGAACCGCUAUUGAAGAGGCCAAAGAUUUAAAUACUUUACCUCUUGAUGAUUUAAUUGGUUCUCUCAUUUCAUAUGAAGAAGAUUUGGCAGCAGAAAAAGGGCAUGAGGAGAAGAAGAAAAGCAUUGCUCUCAAAUCUUCAAAAUAUGAGAGUGAUGGGGAGAGUGAACCGGAUGAUGAAGAGCUAGCCAUGCUAGCAAGGAGGUUCAGAAAAUUCUUCAAGAAAAUCGGAGAGCGAAGAAAUUUCAGAAACUUAAAGAACCAUAGGGAGAAGAAGGAGGCAAUCACAUGCUAUGAAUGCAAGAAGCCUGGCCAUAUAAGAUCGAAGUGCCCACUUAUCAACAAACUCAAGAAGAAAGCAAUUGUUGGAACUUGGGAUGAUAGCGAGGAAGAUUCAAGUGAUGAAGAAGGAUCGCAAGAAGUAUCAAACCUAGCACUUAUGGCAAUAGGAGGGGAUGAUGAUCUCACUGAGGUAAGUGAUCCCACCUAUGAUGAAUUGUAUGAUGCUUUUAAAGAUUUACAUAAUGAGUUGAUGAAGAUUGGUAAAAAGAAUGUAUGUCUUAAAAAGGAAUUGACAAAGCUUAAAAAUGAAAAUGAAUCUCUAAAUGCAAGAAUUGCAUGCCUAGAAGUAGGGAAUAAAACAUUGCAUGAUGAAAUUGCAUUAUCAAAUGAGAAACCUAGCAUCACACAUAGAUGAGUUGAAAAAUGAAAACAAAAUGCUCAAGAAAAAGAGCAAUGAGUUGAAUGAGAUUGUUUUGAAAUUUACAAAUGGGCAAAAGAUGUUGGAUAAUAUGCUUAACUCACAAAAAUGUGUUUUUGAUAAAGGAGGACUUGGGUAUAAGGCUAACUUGAAGCAAAAAUAUUAUAAGAAUUAUUUUGUUAAAGAUACCUCCACAAGUGAUCAUAAGAUUGUUUGCCAUUAUUGUAAUCAAAAUGGUCACAUGAAAUAUAGAUGUCCCGUGAGAAGGAAUGCAUAUUAUGGUGUCCAAUGUAUUUGAGUUCCAAAAGGAACCAUUGCUAACUCUCAAGGACCCAAAAAGCUUUGGGUACCUAAAACUUGAGAUUUUCUUUGUAGGGCUUAAAGAAGAAGAAAAAUAAAUGGUACUUGGAUAGUGGUUGUUCAAGGCACAUGACCGAAAAUUAUGCAUGGUUCUUAAGCUUCACCAAAAUUGAAAAUGGUGGAGACGUAUCUUUUGGAGACAACUCAAAAGGAAAAAAUUCUUGGAAUUGGAAAUGUUGGUAAAGUUUCCUCAACUCCAAUUGAGAAUGUAUGUUUGGUUGAGAACUUGAAACACAACUUAAUUAGUAUUAGUCAAUUAUGUGACAAAGGUUAUAAAGUUAUCUUUGAUAAAUUUAGUUGUGCUAUUGAGAAUUCAUGUGAUGGCAAGAUCUUAUUUGUUGGGAAUAGAUGUGGUAAUGUUUAUAUCAUUGACAUAGAAUGUGCAUCUACUCUUAAUAAAUGUUUUUCGGCAUUGUAUGAUGAUAGUUGGUUAUGGCAUAGAAGGUUAGGACAUGCAAGUAUGGAUUUGAUUUCAAAUAUUUUGAAAAAUGAUUUAGUUAAAGGUCUUCCAAAAAUUGGUUUUCAAAAAGAUAAAAUUUGCGAAGCUUGUCAAUUUGGAAAACAAAUCAAAACAUCUUUCAAAAAUAAGACUCAUAUUUCUACCUCAAAACCACUUCAACUUCUUCACAUAGAUUUAUUUGGGCCCUCUAGAUAUGCUAGUUUAAAUGGAAAAUAUUAUGCAUUUGUGAUAGUGGAUGAUUAUUCUAGAUAUACUUGGGUAUUAUUCUUAGCCAAUAAGGAUGAUGCUCUUGAUGCCUUUAAAGUGCUUUGUAAGAAAAUACAAAAUGAAAAAGGGUAUGGUAUUGCAUGCAUUAAGAGUGAUCAUGGAGGACAGUUUGAAAAUCAUGCAUUUGAGAUUUUCUGUAAUGACUUUGGCAUUGAGCAUCAAUUUUCAUCACCUAGAACUCCACAACAAAAUGGAGUUGUUGAGAGAAAGAAUAGAUCCAUUCAAGAAAUGGCUAGGACUAUGUUGAAUGAUAAUUCUUUGCCUAAGUAUUUUUGGGCCGAGGCCGUCAACACCGCUUGUUAUGUUUUAAAUCGUGUGUUGAUUAGACCUAACCUUAACAAAACUCCAUAUGAGCUUUGGAAACAUAGAAAACCCAACAUUGGUUAUUUCAAAGUGUUUGGAUGCAAAUGUUUUAUUUUGAACACAAAAGACAAUCUUGGCAAAUUUGAUCCAAAAUCUAAUGUUGGUAUUUUUCUUGGAUAUUCAAACUCAAGCAAAGCUUAUAGAGUUUACAACAAAAAUACAUUAGUUGUAGAAGAAUCUAUGCAUGUUACCUUUGAUGAGUCUAACCCUUCAUCUACGGAGAAAGUUGUUGUUGAUAAUGAUGUAGAUGAAGACUUACAAAAAGAAUCAUCAAGCGAUAACCAAAAGGAUGCGUCUCAUGGGAAUCAAGAUGAGCAACAUGAAGAAAUGAAUGUAGAGCAAAAUGAAGGUGCAUCUCAAUCACUCCCCAAGGAGUGGAGGUAUGUCUCUUCUCACCCUAAAGAUGUAAUUUUAGGAGAUCCCUCACGAGGUGUUACAACUAGAUCAUCACUUAGAAAUACUUGUGAGCAUAAUGCAUUCAUGUCUCAAAUUGAACCCAAAUCAUUUGCGGAUGCAGAAAAUGAUGAAUCUUGGAUUAUGGCAAUGCAAGAGGAGUUAAAUCAAUUUGAAAGAAACAAUGUGUGGGAAUUAGUUCCUAAAUCGGAACAUCAAUCCGUCAUAGGUACUAAAUGGAUAUUUAGAAAUAAGAUGGAUGAAUCCGAUGUGAUUGUAAAAAAUAAAGCUAGAUUAGUGGCUCAAGGUUACAACCAAGAAGAAGGAAUUGAUUUUGAUGAAACUUUUGCACCCGUUGCUAGACUAGAAUCAAUUAGAAUGUUGUUGGCAUUUGCAUGUCAUAAAGAUUUCAUCUUGUUUCAAAUGGAUGUAAAAAGUGCUUUCUUAAAUGGGUAUAUUAUGGAAGAAGUGUUUGUAAAACAACCCCCUGGUUUUGAAAAUGAAAAAUUUCCAAAUCAUGUUUAUAAGUUGCUUAAAGCCUUGUAUGGAUUAAAACAAGCACCUAGAGCAUGGUAUGAUAGACUUAAAAAUUUCUUGUUAGAAAAUGAUUUUUCAAUGGGUAAAGCAGAUACUACUCUAUUUGUUAAGCAUAAGAACCAAGAUAUACUUAUUGUUCAAAUUUAUGUUGAUGAUAUUAUUUUUGGUUCUACUAAUGAGUUGUUGUGUAAAGAAUUUUCAUCGUGUAUGAGCAAAGAAUUUGAGAUGAGUAUGAUGGGAGAGUUGAAGUACUUCCUUGGACUUCAAAUCAAACAAAACGAGGAAGGAAUUUUCAUAAAUCAAGCCAAGUACGUAAACGAUCCACACAGACGAUUCGACAUUGAUGACUCAAAGACCAAAAAUACACCAAUGAGCACAACAACCAAGCUAGACAAAGAUGAAAAAGGCAAAGAAGUGGAUAUCAAAAUGUAUCGAGGUAUGAUCGGAUCUCUACUUUAUUUGACUGCAAGUAGACCCGAUAUCAUGUUUAGUGUAUGUUUGUGUGCAAGAUUUCAAUCAUGUCCCAAGGAAUCCCAUUUGCUUGCUGUUAAAAGAAUUUUCCGUUAUUUGAGUGGAACCAUAGAUAUUGGCCUUUGGUAUCCUAGGGGAACUCAUAUAGAUUUAACAUGCUAUUCGGAUGCGGACUUUGACGGUUAUAAAGUGGAUAGGAAAAGCACUAGUGGAACUUGCUAUAUUCUAGGACACUCACUUGUUUCAUGGUUUAGCAAGAAACAAAAUUAUGUUGCACUUUCAACUACCGAGGCUGAAUAUAUAGCUGUCGGAAGUUGUUGUGCACAAGCACUUUGGAUGAAACAAACUCUUAGAGACUAUGAUAUUAAUCUUGAACAAAUUCCUAUUAAGUGUGAUAAUACUAGUGCUGUAAAUCUUUCAAAGAAUCCCAUUCAAUACUCUAGAACUAAGCAUAUAGAAAUUAGACAUCAUUUCUUGAGAGAUCAUGUUCAAAAGGGAGAUAUUGCAUUAGAGUUUAUUUCUACGGAAAAACAACUUGCCGAUAUUUUUACUAAACCACUUUGCGAAGAACAAUUUUCAAAAAUUCGGCAUGAACUUGGGAUGAUGAAAUUUUCGCAUUAACGUCUCUAUUAAUGCUAUUGAGUGUACUGAAUUGAGUGACUUAUUUGUGAUUUAAUAUUUAUGAAAUGCUUGAGCUUGAUAGUCAAAUGAUGUAUUUGCUUUGUUAAUUCUUGAUUGAUUAUAUGAAUUAAUUGCUUGAAUACAUGUUCAUGAAUCAUGCAUUAAAAUGACUCAUAAAACAUUUUUAGAUCAGUUAAAUGAUCUUGGAAUGUAUUAUUUGCUGGCCAAAAAUUAAAUCAAAUGUGCGAAAUUAUAGUUAAAAUAAACGGAUAACCGUUUUCAAAAAAUGGUGAAUCGUUUUAUUCCAGAAACGACUUUAUGUGUCUGUCUUUUUACUCUUCACCGUUUGAUGCAAUCGGUAAACCGUUUAAAAACAGAGAGUCCUCUAACAGUUACUCUUUAGCCGUUAAGUGCUUAAGCUUUCUCCGUUGCCUAUUCUUUAGCCUCUGGAAGUUACCCCUUCACCGUUUAAAUAAACGGUUAACCGUUUUCGCGAUUGUAAAAUUGUUCAAAGGUUUUUUCUUCUCCUUCUCCAGUUACCCUUUCACCGUUUCAGCCAUUGUUGCGCAGCGGAAGGUUCCUCUGCCCUCAAAUCCUCAUUUUUCUUGCUUUUCUUGCCAAAUCAAACUUACAAAAUCAUUUCUUAUCACCUUUAGAACACUUUCACCGAUUCAAAACUUCAAAUCAAGCCCAAAAUUGAAAAAUCCCAAAUCUAAACCCUAACUGCCACGGGUCGAGUUUCUUCGUUUUUAAUCCGAUUCUUCCCCUUCUUGAACCAAAUUGAGCAUCAAAAUCACAUCCUCUACUCAUUCCUAAGCAAAUCAUCGAUUCAUUUUCUUCUCAUCACAUCUCUCCCGCAUUUUUCACACUCCAUUGUGCUUCUCCAUGGCUGCACCCCCUCGGAGAAAUCUCAGGCAAAAAUCUGUGCCUCCAAGGAAUCCUAUAUCACCACGGGAAGUCUCUGAAUUUGCAAGAAUUCAUUUCCCCACGCCUUCCUUGGCCAAGCGGUUCGAGGAUCGCUUCGAUGGUCAAAAGGCACUUGACUCCUUCUAUGUUGAAAUAGAUGAUUUCAGUAACUUAGUUGUAUGUGGUAGAAGCGUUAGGGAUAUGCUUCAGCCUUGGGAAUCUGCCAUUGACUUUAAUGGCCGAGUUUAUCCCAAUUUAGUGCGAGUCUUUUAUUCGAACAUGGAAAUCUCCGCAACUCGCCUAAAUAGGAUAGUUACUCAAGUCGGUGGUGUGCCUAUAGAGUUUGAUGAUGCGAACCUAGCUGACUUUCUUGGUAUCUCUGGUAAGGGGCAUGAUAUUUACACUUCUAGGAAAGCCCUUUUCUUUGACAGUUUUUGUCAUACUGAUGGAGUCCGUAAUAUAUGUCGUCGACGAGACUUGUAUGAUGAGAUUUGUUUGCUUCCUUUUCGGUCUCAACUUUUACCUCUCCAAGUUCGCAUUCUUUACACUAUUUUACAGCACAUAGUGACACCUAGGAAGGGUCACUCGGAUGAGGUUACGAGGUUGGAUAUUGGCCUACUAGAUAGCCUACUUUUAGAUCGUCCCAUUAACCUCGGGUAUGUUAUUGUGCGGCACAUGUUGAGUACUCCCGCAGUUAACCACUGCGUGCUUCCUUAUGGCAGUAUCAUUAUUAAGAUACUGCGACGCUUUGAGGUGCCUCUUCUUGAUACCGGUCAUAUGGAGACUAGACGGAUUGGUCCUGAGGCCAUGACUAGUAUCGGUUUUUCUAGGAAGAAUGGAGAGUGGAUAAAGACAAGCAACUCCAAAAACCGGGAUACCUUGAUUGCUCCAGAGGACGAUCGGAUGCUCAACGAUAUCUAUCCUCUCGAUAAGCUUCCUGACUUUAGAUUAGGGGCCCAUCCUCAUCCUUCGCGUCGCCGUUUUGUCCCUCGGCCUCCAGCUGACUCUGACUCUGACUCUGGGGAGCAUGCGAUGGAUGCUGACAUUCCCUCCUCUUCCGAGCCGCCUCCUGCUCCUGAGCCAUCUGCUGUUCCUGAGCAGCCAUCUACCUCUAUGCCGCCUCCACCUCCAGUUCAGCCCCCUGCUUUAGACAUUGUGCAGCAGUUGAUUGCUGAUGUUCAUCGGCUUUCGGAGCGCCAGCAGCUGAUUCUUGAUCGGUUGGACACUGUUUCCCGUGACCACCAGCAGCUACGUUCUGACUUUCAGACCUUCCAGCAGCAGUGCAUUGAUCAGCAGCUUGAGCUUAUCGCUGGACAGCGCACUCUUCUCAGCUAUUUCGGUUAUGAUCCGGGGAGCACAUCUUCUCCACCUCCAUAGUUUCUGAGUUCUAUUUUCGCACAUACAUUUCAUAUUUUGGUUGUUUGCGUGUUAUCAUUUAUAUUUCUAUAUACACUGUUACAUCUAUAUGCUCUUUCUGGAUUUUGAUGACAUAUUUUUGUGCUGUUCUUGAUGUUGGGUGACUUGAUAAUUGGUUGAUGAAAUUGUUGGUUUGUUGGAUAUUGAAGUGUUGGUUUGUUUGUUCAUGGUGUUGUUGGUUUGUUUGUUCAUGGUGUUGUUGGUUUGCUGAAAGAUGGAGUUGUUGUUAAUAUAUUUUGGAAGUGUUUUAAUCUCAUUUUGUAUUAGUGGUUUUGCUCAUUUUUAAGGGGAAACUCUGCUAAAAUUUUCGUUCGCCAAAACCAGGUAAUUUCUUUAACGGAUUUGCGUUUUUCUUUUCUCUCUUUUCUUUUUGAUGAUGAAGGGGGAGAUAAUUAUGGGUAGAUUUAGAAUGAAUUUCAAAAUGUUUUCUUGAACAAAAAUCUUUUUAUUGAACAUUUCUUAAUUUGGCCAUAUAUUUAGGGGGAGCACUUAUUAAGGGGGAGCUAAAUAUUGAAUGAAGUUUGUCAUCAUAAAAAAGGGAGAGAUUAUUAACAUGAAUAUGUUAAUAAUAUUGAUUUUGAUGAUAACAAACUUUAAAUGGUUUUUGAUAAAAAUGUUGGAGCUAUUCCUUAAUAAACAAAAGCCUUAAUAAUCAUUCCAUUCAUAUUCAUAAAAGAUGGACUUUCAAAUUAGAAAAAGAUUCUCUGCAAAAUCUAGUUUAAAAUGUGAUUCUGGAAAUAAACGGUGAACUGUUUUCUUUUAAAACGAUUAACCGAUUAAUACCAGAGAGCAACAUAUUGCCUAAGCUCUAACCGUUUAUGAAAAACGGAAAACACAAAAGAUGGGAAGGCUACUGAAAUUUAAUGGCGAACCUUUUAUUUAAACGGUUAAUCGAUAAAAUCCAGAAUGAAAGUUUGUACCUGGAAACAAACGGCAAAAGCUUAAUUGAAACGGAUAAGGCUAACUUGUUUUGCAGGUUAUUGGAAACAAACGACGAACCGUUAAUUACAAACGGCUAACCGAUAAAUUCCAGAAAAGUUAUUUCGUAUAACUCUUUAACCGUUUAGUAUGAACUAACAACUAAAGCUUAUAUUGCAGGUCUCUGGAAUUUAACGGCUAACGGGUAAUCCUAAACGGCAAACCGUUUAUUUGAAAUUUGGCCCAACGGUAACUUUUAACCAGCCGAAACGGUUAACAAUUAAUGGUUAACGGUGAACUGUUUUCGGGCCGAUAGUUUGUAACAGCUAGUUUUUCAGCUCCAAAUAUAAAUAAGCUCAUUCAAAUUCAAAGACGUUUUGAUCACAACACAACUAUUGAGCUUAUAUUCGAGAAUACAAUCUUCAUAGAGCUUAGAACACAUUCUUGCUUCAUCUAUUCACAUAUUGGGCAUCAUUGUGUAAUCUUAUAUAUUGUGAGAGACAAAACAAAUUUAAAAUCUUUUGUUUUGAGUGAUUGUAAGUGUUGGGAUACACUUGGAUUAAAGAGAUUGGGAUAAUCUCUUGUUGUAAAGGUUAUUGACACCUUGGAAGUCAAGUGCAAGCAUUUGAAGCCUUGGAGGCUUGCUUAGUGGAAUCCUCAAGUCCGGAAAGCUUGGAGGUGUGGACGUAGGCGAGGUUGGCCGAACCACGUAAAAAUCUCUGUGUUUGAAUUUCUCUUCCCUUACCUUUUUAUAUUGUGAUCAACUUAAUUGUUAUUGCUUUGAAUUUGAAUUAUAUUUGCUUUAAGUUUUUCUUUAUAAAUUGAAUAAUUUUUAGAAUCCCAAUUCACCCCCCUCUUGGGUUGCAUACUUGUAUUUCAUUUUAGGGGAAUCAUAGUCAUUUCACAAUGAACGAGAAAUCAAAUGGCAAAACGGACAUCACUUUUAAACUCAUAACAGUCGAAAACCUUAGAAGGAGCAUAAAAGAAAAAAUGUCAUUGUUCACAUGUACAACACUAUUCAUAUGUACGGUACUGUCCAUGAUACUGUCAUGACACUGUUCACACAUACGGAAUGAUGAUGUGGCAUUGACCGAUGAUGUGGCAUUGACUGAUGAGGUGUCACGAUUCUAUUGGAUAAAAUUUAUAUACACUGUUGAUCGGUGACGUGGCAGCAUGUUAGUGGACCAAAAAUCGCGCGUACGGUACAUGUAUAUACACAGGAUUAUUUUCAACCAAACCGCGUCACUGUUCAAGCCGGUUGAGUGUUCAAACCACGUGGUCAAACCGUGUCACUGUUCAAACCACGUAUUGUUGACUGAUGACGUGGCGCAAUCCUGAGCGUCCAAACUAUUUUUAAUCCGAUGGCCAUGAUUUACUCAAUGUAUCUAUAAAAAAAGGGCCUCCCCCUCUAAUUUGAUAUCUCUGAAUCUAUUUUUGGACUCCAUUUUCUAUAAUUCCUUAUCUAUCUUGUAUUUUCUAUGUAUUUUAAUAAAUUCUCAUUUUGCCCCUAGUUCAAUUAUGAGUAGCUAAUUUUCUUUCAAGCUUGGGUUGAAGGUGAAGUCUCAACAUGUGCCAUGGACUUUAUUUGGUAAAUUUAUUUUCUCUUCCCUUCUAAUUUUUGUGGAUGUUUUGACUUUUCGUCGACAAAUAAUAAUAAUCUUGUCUAGAUACCGCUUUGGUUUCACCAGCUCCCUAGUACAAGGUUAUUAUUAUUUGGCACGAUAAGCCCUUAGCACCAUAUUGAUUAGAGUGUGGUUCAUGAGGUGUGGAUUCCCCCUUCAUGAUUUUAUUGGCACUAAUAAAGAAUAUUUAGCCCAUGGUGCAUGUUGAUACGGAUCCAGAUACCCAAGCGCUUCAAUUAUAAUAGCUUCCACUUUAAUUUAAUUUCACCAUUCCAAUUUAAAUUCUAAGAUAGUCUAAAUCACUUUCACCACAACCACCAAUUUAAUUCUACACACAAUUAAAAUCCACCUCCUCGUGGGAUCGACACUCGUCACCAUUAAUCUAUUCUAUAAUAGAUUCGUGCACUUGUGAGUUCAAUAAAAUUUGCACAACACUGAACCAUCUGACCAACCUGAGGAAGAAUGUGACAAGUCUGCAACUGAAACUUCACCAACAUAGGCAGAGGAAGAGUCUGAGAAAGAACGUGAGGAACCCCCAGUCAGGACCUCUUCCAAGCUCAAGAAAAAGCACAUCAUCCAAGAAGAGGAAGAAGAAGAACCUGAAGAGGAGCCCCCCAUUCCAAACCUUUCGAGAAAGGGCAAGGAAAAAAUAGCUACCCAUCCUGCCUCUGAAGAUGAAGCCGAACGAGUUGAUGCAGAGCUAGAAGCUGCAGUAACCAGAGUCACUUGUACACCCAUAGAAGCCAAGCAGCUACUUGACAUCAUUGCCGCUAUCACAGUUGAGGGACAUACAGCUGAUGCACCAGCUCCAGCUCUUCCACAGCAAACUCCUAGCAAACCUGUUCGUGCUAGUCCUAGAGGAUCCAGCAAAAGAAAGGGCAACACUUCUGGAGGCAUUGCUGCAACAGCCUCACCAGAACAAAAAAAAGACCAGAUCGAUGUCACUCAAGCAAGCUGCCCUAACUGCAACCCCUCCCACCAGCCCAUUGAAGAAAAAGAAAAAGGUGUUGCCAGCCACCUCCCCACAAGAAUCUCCAAAGGAUAAGCUGCGAAGUGCAUCCAAAAAGCGCUGAUGUCAUCACACCAUGUUGCAGCAGUGCCCAAACAACAGAGGAGUAUCCCCUUCCUGCUAGUCAUUUUAUUCAAUUCUGAAAAACUUUUCUUUCAUUAUGUUUUCAUUUUGUGUGGUUUAUUUUCUAAAUUCCUCUUCCAUGUCCUUGUCAGGUUGUGUGAAUUUGUUGUUGUGUGCUUGUGAGGACACAACACCAUUUAAAGUUUGGGGGGAAUAGAUGUUUCUGGGUGUUUUGGAUAUGUGUUUAUAUAUGUGUUGUGUGAAGCUCUAUUAUCUAAUAUUUGUGUAUGGAUUUGAAAAUCUAAUGAAGAUAAAUUGAGUGUUAAUUAGUGAUUAUAAGAAUGACGAGUAGAGAUAGUUAUAGAUAGAGAGUGUAAUUCUGUCCUGACACCUAAACUUUGGUGGAGUUUUAUGAGAAUGCUGUAGCAGAGCCAAAAGAAUAGAAAUUAUCUUAAGUUUGGGGGAAAAUUUUACUGGAUUGUGCUUGCUAUGAAAUAAAUUCUGCUCCAAUGGCUCAAGUUGCUGAGUAACCAGAGCUGAGUAUGUACCCCAUAUGCAGAUUUGUGUCCAAAGGCAACAAGAGUUAUGAGUAGUGUUGUAGCAUCUGUUAUAUUGAUUGCUAUAUAAAAAAAGAAAAAAAAAUGAGACAAUAAAAAGAGAAAGUCCUCUGUCUAGGAUAUUGAGUAGGCAGGUCUGUUCAUGAGCCUCAUGUUCAGCCUUGAGUUAAAAGAUAUCUCUAGAUAAAAUUAUGUUACAGAUAUUGCUACAACAACUCUGAUCUGUGCAUGGCUUGAGUAAUUGGGUGUCAUCAUUAUAAUUGAUUGGCAUUCACAUGAAAAAUAAAUGUUGCAGUGAAGAGGGUUGAGUACUCUUAAGUUUUCAUUCUUAAAAAGAGCAAAAUUUGAGUAUGUGAGAUUUAUGCUACCCCAUAUGUGAAUAAAAUUGUGCUACCUCUGAAUUACAUGCAAUCUUUUGGUAAUGUUGUAGCAUUUCUAGAAUUCAAUCAAAGUAGCACACACACACUUUGGACAGAAGGAAGCUUAAGUCUAGAACUGAUUUACUAUGGCCAUUUUGCAUGAUUGAGAUUGUGAUCUGAAGGUGGAAGAAUCCUUGUAAAUUUGAUAACAGAGCUAAGUUGUGUGUUGCAUGAUUGUGUGCGUGAAGUGUUAGUAUGUUGUCAUUACUUGAGGACAAGUAACGGUUUAAGUUUAGGGGUGUGAUAACUCUAUAAAAUGAGAGUUAUUACGGCAAUUCUAGACUUAAAUCAAGACCACUUAGAGAGUAAAUGAUGUGUUUUUAUUAUAAUUUGGUUAUGUUUUGCAUAAACAUCCAUUUUAGUUUAGUCUUAAUAAGUUUUGCUUGAUUUAAAGUAAUUUGUGCUCAAAACAUGUGCAUAAUUGUAGGUUUUCAGAAGUUUAUAAUCCAUGAAGGGAUGCUGAGAUAUUAGGCUAGCAUGAAGAAGAAAAAAUAUGGCUGCAAAAUAAGUGAAACACAAUCGGGAAUAGUACAAUGUUAUAGCCGUUGCUGGAGCGACCAUUAAAGUAGCAAUCCUGGAGCACCGAGGGAGAAAACUUAGCGCGGAUUAGCUGCAUAAUUGCGAUCUACAGUUUCCUAAUUUGACUCAUGUACGACCGAGGCUUUUGUUUACCCUAGUUUACAAUUAUAAAAAUAGGCGCGCAUCAUAUAAAAUGGCGGUAAGGAAUUAUCCUUGGGGAAAUUGAAGAGAAAAAGAAGAAGAAGAUCAGAAUUCAAGAGAACGGAUGCAGCGUCAUUGAAGAAUCCAGCAGAGUUAUUUGGAUUCACUUUUUGCCGUUCUCGACUUAUACCUUUCUUUACUCUUUGACUGAACUAAUGUAUUUCGUGACCAAUAUGUUGCUGUUUGUUUUUCUCUUUCAGAAUAUGAACUAAACUUGCUUGUAGUUGAGUGACAAACAAUCUAAUGGGUUCUUGACUGUUCUUAUGAGUUACUAUAUAAUUGCUGCAACAUUUUACUCUAGUAGCUAUUAUUAUAACUGUUAUUUCAGUUGACCACACAUUUAAUGGUUUAAGUUAAGAUAGAGCCGCAAAAGGGCAUGUCGUUGUGGAUAUUAUUAGAGUAAUACUUGAUCUUAAUUUAAGUUUCCUGGAUUAAAUUUAUCUUGAAUCCCAUAAGGGCCAUACUUGAAGUUAAGAUUUGUGAUAAACUAGACAUAGGUACUCACCUUAUAGGGUGGAGAGAAUGGAUGUUCAUAGUGUCAUGUUGUAGGUAGAAUAACAACUGAUCAUUGCUAAGGUACUUAAGAGUAUGAAAAUUCUAAUAUGCGACAGCUGAGGAUGCAAAAUAAUUCUGCCCAGUGCUAUAGAAAUUGCUGUAGCAACUGGUGUUAACUUGAUGAAAAGCAGUUAGCCCAUAAAGAGAGUUUGAUCAUUCAACUACCUUAUUCUCAUUUGAUUCUUUGACGCAUUUUAUUUAAUUUAUUUCAUCACUGCAUUGUUUCAUUUUAUUCUCUCACAAUUAUCAAUUUCAAUAGUACAUUUGUCCAUCUCGGAAUAAAGGUAUAUUGCACUGUUGUGAUUGCUAUAGAAUUUCUAGUAACAUCAAUCCCUGUGGAGACGAUCUUGAAUAUUCAUCACUUUAUUACUUGUGUACACUUACACAUUGGCAUCAAUAGCAUUUGAUUAAAAAAAUCACUAACACAUAUUCUUUGGGUCUCCGGACACAAAGUUUUCUAGUUGCAUCAUAUAAAUUGUCUCAUCAAUAUCAUCAUUGAGAAAUAUUGUCUUAUCAUCCAUCUGAUGUAACUUAAGAUUAAAAUAUGCCGCCAAUGUCAUUAUAAUCCUAAAAGAGUCUUUUAAAGAAACCGGACAGUAAGUUUCUUUAUUGUCGAUGCCUUCUCUCUACGUAAAGCCCUUUGCGACAAACUGCGCCUUGUACCUGUUUACAUUGCCUUUUGAAUCCCUCUUGGUCUUAAAUAUCCAUUUGCAAUUAAUAAGUUUCGUACCUUUUGGCAAUGGGACAAGAUCCUAUACGUCAUUGUCUUCCAUGGACUUCAUCUCCUCAUUCAUGGCAUCAAUUCAUUUAUGAGAGUUAGAACUUUCUAUGCCUUGAAGAAAAUUAAUCGAAUCAUCUUCCAUCACAUUGAUGUCUACCUCAUGUUCUUGGAGAAAUACAAUGUAGCCUUAUAGCACUACACUUCUCCUUUCUCUAAUGGAUCUCCUUAAUAGCAUAGGUUUUUAAGGUGUUAGAGUUUGUUCUUCCAAAACAACUUCUUGUAUGGGGGUUCUUAACAUUGUCUUGAUUUGUUGUGUCUUCAAUAAAGUCAGGAAUGAGACCCUAAUCAAUGCCAAUAACACCUAUGGGAAUAUGAACAUAUUUCUCUUCAAAGACAAAGUCCUUAACCGUAUCUCCUCCCUACAAGCUCUACAUCCUUAAAGAACGAUGCAUUUCCCGACUCGAAAAUCAACUUUGUCCUGGCAUCAUAAAACUUGUACCCCCUAAAUCAUUUAGAGUAUCCAAUAAAAUAACAACUCAUCGUCCUUGAGUCUAGUUUCUUCUCAUUAGGCCUAUAAGGCUUGCCUCAGCUAGACAUUCCCAAACAUGCAAGUGCUUUAGACUAGGCUUCUUACUCAUCCAAAACUUAUGAGGGAUUUUGGCAGUUGCUUUAGUUUGAACUCUAUUAAAGAUAUACACUUGCGUCUUAAGUGCUUCUCCCCAGAGUGAUUCUAGUAAGGUAGAAUGACAAAUCAUACUCCUCACCAUAUCCUUACGCGUCCGAUUUCAUCUUUUGUCUUCCAACAACACCUUAUCAUACUCCUCACCGUAUCCUUAAGCAUCACGUUUCAUCUUUCAAUAACACAAUUCAUACUAGGUGAACUUAACAUAUUGUACUGUAGGAUGAUACCGCAUUCCUCUAUGAAUUUAGCAAACGGUCCUAAACCUUGUUCACUUGAACCACCAUAUCUGCCAUAAUAUUCACCACCACGGUCAGAACUGAUGCUUUUAAUUCUUUGGCUAAGUUGAUUCUUAACUUCAACCUUAAAAUUUUGGAACAUAUCCAAGGACUGUGACUUUCCAUAAAAGAGACAUUUGUAGUCAUAUCUAGAAAAAUUAUCUAUGGUCGUUAUUAAAUAUUGUUGACCAUUCCAAGCAGCCAUAGGGAAUGGCCCACAAAUGUCCGUAUGUAUGAGUUCUAAGGCAUCCAAAGUCCUAUCGGCUUCAAAUCUCCUUUUACUAGUUUUUUUUCCUUGAUACAGUUAACACAAAUAGCAAACUCUGUGAAAUCUAAGGGUUUGGGAAUUUCGUCUGACACAAGUCUCUCUAUUCUCCGUCUAGAUAUAUGACCCAAACUCCUGUGCCAUAACACAACUGAAUUCUCAUUGGUUAAUUGUCUCUUUAAACUUCAUGUACUAAAUUGUAAGGAUUCAUUAAAUGAAGCAAUUGUAUCAACCAGAUAAAGAUUAUCAUUACUUGACAAAGAACCAGAAUCAACCAGUUUUGAAUCAUGAAAGAAACUCAAUUUUCUAUUUUCGAAUAAACAAGAAUAACCAAAUUUGUCCAAAGUGGAAAUGUAAAUCAAAUUUCAUCUAACAAAUAGAACAAUAAAUGUUUCAUUGAGAUCCAAAUAAAAUCCGGUCUUCAAUAAUAAUCUGAAUUUUUCAUUUGCUCCAACUUCAACAGUCUUGCAUUGCCCACAUAGAUGUAUCUUUCACCAUCACCAGGCUUUCGACAAUUCAAGCAAUCCUGCAUAGACAUACUGAUGUGAGUUGUUGCACUAGAAUCUAUCCACCACAUGUGUCUAAGUACUGAAGUUAAAUUAAUCUCAGAACAAACCAAACCAUAACUUUCAGCUCCAUAAAAAAAGUAAUUAACAGCUUUUGGAUCAUCCGAUUUCUUUUGUUGUUUCUUUUGAGGUGUUGUAUAUGCAACUUUCUUAUUCUUGUUCUUUUUCUUACUUUUGUCCUUGCAUUUACACCUUAUUGAAAUUAGGCUUGUCAAGAGUAUAUCAAUUUUAGUCUUUUUGUUCUUAACAAACCUCUGUUCAAGUUUUGCAAGGAACUCCUUAGCUGUAGUUUCUUUUCAAAUAUUAAACCCCAGAAUGCUUCCAGAAUAUUCUUCUUUAUAAUCAUCACACAUGCGAUUUGAUCUCUCCUACCUUUCAAUAUCCUUCUUGUUAUCAAGGGUACUUUCAUCCACAAGAGGUGGGGGAGAAUCAACCCUUAACACAAUGUCAAGAUCCAUGACUGUGAGAACUAUUAAGAAGUUCUCUUGCCAUGACUUGAAAUUAGAUUCAUUUAGCAUAGGAAUAGAAUUAAUGUUGGCAGUAAUACUAACAACAGACAUAACUGAACAGAGAACAACAAACAAACAAAACAAGCUCAUAUUAGUCUUAAAACAAAAUUAAAUUCAAAUAAAGGUAAACUCCAUCUCAAGAUUCUGGACACUCCAUUAAUAUUUCACAUUUGGACAAAUUAUUAACUUGUAAGUGAUAUUUUGAUAUAGUAAUCAAAUACUAAUAAUAAGAACAUGUCAAAUAAUAAAUCUUCUUUUGGGCCAAUUUAUUGUUCACAUGUAAAACCAAAUAAUCAUCACGUAUUUAUUACCACUGGUACACAUGUAAUUAUAUUAAAUAUGGACCUUCAAUUAAUUCUUCUAAAAAAAUAUAUAAACAUACGAAUAUUUGAAUUUAAGAUUGCAUCAAAAAUUACCAAAAAUAAAAAAAUUUGGGUUAAAGUCUGGUCAACGGUUAAAAUCAAUGGUAAGUGGGAAAUGGGAACAAUUCCAAUUAAAAAUAUUCUAAUUAUUUUACUUAUAAUUUUAUAAUUUUUAUUUUAAUAAAAUAAAUUUCUAAAUAUGAAUAAACUUUUAGAUAUAUGUAAUUAGGUUCACCAAAUAUAUAUAAUUAUUUUAAAUAAUGUAUAUUUUAUAUAUUUUUUUUAUAACUUUUGAAUUACAAACCAAAUCUAAGCUUAUCAAGUGAAGCCCAGUCGAAGUAUGCCUCAUCCGUAGGCUGGUUAUUACUGACCCCGCAUUGUAGGAUGGAUAUUUUUGACAUUCUGGGGAUCGGAAACAACUCCAACUCAAAUCUCAUGCGAUCAAGGUCAUUGGACCUUUCUACUCAAAAUAAAUGCUUGUCUUAAGAAGACCAAAUUACCCAAGGAACCAGCAAUAUGAAAGUGACGUGACUCGAAAAACUUUAUUUAGUUAUGUGUUUGAAAUAGUAGUGAAACAGUAGUGAAAGCAACUUCUAGAGUCCAGGUACUACUAUAAAAGAAAGUGAAGGGACAAUAUUGAAGAGAGUUUCAAAUAAAGAGAAAUCAAAAUAUCAACUUCAAUUCAAAUAUGGAUUUGUUAAUUAACUGCAUACAAUGGCUUGUAUUCACAUUGGUUUGGGUGAUGGCUUUAACUUUCAUUUCCAGAGGACGACACAAACAACUUCCACCGGGACCGAGGCCUUAUUCAGUGAUCAGAAACCUUCUGGAGCUGGGUGCUAAACCUCACAAGUCACUGGCCAAGCUUGCCAAGAUUCAUGGGCCCAUAAUGAGUCUAAGACUUGGCCAGGUAACCACAGUAGUGGUUUCUUCUCCAAGCAUGGCCAAAAGCCAUCCUUCAAAAUCAUGAUUUAUCAUUUUGUGAUCGAAUGGUCCCUGAAGCAAUCUUGUCACUGCCCUUCCCGCACCAUGAAUUCCAGUUUCAACAAUGUGGAAAAAUCUUCGAAAAAUAAGCAACAUGCAUAUUUUCACUAGUCAGUGAAAGAAAACAGAAAUGUGUUGUUUGGCUUAAAGGAAAAUUACAGAGAAAAUGAAGAAUGAUUUCCUGAAGAUUCAAUUCUUGUUUUAUUCAUCAGUCAACACAAGCUUAUAUACAAUUACUUACACGUGAGAAUAAUUUGUGACUAACUAACUUUCUUAACAAACAAAACCAACUACAAUUUGUUACAUCACAGUUUCAUGAGCUGUCACUCCUCACUGGCAAUCUCCUGCUGACUUGGCUUUACUAAGCUACUUGAAUAAUGAGCUGCCUUCACAGCCCCCCUCAAACUCAAGGGACAGGGCAUGACAUUGAGUUUGGCUCUUAGAUACCUAAACUGAGUGAAUGAGAGUGGUUUGGUCAUGAUGUCAGCUACCUGCUCUUCACUUGGUAUGAAUUGAAUAUUCAAAUCCCCAGCAAGAACUUUGUUUCUGACAUAAUGAAUAUCAAUCUCAAUAUGUUUUGUUCUUGAGUGAAAAACUGGAUUAUGAGCUAGCUCAGUAGCUCUAAGGUUAUCACACCAACUAACAGGCUUUUCCAUGCACUGUAAUCUCAGUUCAGAGAAUAGUGAUUGCAGACAACUUAUCUUUGCACUUGCUGAUGCCAAAGACCUGUAUUCACUCUCGGCACUAGACCUAGCAAUGACUGGUUGCUUCUUAGAUGACCAAGAUAUUAGAUUAUGACCAAGAUAGAUGCAAUAAGCUCCAACUGACUUUCUGUCAUCUAAAUCCCCUGCCCAAUCUACAUCUGUGAAGCCUGUUAAUUUCAUAUCACCAUCUUUAAUAAACUUGAGUCCAUAAUCUUGUGUUGCCUUUAAGUAUCUAAGCACCCUUUUGCAAGCCAUAAGAUGUUGCAGUGUUGGUGCAGAGACAUAUUGACUCAAUUUAUGCACACUGAAAGCAAUUUCUGGUCUUGUUAAUACCAAGUAUUGCAUUCCACCAACAAUGCUUCUAUAAUGUGUUGCAUCUUCAACAUACUAACCCAGAUUUCCUUGAGCUUCCUUCUGCAGUUUCAUCCCUGUACUCAUAUGAGUAUCAAUGUCUUUGCAGCUGAGCAUGCUAACCUUUGACAGUAAAUCCCUUAUGUAUUUCUUUUGAGACAAGAAAAUACAAUCUGUACCAUAUAGCACUUCAAUGCCUAAGAAAUAAGAAAGUGCUCAAAGAUAUUUCAAAGCAAACUUUGUACUGAAUUCAACAAUGAACUUUUCUAGCUCAGAACUAUUUGACACUGUUAUUAAGAUGUCAUCAACAUAUAUAAGGUCUAAGAUCAUUGAGGAUUUACUUCUUUUUAAGAACAAGGAAGUAUCUGAACUGGAAUUGGUAAAACCCCACUGCAGCAAGCAUCCUUUUAGCUUAUCAUACCAAGCUCUUGGAGAUUGUUUAAGUCCAUAAAGAGACUUAUGAAGCUUGCACACAUAAUUUGAUUUCUCAGCACUGGUAAACCCCUCUGGUUGAUCCAUGAAUACUUCUUAAGAUAACUCUCCAUUAAGAAAAGCAUUAUUCACAUCAACUUGUCUUAUCUUCCAUUUACUCAUCACAGCUAGACUUAAGACUACUCUCACAGUUGCUGGUUUUAUGACAGGACUAAAAGUUUCAAAACAAUUCACUCCCAUAAUCUGUUGGAACCCCUUUGCCACUAACCUAGCUUUGUAUUUAGCCACACUUCCAUCAGUAUUGUAUUUCACCUUGUAUACCCAUUUAUUUCUGACAACUUUCUGGUCAGCUGUUAUGGGCACUAAAGACCAUGUAUCAUUCUCCAUUAGUGCUGUAUAUUCUUCUCUCAUGGCUGUAAGCCAUUUUGGAUUUUGCAUAGCUUCAUACACAGAGUCAGGUUCUUUGUGAACAAGGGUUGCUAUAUAAAGUUUUGGUUUGAAAAUACCAGCUUUGCUUCUGGUAGUCAUGGGGUGUGUAUUUAGUUGAAUGAAAAUUGAUGUGUGAGGUAUAGUUUGAGGUGGAGAUGAUGAAGUUUGAGGCUCAAUAGAUGGUUUAUUAGCUGGUAGAUGUGUUUGCAAAUGGGAAUGUUGAUUGUCAAUGUGAGAAGAAUUGUCUGAAUUUUGUGAGCUGCUUCUGGUAGGAAUUGCUGACUGAGAAUUGCAUAAGCUGUUCACAACUAACAUUGGUGUUACAGGUAAUGUAGAUAACUAGUAUACUUGUUGAGAUGUAAGAGAUGAAUUUGAACAGAGUGAUGACUCAUUGGAAUUAAAGGCUGAGUCUGUGGAAAAAGGGAAUGUUGACUCAUCAAAUACAACAUGUCUAGCUAUGUAUAUUUUGCCUGAUGAAUGUAGACAAUUGUAUCCUUUAUAGGCUGGACUAUAGCCAAGGAAGAUGCAUUUGCUUGAGUGAUAAUCAAACUUGUGUUUGUUAUAGUCCCUUAAGUAAGGAUAACAUGUACACCCAAAACACUUGAGCAUGCUGUAAUUAGGUUUAAGUUUGAAAAUUUUCCCAUAAGGAGUAAGAAGCUCCAGGGCUGUUAAUGGUAGUCUAUUGAUGUGAUAAACAGCUGUAUGAAAAGCAUCCCACCAAAACUUAAAUGGUAGCUUGGCUUGUGCUAACAAAGUAAGUCCCAGCUCAACAAUAUGUCUAUGUUUUCUUUCUACCAACCCAUUUUGGUGGUGUGUAUAGGGGCAAGAAUGUCUGAAAAUGAUUCUACAUUGGUUUAAGAAUUGUGUAAAUGAUCUAUAUUUUCCCCCCCAAUCAGAUUGUAGGUUCUUAAUAGUGGUGUCAAAUUGGUUUUCAACCUGUAAUUUGAAUAACUUGAAAACAUCUAAUGCUUCUGAUUUCAACUUAAGUGGAUAAAUCCAAAUGUAUCGGCUAAAGUCAUCAACAAGGCUUAUGUAAUAGUUAUAGCCAUCUCUAGAAGGUGUGGGUGAAGGCCCCCAUAAGUCAGUGUGUAUAAGUUCCAGGGGCUUUGUUGUUUUGGUUUCUGUGCUGGGAAAGUGUAACCUGUGAGAUUUGCCCAUUUGACAUGCUUCACAUAAUUUUCAAGUGCUUGCUUAACGGUAUUGUGGGAAAGAUUAACAGAAGAAACACUUUUUAGCAAAUGCAUCAGAAUUUGAGAAUUUGGAUGCCCAAAACGUCUGUGUAAAAGCUGAACUUUAUUUUGCAAUGCAUCACAAGAUGAAAUGUAACUGGAAAAUUUAUUGAUUGAUGCAUUACAAGAUGAGACACAACUGGAAUAAUUAUUUUGAGUGUUUUUAGGAACACUUGAAUCAAAGGAAUAGACAGACAUCAUUGAUAAAGGUUGAACAGGAAAGAACUGAGACAAGUAAGCACAAUGAACAUGUUUAGAUGGCUUUAGAAGCAGCUUAUACAAUCCUUUCUCAGCAAUUCGUUUCAGAAGCACUUGUUUCUUCAGAGAAUCCUUCACAUAACAGACAUUACCAACAAAUUCAACAAAAAGAUUGUUAUCGGUUGUCAGUUUUGAUAUGCUUAGCAAAUUCUUUGUGAUAUCAGGCACUAAUAACAUGUCUUUAAGUAAGAUAUAUGUUGGUUUAUAUGCACCAUUUGACCCUUUAUAAGUAAAACAUGCAUUACCAAUAUGAGUUAUAGGCAAACCUUGUCCAUUGCCGAUGACUAGUUGAUAAGAUCCUCUAAAUUCCUCUCUGACAUUCAUAUUAGCCAUACUGUUGGUCAAGUGAUGCGUGGCACCAUUGUCAAGGUACCACCCUUCAUCAGUAGGUCCUUCAUAGUUGGAAAGAUAAGCUUCAGGAACAGUUGAGUCUGCUGCUGGAUAGGAUGAGUAGGAUAGAGGAUUGUAGCAUGGAUAAGGUGCAGUAUAUUGUUCUUCAAUUAGAGGGACAAUAUAACUGGUAAAUGGAUCAAAAUUAACUACAUAAGCAGCCUUAGGUCCAAAAGAUUUGCCUUUUCCAAACUGUUUGGGUAAUGGUGGAUCAUCAUAUCUAUGCCAACAUUCAUCUGUUGUGUGUCCUGUUUUGUGACAUAUUUGACAUAUAACUGGUGAUUCAUCAACUUGCAUGUUGACUGGGGGAUGGAGAUUUGGUUUCACAGGUGGCCUAAAAGAUUGCAUCAUUUGUCCUCUACCAUAACCCCCAAAGUUACCAAUACCAGUUGAAAAACCUCUUGGAUAUUGGUUAUGAAACAUGCCUCUGCCAGCAUUGAAACCUCUAUUCACGGAUCGACCAUAAUGUCCAUUUCCAAAAGCACCUCUUCGAAAAUUUCCUCUCAUAUAAGGAUGAUGCACAUUCAUUGUGCUGUAAUUUGCAUUAAACAUAGUUUUGGUGCCUUGAUUUUGUUCAAGCCUAGCUUCAUGUGUCAACAGUAAUGCAUAAGCAUCAUCAUAGCUCAUCUUAUUUGCAGUAAUUAUUGAGGCUAGAUCUAGAUAUCCUGGACCUAAUCCAUUUAACACUCUCAUUAACAAAUGCUUCUCAGUAAUUAUAUCACCAGCACAAGCUAAUUUAUUAGCAAGCAAUUUCAUUUUGGCACAAUAUUCCUCAACAUUCAUUGAAUCUUUUCUCAGAAUAUUCAUUUCAUAUCGAAGUUGCAUUACCUUAGCUUCAGAUUGAACUCCAAACUAUUUUUCAAUAGAUCUCCACAUAUCAAAGGAGGUGUCAUAGUUGGGAAUAGAACUUAGAAUACCUUCACUGAUAGUUGACAAUAGCCAGCCGAGAAGUGUUUGAUCCUGUGCUCUCCAGUUGAUGUAAGUUGGAUUUUCAAUGCUUUCACCAGAUCCUCCUGGUAGAAAUUGUUCUGGAACAAUUUGUGGCUUCGAGAUAAAUCAUUCAAGACGAUUUCCUCUGAUUGAAGUUAAUACUUGCUUACGCCAGAGUAGAAAAUUUGAUCGAUAAAGUUUCACAGUCACUACAAAUGUAAAUGAAGUUUACAAAGUUUGAAUUGAGUUUAUGAUUAGUUGAUUUGAAGUUGUAUUACUUGAGCUAGCCAUUUGUGGCUCUGAUACCAUGAAAGAAAACAUAAAUGUGUUGUUUGGCUUAAAGGAAAAUUACAGAGAAAAUGAAGAAUGAUUUCCAGAAGAUUCAAUUCUUGUUUUAUUCAUCAGUCAACACAAGCUUAUAUACAAUUACUUACACGUGAGAAUAACUUGUGACUAACUAACUUUCUUAACAAACAAAACCAAUUACAAUUUGUUACAUCACAGUUUCAUGAUUUGUCACUCCUCACUGGCAAUCUCCUGCUGACUUGGCUUUACUAAGCUACUUGAAUAAUGAGCUGCCUUCACAGAAACUCGAUGCCAAUCAAGAGCUCCGGCGCAAGAAAAUCAAAGACCUUCUUGCUCAUGUUGAAGACAAUUGCCGUGCGGGUAAAGCAAUAGAUGUUGGCCAAGCUGCUUUCAAUACUUCACUUAAUUUGUUAUCCAACACAAUUUUUUCUAUUGAUUUGGUUAAUCCCAAUGAGCGAGAGUUUAAGGAUACAGUUUCUGGUAUCUUGGAAGAAGCAGGAAAGCCUAACUUGUCCGACCAUUUUCCUCUUCUCAAAAAGUUUGAUCUGCAGGGGAUAAAGCGCCGCAUCACAGUUUAUAGUGCCAAGAUGCUCGAGGUGUUUGAUCGCUUGGUUGAUCAACGAUAGAAGCAUAGACAAGAACAUGGUUGCAGUUUUAGCACCGAAUGUAAAGAUAUAUUAGAUACUCUUCUCAAUAUUAUCCAAGACAAGAGUGUUGAGAUUGAAACAAAACAUCUCAAGCACUUUUUUUGUGGUAAUAUUUCUUUUCCUUUUUCUUAAUUUCUAGUACAAAUUACAAGUUAAAUAACAGUGUUCGUAUACCAGGAUUUGUUUAUUGCGGGGAAUGACACAACUUCAAGUACAAUGGAAUGGGCAAUGGCAGAACUACUCCACAACCCUGAGGCUUUAUUGAAAAAAAAAUUGGAGUUAGAACAAACAGUUGGCAAGUGUAACCCAAUUGAGGAAUCUGACAUCACUCGGCUACCUUAUCUACAAGCUGUUGUUAAAGAAACUUUGAGAUUGCACCUUGCAGCUCCCUUAUUACUUCCCCGCAAAGCCACAAAAGAUGUUGAAAUUACAGGCUUCACAGUGCCAAAAGGUGCACAAGUUUUUGUCAAUGUAUGGGCUAUUGGCAGAGAUGAAAGCACAUGGGACAACCCUCACACUUUUAUUCCCGAAAGGUUCUUAGGGUCAAAUGCUGAUUUCAAAGGCCAGAAUUUUGAGCUAAUUCCCUUCGGAGCUGGACGACGAAUUUGUCAUGGUUUACCAUUGGCAAUCAGAAUGUUACAUCUAAUGUUGGGUUCACUUAUUAACUCUUUUGAUUGGAAGCUUGAUAACCACAACAUGGACAUGGAAGAUAAAUUUGGCCUCACCGUACAGAAGGCUCAACCCCUUCAUGCUGUCCCUGUUGCCAUCUAGUUCUAUACUAUAGUUCGUAGCCAAUAUAUAAAGCGCUUGGUGGUAGCCACUAUAUAAAGCGCUUGGUGGUUAGUUAUAUGUGUGUGUAAUCAUUCUCAGGUGUGGGCGCUCUCAUUUUUUUUUAUGUAGACAUGCAACUUAACAGAGUUAAUCUUCAAUAAACUAUAAAGUCAUGCGAUUUAAUAGUAUUAAAAACUGACUCUAUUAAAUUGCACGGCUUAAAAGUUUGUUCACAUGAAAAAAAAUGAGAGUUCCCGCACUAUAUUAUCUCCUAUAAUUUAUUAGCAUCUAUCUAAUUAUUCAGCUUGUUUAAUCACUUUUGAGUGGAUUAAUAUUUUAAGCAAAAUAUGUAAAACUUUGAAUAUAACAAAGGAUUGUUAUAUAUAUCUUUUAAUAAAUCUUAUUUAAUCAGUACUAGUUUUGCAAGUGAGGACGAUUUUUUUCCUAUCUCAGCAGUUGAAAUUAUGCGAUUAUCCAUUAAAUGUUUGCGCGAUGUUUUUGUCUUUCUUGCGUAAAAAAAUAUGCAUGCAGGGUCAUAUUGAGUUUUUUGCAUGGUAUAUACAAUAUCAGUCCAAGUCAUCAAGCUAGCUAAUUUGGCAAUUGUAAGAUUUUGUCCGCACCACCGACAUCUUUAAAUAAUGAAUUAAUAGAAAUGGAAGCAAGAUAUAUUGCAGAAAUGUAAUUGUCAAAAUGUAAUUUGUCAGAUUAAAUUAGCUAGUCAAGUUACGUACGGAUAGAGAAAUUGUUUAUCUAAAAAGGCUAAAGUGAGAGCGUAAUAAUAGUAUUAUUUUACUAAAACUUUCUCAAGGUGUAAGAGUCCUAGAGUAAGAGCCUAAUAGCUUAAUAUGAGAUUGGCAACUAAAGUUGUGCACAGAUAGAGAAACUACUUGUCUCACAAGCAUAAAGUAAGAUCCUAAUAACAGUAUUGUGUAACUAGAACAUUCUCAAUGUAAGACCCUAAUAAUAGAAUCGUCGGACCAGAACAUUGAGGAAAUCAAACUUUAGACUUUGACUUCGAAUUGUAUUGGAUAAACGGCGUGGCCCAGAAGCUGAUAGAUAAGUGCCCAAUAAUAAUAUUUAAGACAAAUCUUAACAUGCACAAAUUAUAAAGUUGUUCAAUUUAGUCAAAAAAUUAAAUAAAUAAUUUGUGAGAUUGUGUAAUAUUGUUGUAUGAUUGAGAAAUUUUUUGUAUGUAAUUGGGAUAGAGUAAGAAAAAAAACCAUUAGGAGAAUGUAGUUUGGUUAUAAUAAUUUUACACAUGGUGGAUAUUAUUUAGUCAUUCUUGAUGGCUACAUUUUUUCUUUGAUAGAGAAGUCUUCCACGUAAAAUUUUUGUUAUGUGAUUGAUAUUAUUCUCCACCUUUAUUUUGUUUAUAUGCUUGUUUGACAUAUUUUGCAGAGAAUUUGGGUGGGAACCAAAACUUCCUAACAUUAUUUAUCACGGAGAUUUUAUGAGUAACAUAUUUUUUGUAUGUAAUUGGGAUCUAGAUCAAAGAUAAAAAUACUAAGAGAAUGUGGUGUGGCUGUAAUAAUUCAUUAGAUAGUGAAUUCAAUCUAGUUGUUCAUGACGGUCAUAUUUUUUGGCCAUAUUUUUCUUUAAUAGAGAAAUUUUCCAUAUAAAAUUUGUGUUGUACAUAUGAGUAAUGUUGUUCUCCGCCUUUAUUUUAUUUAUAUACUUGUUUGACUUAUUUUGGAAAGAACUUGGUGGGAAUAAAAAAUUCCUAACAUUACUUCUUUCAGAGAGAUAUUUUUGUGCGUGUAAUUGGGAUUUGGAUCUAAGAUAAAUAUUUUGGAAGAAUGUGACUUAGUUGAAACAAUUUUUCGCAUGGUAAACUUUAUCUAGUUAUUCUUGAUGGCCGUUUUCUCUAAUAGAGAAAUUUUCUACACAAAUUAAUUUUGUAUGAACAAUGUUAUAUUUUGUCUUUAUUUUAUUUAUUUAAUUAUUUAACAUAUUUUGCAGAGAAUUUAGGUGGGAACUGAAACUAUUUAACAUUAUUCUUUGCAGACUUUUCUGUGUUUAAAGGUUUCACUCGUACAAAAGAAAAACAAUGGGGACAUUCCAUAAACGCCUUAGAAAUACUCAGAGUUGUAUCUUUCUAGAAGGACGUCGAAGUCUUUUUGCUCGGAAACAUCUCAAAAAUAUUAUACAUUCUUGAAUUUUCUUAUGAACCAAAUACUAAUUUGAGCAUCUGAGUGUUUUUGAGCAGAUGCCAAACAAAUGCUUGGAGCUUGGAGCUUGAAAACAAGGGAGCACAAAUUCCUCAUUUCCGAAAAUAAAGAUCGCACAUUCCAUCUUCAAGAAGGAAAAAUGGUAAUCUCCCAAAGUUAUGAAUCAAACAUUACAAGUUGAGCAUCCUUUGCUCUACACAAAUCUUGUCAAAUUUAUGUUCUCAAAUUGGAAUAGAAACUAAAGAUGGAAAAAAAUAGAGGAGCUUCAUAUAGAGUUGGAAAAUUUCCAUUCCAUCGUCGAAUUUUUUGAGUGAAGAUGUUACGAAAAGGAAACAAUCUUUAUGAUUUUUGUGAAUUCCCGAGAUCACGAUUCUAGAAUCCUCAAGAUAUGUGUGUAUAAUUGUAUUUAUUAUUUAUAUAAUCUCUUUCCUAUAAUUAUAUUACUUCGUUCCUAUGAAAGCUCCCUGUAAAGCUUAUAUAAAUGCCCUGCGUUGUACAUACAAGAACAGUAAAAUAUAGAUUUUCUAUUGAUUCUCUCACUUGGUAUUAGAGAGAGGUUGAUCUGUGUGUCUCUCUGGUUUGCUUUCUUUUUGAUUUCUUGUCUCUUUUUCCUUUCAUUGGUUGUUAUUAUGGAAAAAUUAGAUGUCCCACCGCCGAUUCAAGCCAUAUUAGAUGGGCACAAUUAUAUUUUAUGGGCACAGGCUAUGCUUAGUUUCUUAAGGGAUGAAAACUUUGGUGUUUUGUUACUAUAUUGUAAAACCUAUUGACAAUGAAUAUGAUGAGAAAUUUGCUAAUUGUCUUGAAGAUUGGGAUAGCCAAAACUAUCAGAUAAUUAUUUGGUUUCGAAACAUAUCGGUACCUGUUGAGAAAAUAUGCUCUUUAAAAGCAUAAGUGUUUAUUUAAUUGUAAUAAACAUUUUUUUCUGAUUAAUAAAAUUAAUGAGGUAUUUUAUUCAAAUAUCUUAAUUACAUUAAUAUUUUCAUCAAAGUCCAUUUAAUCAUAUUAUAUGUAUUUAUGUGAUCACCAUGUGGAUUCACAGAAGACAUAAAUAUAAGCUAUCUUAUGAUUAAAUAAAUUUAGUUCGCAGUUGAUAAAUAAAGUUGGGCACUUUAUUUAGGUAUAGACUGUAAUGAAUUCAUUGAAUGAUUUGCGGUAGGGAUGGUUAGUAGAUAUCAAUCUAAUCCUGGACCUGAACACUGGACUGCGGUCAAGCAUAUAAUGAAGUAUUUGAAAAGAACUAAAAAUUAUAUGCUUGUGUAUUCUGGUGAUGAACUCAUUCCAGUGGGUUAUACUGAUUCUGACUUUAUGUCAGAUAAGGAUUCCAGAAAAUCAACUUCCGGCUAUGUGUUUACAUUGGGAAGUGGAGCUAUUAGUUGGAGUGUGAAACAAUCUUGUAUCGCAGACUCCACAACUGAAGCUGAAUAUGUGGCUGCAUCCGAAGCUGCAAAAGAAGUUGUAUGGCUCCGUAAGUUCCUACAAGAUCUUGAGGUGGUACCUGCUGUAACUGCACCCCUUAAACUAUUUUGUGAUAAUAGUGGUGCGGUAGCUCAAUCUAAGGAACCAAGGAACCACAAGAAACAAAAACAUAUUGAGAGGAAAUAUCAUCUUAUAAGGGAUAUAGUGUAGAGAGGUGAUGUGGAGGUUACUCAGAUUGCGUCACAGCAAAACUUGGCAGAUCCUUUUACUAAGGCCAUACCUGGGAAACCUUUUAACUUGCACUUAGAAUCCAUGGGCAUGCGUGAGAUGCCAAAUAUGCUUUGAGAGCUAGUGGGAGAUUGUUGGGAAAAUAUGCUCUUUAAAAGCAUAAGUGUUUAUUUAAUUGUAAUAAACAUUUUUUCUGAUUAAUAAAAUUAAUGAGGUAUUUUAUUCAAAUAUCUUAAUUGCAUUAAUAUUUUGAUCAAAGUCCAUUUAAUCAUAUUAUAUGUAUUUAUGUGAUCACCAUGUGGAUUCACAGAAGACAUAAAUAUAAGUUAUCUUAUGAUUAAAUAAAUUUAGUUCGCAGUUGAUAAAUAAAGUUGGACACUUUAUUUAAGUAUAUAUUGUAAUGAAUUCAUUGAAUGAUUUGUCUUAAUCAUGUAUGAAUUUAUUAAUGUAGUAGGACUACAUUGAAUAGGAUCACAUAUGAGAUUUAAUUAACAUUGAAAUGACUGUCAGACUUAUUAAAUCUCAUAGGCAUUGAUUUUACUGUAAUCUUAAUCUUGAGUUAAUUAUGAUUUCAUGAUUGUAAUUGUUAUUCCAUUUGAGUUACCAAUGGGCACGACACAUUCUUGUGGUCAAGAUUAACCGGUAUCUUGGUGGGAGCAAUUAUGAGUAUUGGAGUUAUGGAUUAACAAUAUAGAAUUUGUACAACACAUCUCUUGAUGGGUUUUCGGCACUUGAUCAUAGAAUUAUCUGGCCAGAGUGUGUCAACAUAUUUAGUAUGUUGAAAAUGAUCAUUAGAGAAAACCAGUAAGUAUCAAGGAACAAGAUGUUAUUAAAUUGAUUGGACAGUUGAGAUAUCAAUUUAAUUAACGAUGUGGUACAAAGGAUUGUGCAGUAAAGAAAUCAAUGUGGUUUGGGACGAAUUAUUAUUCGAGCAUACAAUUAUGGAGGUCAAUUCCAAUCUUUUAGUGGAGUAGAUUUGGAAUUAAAUAAUUAAGCUAGUUUAAUUACAGGCCUAAUUGUUAUAGCCACUAUUGUAUGUUCCCAAAUGAUCCCCAAGUUAGCUCAUUUAGUUGAGUGCACCGCUACUGGACUAAUAAGCAAGAUAACUAGCUAUUUGGGUCAAAAGCCUAAAUAUAUCAUUUAGUGGGAGGCUCCAUUUAAUUAGCUUAUGUGUAAGGGGCCUUAUAUUAUUUUACAUGGUGGGUCCUCUAUUAAAUGAAAAGUAACGUGAGUUUUAUUUAGGGCAUUAUUUGGAGCCUAAGGUUUUCACUAAAGGGAGAUAUAUAAAGGCUUAUUUUCUCUAAAGAAAGAUGGUGAAGCCACUUUAUACAGACCAGAGAAAAAGAUUUUUCUCUCUAUUGUUGAGAGAAAAAUUUUCUCGUGCUAGUUGCUUUGGUAGUGAUAAAGGCGCCCACACGUCAAGUGCAGAUCAAAUCUGAGUCAUAACCUGGAAGAUCAUUGGAUUGCCAGUUCAUGUUCUAACAAGCGUGGUGGUGAUGGAUCGUGAUCUAAUAGGAGUGGUGGUGACGGAUCGUGAUCUCGGAGCGUAAAUCACUUCAGUGGAAAAAGCCAAAUCGGAUUUUCAAGGUACGAUUUCUAGAUUACGUAUUUUUAUAUAUUAUAUGAGAGCGAUCUUAAUUAGGUUUUAUAAAAUUUUUUAAAAAACCUAAUUUUUCCCCAACAGUACCAACUAUCAACUUAAAAUUUGGAUGAUUUGAUAUAGCUAAGUCUUUAUGGGAUUUUCUUGCUCGUCGAUAUACAACUACUAAUUUCUACACCAGCAUAAAUUGUUAUAUAGUCUGCAUCAAAUGCAUCAACCUAGAAAAAGUAUUUUUUAUUUCCAUUCAAAAAUGCAAUUUAUAUGGGAUCAAUUGGCUCUUUCUGAACUUAUUGGGAAACUAGUCUUGAAUUUAUAGCCCAUAGAGAUCGACAAAGGCUGAUUCAGUUACUUAUGCCUUAAAUAUUAGUUUUGAGCCCACUCGGGCUCCCUUGCUCCAUCAGAACCCACUUCCAAACCCAAACUCUACCAUAUAAAAGCUUAUCUUAGAAGAAACGCUCCACUUUGCCAUCAAGACGCAUACUAUAAAUACUGUUGAGCCCACUCGGCCUAUGCAUGCUCGUGCCGUGCUCACUAUGUGUUUCGUACCGUGUCGUACCGUACUGUAUCCACUAUGUGUUUCGUGCUGUGUCUAAUUAUUUUUGUUUAGCUCCGGCCCGGCACAUGCGUCGUGCCUACUUGUACCGUGCCCACACGUGUUGUGCCGUGCCUAAGAAAAAAAGUCCAAUAAAAAUCUUUCGUUUACUUUUUUAAAAAAGUGCAUGCCAAAUUGUUGGCGUACUUUUUUCAAGUUUAUGUAUUUUUUUUAGGUCUAUAUGUCUUUAUUCAAAUUUAAUAGAAUUGAAAAUUCAAAAUUCAAGUCCAUAGUAAAUAAUAAUAAACUAAUAAUAGUAAGAGAAUGUAAUAUUAAUUAUUAAGUUUGACCUUAUAGUAUUAGAAUUUCUUUUAAUAUUUAACAACAAUAAUAAAAAUAAAUUUUUCUUAAGGGUUAACUUAAUUGUUUACUUGGAUUUAUAUAGAGUCAUAGAUCAUAGUUCACAAUAAUAUCAUUAUUAACUCAAGACUUUGACUCUGAAUUGUAUUAGAUAAACGGCUUGGCCUAGAAGCUGAUAGAUAAGUGCCCAAUAACAAUAUUUAAGACAAGUCUUAACAUGCACUAGGGAUGACAAUUUUCCUGACAGGAUCCCAUCCCAUUUGGGACGAGAUUGAGACAUAUUUUUGUCCCAUAAAAAAAUAUAGGGAUGGGAGUGAGACAUUUUUUAUCCCACUUGUAUAUACGGGACGAGUCUGGGAUUGGCAAAUCCCGUCCGAUCCCGUUUCAUUGCUAACUAAGAAUGAUAAUUUUUCUAAUUGGGAUAGGAUCCCCUUGGAUCCCAUCUCUUUUGGGACGAGAUUGAGACAUAUUUUUGUCCAAAAAAAUAUAUAUAUAUAAGGACGGGAGUGAGACAUUUUUUCAUCUCACUUGCAUAUACGGGAUGGGACUGGGGUUGGUAAAUCCCAUCCCAUCUCGUCCCAUUGCCAACCCUAACAUGCACAAAACAUGAAGUCUCUCAAUUUAGUUAAAAAUUUGAAGAAAGAAUUUGUGAGAUUGUGGAGUAUAUGUUGUAUGAUUGAGAAAUUUUUUGUAUGUAAUUGGGAUGAUCUAAGAAAAAAAACCAUUAGGAGAAUGUAGUUUAAUUAUAACAAUUUUACACGUGAUGGAUAUUAUAUAGUCAUUCUUGAUGGCUGCAUUUUUUCUUUGAUAGUAAAGUUUUCCACGUAAAAUCUAUGUUAUGUAAUUGAUAUUAUUCUCCACCUUUAUUUUGUUUAUAUGCUUAUUUGACAUAUUUUGUAGAGAAUUUGGGUGGGAACCAAAACUUCCUAGCAUUAUUUAUCACGAAGUUUUAAUGUGUGACAUAUUUUUUGUAUGUAAUUGGUAUACAUAUCUAAUACAAUUCGAUGCCCGGCCUAGCACGACACGCACAAGGGUUAGGCCAAACUUAGAAUUUUAGGCACGUGGACCUUAAAAACAUGGCACAAUUAAAGAUGGGUUAAGACACGACACGUGAAAAAGACCGCAAUAAGAAUGUUUUCUCUUGUAUAAUGAAAGUAAACUUAAAAUUUUAUGAUUUACAAAUAAUUUGAAAUUGAAUCUUUUAAUAUAUUUUAUUAGCGCGAGUUUUAAAAAUUCAUUUAAUUCUUAGUUUAAAAAAAAUACUAUAAUUGAUUUAUAUUUAUAAUUUAUUAAAUAAAUAAUUGAUAUCAUGAUUUUAAUGAAUAAAAUUAUAAAUAUCAUGAUUUUAUAAAUAUGCAUUGAUAUUAUUGUGAACUAUGAUCUAUGACUCUAUGUAAGUCUAAGCUAACAUUAUGUUAACCCUUAAGAAAAAUUUAUUAUUAUUGUUGUUGUUAAGAAUUAAAAGAAAUCCUAAUACUAUAAAGUCAAACUUAAUAAUUAAUAUUACAUUUUCUUACUAUUAUUAGUUUAUUAUUAUUGAAUAUGAACUUGAAUUUUGAAUAAGGUAAGGGAUAAGUAAUAUAUUUAUAUGAGCACACUUGCAUUUUUUAAAAUAGGUGGCCUCAAAAGCCUACUUGAGUGAUUUUUAAGUAGUUUUUUUAAUUGCCUGUUAUGAUUUGAAUAUUGGGGAGAUAAGGGUUCAAGAUUUGAUUUUUGCUUUAUUGCCUCCUCCUCUACCUUUUUUUUUUUAAAUAACUAACACGCAUAAAUUUAGAUUAAAAUAAAAAUAAUGGUUGAGAACUAAUGGAUUGGAUGAUAUGACAUUGAUGCUAUAAUAUUUAUGCUUCUUUAUUCUCUAUCCUGAUCAACGUUCCUAUCAAAUUUUGAAUUAAAUUUUAUAGGUUAACCCAAAUAAGAGAAAACAAUUGUACGCAACCAAAAAAAAUGAUGAGCUAAAAAAUAGUCUAAAUAUGACUCUAACAAAAUAAAGAAUGCUUUCCAAGAUAACUAAAUUUAAUUUUGUCUUACAUCAAGGUGACACUACUACAAAAUUAAUUAACAAUGAUGGUUUUCAACGGCAUAAGAUGAAGAUUUUAAAACCAACAUCUUAGGUAGACAUUGAAAGAGAUAUACUUUUCAUGGCGGUUCAUUAACCGUCAUUAGAUGUGUAUUUAUAAUUACGGUUAUUUAUUACAUGGUCAUUAUUUGUAGUAUUUACAUAAAUUUUAAUGACGUUUUUUACAAAAAUUAUCAUUAAAGUGUCCUUAAAGGUAUCUUUAAAGGGAUCUUUCAAUUUUUUUUUAAAAAAAGGUCAUUAAAAGGAUUCCUUUAAUGACUAUAUUUAAAUAAUGCUCAUUUAUUAUAUUUCUUUAAAAAAAAUUAUAAGAAUUUUUGUUUAUAACCGUCAUUAAAUUUAUAUUUUUUACAACAGUGUUUACAUAAUAACGUCGUUUUUUUGUCAUUCAUUACCAAAAAAAUAAUAAAUAAUAAGUUGCAAUUCAAGAACCAAUUCAAGCCUAUGGUUCCAUUGCAAUUUCUUAUUAAUUUCAUUUAAAUGUCUCAUUUACAAAAGAUAGCUUUACCCAAAACCUUUAACAUAUAUGAAAAUCCGAUUACCUAAAAAUGUAUACAAAAUGAUAAGUAUGCAUGUGUCAUGCUUGUAGGGAUGGCAAAUAUCCAAUGAUGGACGGAUAUUAUCCAUCCAAACACAAAUCCAUAAUUAUCCAUAAUGGAUAUAUCCAUAUCCAUAUCCAGUAAUUAAUAUUGGAUAUGGAUAUGAAUUUUAUCCAUAUAAUUAUGGAGAUCCAUGGAUAUUUUAUUUUUAUUAUAUAAAAAUAAUAAUAUAAAAUAGUUAAAAUUCUAAUAUUAAAUUUGGCUAUUAAACUAUUUAUAUUAGUAAUAAUAUAUAUAUAUAUAUAUAUAUAUAUAUAUAUAUAUAUAUAUAUAUAUAUAUAUAUAUAUAUAUAUAUAUAUAUAUAAUAAAAUGCCGGUCCGGUGGUUGGUGGUGGUGGUCCGGCAAUUUUCCAGCAAAGUCCGACAGGGUUCCGGCGACCUUCCGGCAAGGUCCGGCGGAGGUCCGGCGAUAUUCCGGCGAAUCCGACGGUGGUCCGGUGAUAUUCCGGCGAAUCCGACGGUGGUCCGACGACCUUCCGUCGAGGUCCGGCGGUGAUUCCGGCGAUAUUCCGGCGAUGUCCGACGGUGGUCCGGCGAAGUCCGGUGGUGGUCCGGCGAUUUUCCGGCGGAUGUCUAUUUAUAAUAUUAAAUCAUUAAAAUAAAAUAAUAAUUAUUAAUAAUAUUAAAUAAGUUAAAAAAUUAAAGGGUAAUUUUGAAAACUUUAAUUUUUAAUAUAAGAGAAAUUUAAAAUUUUUACUAGUUAAUAUAAGAUAAUAUUAGAUUUUGUUGUUUUUUUUAAUUUUAGUUUAACAAUAUAAAUUUUUUUAACUUUAAAUGGAUAAAUUAAUUGGAUUUUGGAUAUCCAUUAAAUAUCCAUACCCAUCCAAUAUCCAAUUGGAUAUUUUUAAAAAUAUCCAUAUCCAUAUCCAAGAAGAUUUUGGAUGGAUAUUAUCCAAUCCAAUUGGAUUGGAUAUAUGGAUAUCCAAUUUGGAUGGACCAAUUUGCCAUCCCUACAUGCUUGUAUAUUUUCUAAUAAUAAAAAAUUAGAAAAAGAAAAAAAGUCUAGUAUUGUAUCUUCAAUUUGCCUUCAAUACUUAGCCAAAAAAAUUUUAUCUUCACAGCCCGCAUAUGAAUUCAAUUCUUUAAAUAUGUCCUAAGGAAACUUCCAGGUGCGUUUUUUCUACAUAAACAGCAGCUAAACAAUAUUUGAAAACUUCCAGAUACUCUUUUUACUGGAUGACAACAGUUAAAUAGCACCUGAAAGUGUUUUACCACGUAAAAGCAGUUCCAGGUGCUGUUUUUGCUGCAUACCAACUAAACAGCACCUGAACACUUACAGGUGUUGUGUUUCUGCAUUAACAAUAGUAAACAGUAAAAACAACACCCAGAACUUCUAGUUGCUGUUUUGCUGCAUAAUAGCAGCUAAACAGCAAUAAAAUAGGCUGUUGUGCUGUUGCAUAGCAGCAAAAUAAUGCAAUUUAAAUUGAAAAAGCAUACUUAACCAAAUGUAAAUCAUCUCAAUAAGAGCACAAACAAAAAGAACAAAUCACUUCCAAAAGCUUCAAUAAUCGUUUUAUUUUAGAUGGAGGAGGAGGAAGAGUUAAAGUGCACAAAGACAAUUUCUUUGCUUUACCUAGUCGAGCUAGUAACUCAAGAAAUCAACUCAUAAUAAAAUUUUUGCUCUACUUAAUUCAUACUAAAAAACAUAAAUAAUUGAAUUAAUCUUAUGGGAAUUUCAUCAAAUAUCAUAUGUGAAUGAACACAUUAUUCGAAUUCCAAACACAGUCCAACUCUAAAUCCAUGAGAUAAAAUCCAAAACACACAAUCUCUUAUCAAUCACACAGUUAUCAUCACAUAAACAAUUCUCGUGAACCUCACAAACACAAUUCUCAUAAGCAAAAGCUCUCCAUUAAUCCAACCUAUAACAAGAAAGGGAGUAACGGACUGAAUCAAAAAGCAAACCAAAUCCCAAAAGAACUUACAAUACCUGACUCCUCAAUUAAACUUUCAUUGCUGUAACUUCUACCAAAAACUAUAAUACAACAAUUUCUGUUACUCAAAUUAGAACUAUGUGUUCAAUAUGCAUUAAGAACUCAACAGAAGCAAAAUCCCACUUCACAAAUCAACCGCGAAAGCUCAAAACUCAACAAUUUUUAGAUUUUGAUCACUAAAAACUUAAUUCCAAAAACCCAUUUAACUAUAUAGUCCCAUAAUCAUGUUUGAAUCCACAUAUUCACCUAACGAAAAUUAAAACCAGACCAAGAAUAUAUAUUUACAAAGAGAAAUUGAUUUAGAUAUGAGAAAGGGACCGUCAAUGUGAAAAGUUAAUUUUGAUCGAUUCCAAGACCAUUUUAUGAUCCUGAACACUUUGAAAAGCCAUUUUAAUGCAUGAAUCAUGAUAAUAAACAUUCAAUGAUUAUAAAUUCAAAUAUAUAACACAUUUAUCAUGCAUAUACAUCACACAAUCAUGAAACAUGUAAGCAUUCAAAGAUUAAUAAUUCAAGCAUAUAACUCAUUUAUCAUGCAUAGGCAAUACAAAGUCAUCAACAAUCAUCAAUCAAUCAAUUUUAAUAGCCUCAAUAACAUAAUUAGAGAUGUUAAUGCGAGAAAUUUCAUCAUCCCAAAUUCAUGCUGAAUUUUUUAAAAUUGUUCUUCACAAAGGGGUUUUGUAAAAAUAUUGGCAAGUUAUUUUUCCGUAGAGAUAAAUUCUAAUGCAAUAUCUCCCUUUUAAACAUAAUCUCUUAAGAAGUGAUGUCUAAUCUCUAUAUGCUUGGUUCUAGAGUGCUGAAUGGGAUUCUUUGAUAGGUUUAUAGCACUAGUAGUAUCACACAUGAUAGGAAUUUGUUCAAGAUUAAUGCCAUAAUCUCUAAGUAUUUGUUUCAUCCAAAGAGCUUAUGCACAACAACUACCUAUGACAAUAUAUUCUGUCUCGGUGGUUGAGAGUGCAACCAAGUUUUGUUUCUUACUAAACCAUGAAACAAGUGAAUGACCUUGGAAAUGACAAGUUCCACUAGUACUCUUCUUAUUGACCUUGUGACCGGAAAAAUUGGCAUCUGAAUAACAAGUUAAAUCUAUAUGAGUUCCUCUAGGAUACUAAAGACCAAAAUCUAUGGUUCCACUUAAAUAACGAAAAAUUCUUUUGAUAGCUAGUAAAUGAGAUUCUUUGGGAUAUGAUUGAAAUCUUGCACACAAACAUACACUAAACAUGAUAUCGGGUCUACUUGCAGUUAAGUAAAGUAAAGUAAAGAUCCGAUCAUACUUCGAUAUAUUUUGAUGUCAACAUCUUUACCUUUCUCAUCUUUGUUAAGCUUAAUUAUUGUGCUCAUUAGAGUGCUCUUGGUCUUUGAGUCAUCAAUGCCAAAUUUCUUGAGUAGAUCUUUGACAUAUUUAGCUUGGUUGAUGAAGAUUCCCUCAUUGUUUUGUUUGAUUUGAAGUCCAAGGAAAUACUUUAAUUCUCCCAUCAUGCUCAUUUCAAAUUCCUUACUCAUACAAAAAUGAAAACUCCUUGCACAUAGACUCAUUAGUAGAACCAAAGAUAAUACCAUCAACAUAAAUUUGAAUAGCAAGUAUAUCUUGGUUCUUAUGCUUAACAAAGAGACUAGUAUCUGAAUUUCCCAUUGAAAAACCAUUAUCCAACAAGAAAUUUUUAAGCCUAUCAUACCAUGCUCUGAGUGCUUGCUUCAAUCCAUACAAUGCUUUUGAAAACUUAUAAACAUAAUUUGGAAAUUUUUCAUUUUCAAAACCAGGGGGUUGUUUUACAUAAACCUCCUCCAUAAUAUAAUCAUUUAAAAAAGCACUUUUGACAUCCAUUUGAAAUACAAUAAAAAUAUUUAUAACAUGAAAAUGCUAACAGCAUCCGAAUGGAUUCUAAUCUAGCUACAGGUGCAAAUGUUUCAUCAAAAUCAAUUCCUUCUUCUUGGUUGUAUCAUUGAGCCACUGAUCUAACUUUAUUUCUUACAAUCACAUCGGAUUCAUCCAUUUUAUUUCUAAAUUCCCAGUUAGUACAACAGAUUGAUGUUCCGAUUGAGGAACUAAUUCCUGCACAUUAUUUCUCUCAAAUUGAUUUAACUCCUCUUACAUUGCCAUAAUCCAAGAUUCAUCAUUUUCAACAUCAGCAAAGGCUUUUAGUUCAAUUUGAGAUAUGAAUCCAGCAUGCUCACAUGUAUUCCUAAGUGAUGAUCUAGUGAUUACAUCUCACGAAGGAUCUCCUAAGAUUAAAUCUUUAGGGUGAGAAGAAACAUACCUCCACUCCUUGGGGAGUGCUUGAGAAGUACCUUUAUUUGGCUCCACAUUUGUUUCUUCAUGUUGCCCCUCUUGAUUUCCAGGCGGUGUAUCCUUUUGGUUAUCAUUUGAUGAAUCUUCUUGUCAUUCUUCAUCUGCAUCAUCAUCAACAACAACUUUCUUCACAAAAGAGGAGUUAGAUUCAUCAAACGUAACAUGCAUAGAUUCUUCCACAACUAAAGUUCUUUUGUUAUAAACUAUAUAAGCUUUGCUUGAGUUUGAAUACCCAAGAAAGAUGCCAACAUCAGAUUUUGGAUCAAAUUUUACCAAGAUAAUAUUUUGUGUUCAAAAUAAAACAUUUGCAUCCAAAAACUUUAAAAUAUCCAAUGUUGGGUUUUUUAUCUUUCCAAAACUCAUAAGGAGUCUUAUUGAGAUAAAGCUUAAUCAACACACGAUUUAAAACAUAACAAGUGGUGUUGAUGACUUCGGCCCAAAAAUACUUAGGCAAAGUAUUUUCAUUCAACAUGAUCCUAGCAAUUUCUUGAAUAGACCUAUACUUUCUCUCAACAACUCCAUUUUGUUGUAGAGUCCUAGGUGAUGAAAAUUGAUGCUCAAUGCUAAAAUCAUUACAAAAAUUCUCAAAUGCAUGAUUUUCAAAUUCUCCACCAUAAUCGCUUCUAAUAUAAGAAAUAUCAUAUCCCUUUUCAUUUUGAAUCUUUUUACAGAAAACCCUAAAUGCAUCAAAGGCAUCAUCCUUAUUAGUUAAGAAUAAUACCUAUGUGUACAUUAACUUGUAUAUGUUCUUUAUAAUGAUUUUGAUGAUAACAAACUCUGAAUGUUUCUGAUUAAAAUGUUGGAGUUUUUUGUUUAAUAAAUAUUUCAUUAAAAAGUCGUAUAAUACUUUCCUAAAAUAUGAGAAACCAUUAAACUUUAAACUGGGAAAAUAUCUUCUGCAAAAUGAUCAUUAAAACUGUGUUUCUGGAAAUAAAUGGUGAACCGUUAACAUUGAACCGGCUAACCGAUAAAUUCUAGAGAUGAGUAUUUUCUUAAACUUGAACCGGUUAGUAAAAAUGGGCAACACAAGUGUGCAGGGAAGGUUAUUGGAAUUAAACGGCUAACCGUUUAUAUCAAACGGUGAACCGAUAAUUUCCAGAAUGGAAAUAUGUGCUAACCUUGAACCAUUGAAGAAAAACGGAUAAGCCUAUUCUAUUUUGCGUGUUGCUGGAAAUAACCGGCGAACCGUUAAUUAACGGCAAACCGAUAGUGGCAAAUGGUCAACCGUUUAUUUGAAUUUCAGCUCAACGGUUACUUGGACAAGUAAAAACGGUUAACCGUUAAUGGUUAACGGCGAUCCGAUUUUGCGUAGAAAGUCAACAACGGCUAUAUUUCAGCUCCAACUAUAAACAAGCUCAUUCAAAUUCAAACAAGGGUUGAUCACAACGUUAUCAUUGAGCUUAUAAUCAAGAAUACAAUCUUCAUUGAGUCAAAAACACAUUCUUAUUCCACUUAUUCUUACAUUUGGGCAUUGAUUUGUAAUCAUAUACUUUGUGUGAGAGAAAAAUAAAUUUGUAAUAUUUGUUUGAGUGAUUGUAAGUGUUGGGAUACACUUGGGUUAAGAGAUUGGGGAUAAUCUCUUGGUGUAAAGGUUGAUUGACACCUUAGAAGUCAAUUAUAAGUGUUCUUGAAGCCUUGAAGGCUUAACUAAUGGAAUCCUCAAGCCUGGUGUGUUUGGAGGUGUGGACGUAGGCGAGGUUGGACGAACCACGUAAAAAUCUCCGUGUUUGAAUCUCUUUUCCCUUAUCUUUUUAUAUUUUGAUUGAUUUAUUUAUCAUUGCUUUUAUUUGUUUUAAGAUUUGCAUCUAGAUUCAAUUUGAUAUUGCAUAAUUCUUAGAAAUCCAAUUCACCUCCCUAUUGGGUUACUUAGAUAUUAUUUUAGUAUAUCUAGAAUAAUCAUCCACAAUCACAAAUGCAUAAUAUUUACCACUUAAACUAGCAUAUUGUUGGUUAAUUUCUAUAAGCAAUUAUUAUCAAUGCCAAUGUGCAAGUAUACACAACAAGUAAUAAAGUGAUGAGUAUUCAAGAUCGUCUCCACAGGGAUUAAUGUUACUCAAAAUGCUAAAGCAAAUCACAAUAAUGCAAAUCAAUUAAGGACCGAAACAAACAAUUGUCGAAUAAUUCUAUGUAACUAAUAAUUGUGAGAGAUGAAAAUAAAACAAUACUGUAAUGAAAUAAACUGAGUUGAAUGUGUCUAAGAUUCAAUUGAGAAUAUAGUAGUUGAAUGAUCAAACUCUCCUAAUGGGAUGACUGUUGUUUACCAAAUUAGUACCAGUUGUUACAAUAAGUGCUGCAGCAAUAGGUAGAAUAAAUUUGCAUCCGCAGCUAUCACAUGUUGGAAAUCUCAUACCUUUAAAUCUACUAACAAUGACCAGUUGCUCAUAUAUUUAUAGUAUGCCAUUUUAACCUGUAAUCUCUCUACCCUACAAGGUGAACACCUAUGUCUAGAGUGUCACAAAUCUUAACUUCAAGUAUUGCCCUUAUGGGAUUCAAGAUAACCUAAUCUAGGAAACUCGACUUAAGAACAAGUAAUACUCUAAUAAUGUCUGCUAAGACAUGCCCUUUUGCUGCUCUGUCUUAACUGAAACUAUUAAAUGGGUGGUCAACCGAAAUAACAGUUGUAUUGAUAAAAACUACUAGAGUAUAAUGCUACAGUAUUACCAUAACAACAUAAAAGAACAGUCAAGAACCCAUUGGAUUAUUUGUCACUCAACCACAAGUAAAUUUAGUUCUUAAUCUGAAUGAGAAAAAUAAACACAAAUAUAUUGGUCUCGGAAUACAUCAAAUCAAUUAAAGGAAAAAGAUAAAUAUAAGUUGAGCACAAUAAAAAUCAAAGUCAAGUAAUUCUGCACGAUUGUCCAAUGUUGCCAAAACAACACUCUUCAAUUCUGAUCUUCUUCUCCUUCGUUCCUUCUAAUUACUCUAAUGAUAAUUCCUUUCCGCCAUUCUAUGUGGUGCACGCCUCCUUUUUAUAUUGCAAAUUAGGUUAAAACCAAAGCCCAUGAGCGUGCAUGUGUUUAAAUUAGGAAACAUGCAGAUCACGACUUUAUGGCUGACUCGCGCUUAAAUUUUCUCCCGCACUGCUUCCAAAUUGCUACAGCACUGGUUGCUCUAACAGCCGCUACAACACUGUUUUAUUCCCGAUUGUGCUUUACUUCUUUUGUGCCCAUCUUCCUUCCUCCUCUUGCUCUUCUAAUGCCUCAACAUCCUCUCACGAAUUUAAAACCUACAAUUUAAAACCUGUUUUUAGCACAAAUUACUAUGAUUCAAUCAAAACUUAUUAAAACUCAUCUAAAAUGAAUGUUUAUGCAAAAGGUACCCAAAAUGUAAUAAAAACACCUUAUUUGUUCUCUAAGUGACCUUGAUUCAAGUCUAGAAUUGAUGUAAUAACUCUCAUUUCCUAGAGUUAUCACAUAUCUAAAAGGUCCAAACAAAUCUAUGUGAAGUAAUUGAAGUGGUUUUGAAGUAGAGACAUGAUUCUUUUUCUUAAAAGAUGUUUUGAUUUGUUUUCCAAAUUGGCAAGCUUCACAAAUUCUAUCUUUUUGAAAAAAGAUUUUUGGAAGACCUUUAACCAAAUCAUUUUUGGAAAUUUUUGAAAUUAAAUCCAUGCUUGCGUGUCCUAGUCUUCUAUGCCAUAACCAACCAUCAUCAUGUAAUGCGGAAAAACAUUUAUCAUGGGUAGAUGCACAAUCUAGAUUAAUGGUAUAAACAUUAACACAUCUAUUUCCUACAAACAAAAUAUUGCCAUCACAUGCAUUCUCAAUAAUACAUCUAGUUUUAUAAAAAAAAUAUUUUCAGGCUUUGAGAGCAAUGCUUUUCUUCUUCUCCUCAUUUCCUUUUUCUUCUGCCAAGUCUUUCUCAUAAGAAAUAAGAGAACUAAUCAAAUCAUCAAUAGAUAAGGUAUUUAAAUCUUUGGCUUCCUCAAUGGCAGUCCUCUUAGGUCUCCAUUCCUUUGGAAGUGACCUAAUAAUUUUCUUAACUUUCUCGCUAUUUAAGAAGAUCUUUCCUAGGGCUCCUAGAGUGUUUACUAUGUCCAUAAAUUUAGUAUAUAUAAAAUACACACUCUCAUUUUGUUCCAUUUGGAACAAUUCAUAUUGUCGAGUGUAUCUACUAAUUUUAAACUCUUUCACUUGAUUUGUGCUUUCAUAAACAACUUCAAGUUUGCUCUAAAUUUUCUGAGCAUUCUCAAAACUAGACACUCUAUGAAAUUCUUUCUUAUCAAGAGUACAAAACAAAGCAUUCAUUGCCUUGGAGUUGAAAGAUAUUUUUUUUCUUUUCUAACUCACUUCAUUGACUUGAAGGAUUUAGAAUAUCAUCUCCUACUUCUUUUUUAGUCAUAGGCAUGAAUGGACCAUCACAAACAACUUCCUAAAUUUUAUAAUCUAAAGUUUGUAAAUAAAUUCUCAUCCUAGUUUUCCAAUAUGGGUAGUCAUUACCGUCAAAGAACAGUGGUUUAGUUGUGGACUGUCCUUCCCUAAAGGUUGAGUCAUUUUGGUUUGCCAUGGAUCUUUUUCUUUAGACGGUUAAGUCCUAACAAGAGAACCAAGCUUUGAUACCAAAUAAAAUGCAAGUUAUGCAACCCAAGAGGGGGAGUGAAUUGGGAUUUUAAAACUUAAGCUAAACAUGUCACACAACAAUGUCAUUUGAGUUAACUAAUGCCCCCGCAACAUUUAUGGACCUCAUAAACCGGGUGUUUCAUCCUUAUUUAGAUCAGUUUAUUGAUGACAUUAUGAUAUAUUCACGUAACAAGGAAGGACAUGUAGAACACUUGAGGAUUGCUUUACAAACAUUGAGACAUUGACGGCUUUAUGCUAAAUUUAGUAAAUGUUAAUUCUGGCUAGAUUGAAUUGCAUUCUUGGGCCAUGUGAUUUCAGCUGACGGUAUUUAUGUGGAUCCCUAGAAAAUAGAAGCUGAAUUGAAUUAGGAGUGUCCAACUGGUGUAUCUGAGGUUAGAAGUUUUCUUGGAUUGGCAUGUUACUACUGCAGAUUCAUUUAAGGCUUUUCAAAGAUAGCUUUGUCUCUAACGAAACUGACAAGGAAAAAAGGGAAUUGCUUAUGCUUCUAUCAGGCAUAGAGGGAUUCAUACUUUAUAAUGCUGCUUCUAGACAGGGAUUAGGUUGUAUAUUGAUGUAGCAUGGAAAGGUAAUUGCUUAUGCUUCCCGACAAGUCAAGCAACAUGAACUGAAUUAUCCGACACAUGAUUUAGAGCUCGCAGCAAUGGUAUUUACUUUAAAGACUUAGAGACAUUAUUUAUAUGGAGCUACUUGUGAGAUUUAUACAGACCAUAAAAGCUUAAAGUAUUUAUACACACAAAAGGAAUUAAAUUUGAGACAACAUAGAUGGGCCGAGUUAAUUACAGAUUAUGAUUAUAUUAUCAAUUAUCAUUCAGGCAAGGCGAAUGUGGUAGUUGAUGCUCUCAGUCGGAAGUCUUCGAGUUUAGUCUCUCACUUAAAAAGUGUUGUACCUUUCGUUAUUAAUCGAUUUGAGGCCCUUGGGUACAAAUUUGGCAGUGGGUCAGAAUGAAGCACUUUUGGCACAUUUUCAAGUUAGGCCAAUUUUGAUUGAUCAGAUUCGAGAAAAAUAAUACGUUUGCAUGGAGCUCCUGUGUCUAUUGUUUCAUAUAGAGACUCACGAUUUACUUCUAGGUUUUGGCCAUCGCUACAACAGGCUAUAGGUACUAAAUUAAAUUUUAGUACUGUUUUUUAUCCGCAGACAGACGGGCAAUCAGAGAAGGUUAUUCAGAUUUUGAAAGAUAUGCUUCGAGCAUGUGUCAUGUAGUUUCAAGGUAAUUGGGAUAUGUAUCUGCUUUUGAUGGAGUUUGCUUAUAAUAAUAGCUGUGAGUCUAGUAUUCAGAUGGCACAAUUUGAGGCUCUCUAUAGAAGGAAAUACAGGACUCCAAUUUAUUGGGAUGAAGUCAGAGAAAGACAUUGUUAGGGCCAGAAAUUGUCCAGAGUACUAAUGAGAAGAUUAAUGCCAUCUGAGAAAAGUUGAGGGCACGAAGGACAAACAGAAGAGUUACACAAAUAAGCUGGAAGACCAAUUGAGUUUGCUGUGGGUGAUAAAGUUUUCUUAUAGAUUUCUCCUUACAAGGGCAUUUUUCGAUUUGGAAAACGUGGAAAGUUGAGCCCUCGUUAUAUAGGCCCAUAUGAGAUUAUUCAGCGAGUUGGUUUGGUUGCUUAUCGUUUGGCUUUACCUCCAGAGUUAUCAAGAGUUCAUGAUGCUUUUUUAUGUUUCGAUGCUAUGAAAGUAUAUUCCUAACCCUUUUCAUGUUUUAGAUACAGAACCAGUCCAAAUGACAAUAAAUUUAACUUAUGAAGUAGAACCAGUUCAGAUACUCGAUCGGAAACAACAUGUGUUACGUAAUAAGAUGAUCACAUUGGUUAAGGUAAUGUGGAAGGGUCAUAAAAUAGAGGAAGACACUUGGGAGCGUGAAGAACAAAUACGGUCACAGUAUACAUAUUUAUUUCAGUAAGGUAUGUGAAUUUCAAGGAUAAAAUUUUUGUAAGUUGGGAGGAAUUGUCAUGCACGGCUUGGAAAAAAAAAGGCCAAGCGUGGCUGAUUUCAAGAGCAACAGCCAGCUGCAUGCUCAUCAUUUUGGUUGCUUGCUUCACCAGCUUGCUUCAUCAAUUUACUUGUUAUCUUGUUUAACUUGGUGGCUAUAUAAAGCACAAAUGUUGAGAGUGCUUCAUUUUAUACAUCUAAAGGAUUGAGAGCAAAACUGAGAGAAGAAAAGAAGAAAAAUAGAGAGAAAAGAGAAGAGAAAAGAGAAGAAAAAAGAAAAGAAAAGAAGAAAAGAAAUAGAAAGAAGCUGAGUAUGGGAAAUGAAGUAAAAUUAAGAGGAAAUAAUACGGGAAUUAAAACUGGACAAUUAGAUUUAUAAAGUGAGUUAGUGGUAAUAGAUUUAUGAAAUUUAAGUAGUUAUGAUUUAAUUUACCUCCUACGUAUAAGUUCUUAUAUUAGUUCUAAUAGUUAAUUUUUGAAUCCUAUAUUCUAGGAGGAACUUGAUAAUUCAAUAACCUAGAAGAGCCCCAACGAGCCCUAGAGUGAAACAGGAUCUGUGAGUGAAUACUAUUACUAUUAUAUAUUCCAUGAAGCGUUUAUUUUUGAUAAUAUGAUUUAAUAUUAUGUUAUGAUUACAUGUACGCACAUUAUAUAUUUUAUUGAGUCAUGAGAUGUGAUUGUCAAUCACCAUAUAUGUAUCCUUCCCCAUAGGCUCUGCGCAUGCGUAUUGAGGUUAUGUUACUCUACCCGUGUGAGAUAGUUUAAUUAUGCCGGGUAUUGAGAGGCUUUUCCCCUCUUUACUCGUUCGAUGAUGAUCCCGACGAGUAUUGAGAGUUAGGUUACUCUACCCGUGCAAGAUAGUUUAAUUACGUUGAGUAUUGAGAGGUUUUUUCCCCUCUUUACUCGUGCGAUGAUGAUCCCGAAAAGCAUUGAGAGUUAUUUCCCCUGGUUAUUAUUUGGUGCAGUUUGUGAUGUAUGUAUGUAUGAAUUCCAUGUCUGUUAAUGUAUGAUAUUUGAUGUAGAGUUAUGAUCAUGUAUAUAUAUCCUAAUACGAUAUUUUAUAUAUAUACGUAUAUUUACAUCCACUCAUUGAGCUACAAGCACACUAUUUUUCUAUUUACCCUUUUUAUCCCAGGAUUCUGCAGGAUUUCGUGCAGAUUAGUUCUAAUUAAUUGAGGUUGGGCCACGAGACGCAUUGCUGCAUGUCUUGCAUUUUGAGCACUUUUAUAAUGCUUUUUUUUAUAUGUAUAUUUAUAAUUUCAGUGUCAGUAUGUAUAAUGAGACAUGAGCUAUGCAAGUUUUAAAUACAUAUAUAUUUUCAGAAAAAGGCUCAGAGGUUGUUACGUGCUUAUAGUAAAGGUCAUAUUAUAUACAUAUAUUCAUGAAUUAAAUUUGUGCCACGAGUUUUAGCUACUAGAUCGCAUGAUUCGCCUCGGAUUCGACAUAUAGAUCAGGGCAGGUCUUGUCAGAUAAUGAUUCUGUCAUUUAUGUCUUUAUUGCCUUGCCUUUUUCUUUUGGCUUAUAUUCCCUUUUUGCUUUAGCUUUAGCUUUUCCUUUGUCAAAAUGGUCAGUCAAACUUGGAUCAUGAUUAUCGAGCUUGCACUUGAGGUCAUCAAUGGUUACUCCUUCUGAUAAGAAUCCAAAGACUACCCUUCCUAUAUCUGAGUCGGUGUAAGCCCUUAUUUCCUUGUCUUGAUCAUGAUUCCCUUAUGUUGAGAUAAUGAAUAGAGAGAGUUUAAGAGGCUGGUAGUUAUCAUCUUUAUUGUGAUAAUAAUAAAACUUAAUCCACCAUCUUGUUGAAAUUAUCCUCAUAAGUUUUGGGACAGUUUCUUUUGGACUAGUGUGACACUUAAAAUUAAAAUUAUAUUCCCACUUCAUGAUGCAUAAAAUAGCAUGAGAUCCUACGAAAUACAUUGUGUUCUCCAGACAGCUUCCAAAGCUGUUCUUGUCAUAGAAUUUAUCAAAACUUUCCUUUAGGGGAUAAGGUAAAAUUGCAUUAUCCAAUCCCCAAAACUUGAACAGAAGAAUUCAAAAAACCAGUUAGGGUAUUUGAAAAAUUCAAAGAUAAUGAAGAACUGUAAGUGCAACAUUUUUUCGUUCUGGAGAAACAGAGCUUGUUCCCAUGCAUGAACAUAAUCAUAAUAAUUAUAUUCAGAGGGUUUAAGCCUCUUAUCUUUAAAGCGUCUUCUGAGUACAGGCGUAGCCUCUUAUCCUUAUUGUCGUAUGUUGAUGAUCGUUAAGACCUUUAUAACUGUAUAACCAACUUUUGUGUCACCACGAGCAAGUUUCUGUUAAGACUUGCUCAUAAAAUCAUUGAUCUUUUAUAAGAAUGUGAUAAUGAGAAUAACCUACAAGAUAAAGGUCAGCCACAUCAUUUGGUUUUAAGUUGAUGUGUUCAUCUAUGAAUGCUACAGGAAUUAAGUCGUUAAGGUAGUAAGGGGUUUCAUCCAUCUUCUGCAUCGUGGUUGGGGACGCUUUAAGUUAUCUUUGAGAUGAAGAUCAUGAGCUAACUUUUCUUGAAGCCCUACAAGAAUUCUCUAGUUAGAAAAUCUGUCGAGGAAUUAUUUUCUCCUCUUACAUACUCUAUAUUAAAAUCAAGGACAGAAAGCAUAGCUUGCCAUCUAGCAAAUAUCAGUUUCGAAAUUAUAUUUUUGACAUCCAUUUCUAAUGCAUCUUUAGCAGACCUGCAAUAUAUUCUAAGGAGGAAUUUUUUGUUCCAAAAACUAUCCUGGAACUUGGAAGCACAUAAAACCACUAACAAAAUUUCCUUUUUUAUGGUUGAAUAGUUUUGUUGAGUAGGUUCCAUGCUCCUGAAGUGAACCUAACUAAACUCUUUUUGCCCCCCAAAAUUCUUUGAGGAUACUACCACAGCCUAGGUCUGAGGCAUUAGUUUUUACUAUGUUAGAGGCAUCAGGAUGGGUAAUGUUAAACAUGCUAGCUCUUUAACUUUAAGCUUAAGCUUUUGAACUACCUUUGUACAUUCAAGUGUCCAUGAAGAAGGGUUUUUUUUCGCAAUCUAGAAUAUAAAGGUUUAGCAUCUUUAGCUAGAUCUUGACAGAAGUCUAUCUAUGUAAUUAAGACUUACUGUAAAUCUUUGCAAUUACUUUUAUCCCUAAUUUCAUCAAGAAAUUUUAAAGUAGAUUCGACAGCUCUAUCAAAUGGCUUGAUCGUCCCUUUAGAAAUACUUUGUCUAAGAAAAUUGACGGACGUUUGGAAUAACUUCAUUUUCUUGGACGAAACAACUAUACUAGCAUUCUUAACAGCUUCAUAAAAAGCAUUCAAAUGCUUAAAGUGCUAAUCUAUAAACUUAGAAUGUAUUCGAACAUCAUCAAUGUAGACAACAAUAAAUCAUGUAUAAGAAUUAAAAUGUCAUUCAUGAUGUUCUGGAACUCUGACGGGGCAUUUUCUAAACUAAAUGGCAUUAUGUUUCAUUCGUAAUAACCGAAAAGGACUGCGAAAGCUGCCUUGUUGUAACAUAUGUGAAUUUCAAAAUAAAAUGAGGCGGUUAAGGAUUUUGGAGGUUCAGGAUUUUAUUAAACAAAAGAAGAAGCUGGAAAAAACAGAGCAAAAAACCAGAAGCUACACGUGUGUGAGAGAGUGAGAGAGAGAAGCCGUCAACCCGACCCGAAAACCCGACCCGGAACCCGCGACCUUGACCCGACCAUAUCUCCCAUUUCCGGCCACCGUUUCGGCCGAGCUUGGUACCAAUCUGAAGCUUACAAGCCGUCCGUCGUUCCCCUGCCAUCCUCGCUGCCGAAAACCAACCGUAACGCCGGUGAUCGAAGCUUUAAACCCGCGACUGUUUCACUUUACUCCGCCCGGAUUUUCGCCGGUUUUGGGUGACACCACCGGUUGGAUCUUGUUCCCCACGACUCCCUCUUCCACUUCCGAUCAUCCAUAGGCACCGAGAGUCACUGUUUUGCCGCCGGUCGAUUGUUGGAAUUCACGGCUGCCGAGCUCGAUUCCGGCGCCUUUGCCGCGCGUUGGAGCUCACCGCCGGUACCAAUGAACUAAGCGUGAUUGGAACUUUCAGAUUUGAGCUUCCUAGCCAGCGUUGACCAAAUUCCGGUGACCGUUGACCGGCAAUGGCAUUUUGGUAAUUUCACACUAUGAGGGCAAUUUUGUAAUUUCUGAGCCUGUGGAUAUUUUAGUAAUUCCUAGAAUUGAGGAUUGGGUGUAAUUACGAUUCCGAGGGUAAUUCGGUGAUUUACGAUUUCAGAGCAUGUUAAUGAUUUACGGACUCAAGGGCAUUUUAGUAAUUUUAUGGACACUGGAGUUGUCAAUUUUAGAUAGAUGUUCGUUUUGAGUUUAUUGCAUAAAUUGAGUCGUAAUUCCAAUUUACGGAAAAUAAUUAUGUCGUUUCCUUGAUUUAGGAGGAUCUACGAGCGAUAACCGGUCCACGGACGUGGACGAUAACCGAUCGUGAACACUGUCACUGUGAGUGGAAUAUACAAAACCUAUUUUCAUAGUUAAUUAUGAUAGUAAUGCAUGUUUGUGAAAUAAGUAUUUUGAAUGUUCUGAUUUAAUGAUUUCCUCGAAAUGGAUUUUUAUUUACGCAUUGGUAUUUUAUUAAAAUGUUUGGUUCUUGAUUUGCGUAUCGACUUUGAAUAAAGCAUGAUAAUAUUUUAAAGAUAAGAAAAGUGGAUUCAAAUGUGGUAUGAUUUCAAGUAUGAUUAAAAGAUAUGUGAAUAUGAGUAUAAUGAUUGUUUUUGAAAUCAUUAGACAAUACAUUUCCCCUCCAGAUACAGUGAUACAGGUGAUAUGAGAUGAGAGGCCUUUGGGGCCCGUCUGAACACACAUAGAGGCUUUGGGCCGUGUGUUUGAGCGCUUUUGCCUUUUGGGGGCAUAUGCAUGCGGUAUGAUGAUUACAGAGAUACAGAUAUAAGAUACAAACAGAUAUUGAGAUACAGAUGAUACAGAUGAGUUACAGGCCUUUGGGGCCCGUCUGAGUACACAUAGAGGCUUUGGGCCGUGUGCUUGGGCGUUUUAUUAUGCAUGCACAAAUAUGAUGAGAUAUGAGAUGGUAUUUCCCUGUCUAUCCGUGUAGCUCCGGGGCAUGACGUUACCCAGAUAAUACGUCAUUGCCCGUCCGUUGAGGUCCGGAUAUGACGAGAUUAUUUCCCUGGGUACUUGUUUGGUGACAAUUUUCAGAUUUGUGAAUUCUAUAUGAUAUUGUGAUAUGAUUUCCAUGGUUAGUAAUCUGAUUUAAAUGUUUAAUGAUUUAUUAUUGAUUUCUCGCUUAUGGUUUAAUGAAAUCGUGUUUGGAAAUGAGAUGAUUAUUUCUUUUAAAGUAAAAAUUAAUUUUCAAAACUACUAUCCACUCACUGAUCUCACUGAGUUUUAAACUCACCCUGUUUUUAUUAUAUUUCCCUCCCCCCCUCACCAGGAGGUUGCAGGUACACCAGACCUACCCAGCGACCGUAAAUAUAUUUUGAGUCUUGGCCACGUGAUGAUGUUAGAAGAUAUAGAUGUUUUUGUUAGGACAUCUCGGUCAUCUUGUUCUUUUGGGAUUGUAUAAUUUUUUUAUAUUCUUCUUUUGGGAUUAAGAAUAAACUGAGAUAUUAAUAUUAGUUAUAAUAUUAUCUUUUGAGACUCUGGAGAUAUAAAACUCAGCAUCUUGGUUGAGGAUGUUGAGCACUGGAGUUUGUUGUAUAUUGAAUUGUAUUGGAAGUGUUAUAUUCAUAUUUGUAGAUUGGGAGUGGUAUAUAUAUAAAGGAGAUUCUGCCGAAAAUUCGGCUGAAUCUUUACGAAUAGAAUUAUUAUCAAGUCCGUUUUGAUGAGACUAGAUAGACUCGCCUGGGGGGAUUCGGGGCGGGUCGUUUCAGUUGGUAUCAGAGCAUGGUUUUAGAUUCUGUAGACUUUACUGUCUUUAUAAGACUAAGUUUUAUCUUUAUUAAAGUUAGAAUUUAUCUCUUGUAGGCACCAUCAUGCUUCAUCGUGGCAGUAGACGUGGCCGUGGCCGUACUAGGCCAAUAGUUGGGUUGACUUCUGGUAGUGUACCUGCGGGGGAAAGUGAACCCGCGAAUGAGGGGAUAGUUGAAUCCUCCACGCAUGAAAUUGCACAACAGACACCGGGGAAUGCCCCGAAUAUUGAGCAGUCAUUUGAUAGGCUGGUUCAGAUCAUGACUACAGUUGUGCAAAAUCAGACUCAAGCGCAUGUCGGUAACGCAAACACUAUUGAGCGAGUGAGGAGUUUAGGGGCGAGGAGCUUUAAUGGUUCCGGAGAACCACCUGAGGCUGAGUCAUGGUUUGUUAAGUUAGAGCGUAUUUUUAUCGUGAUGAAGUGUUUGGAGGAUGGCAGAUUAUCCUUCGCCACUUUCUUGCUCGAGGAUAGAGCUUACCAUUGGUGGCAGACUGUGGAGAGACGAUAUCAGGGGCAUGCUGCGAUUACUUGGGCCAUUUUCCGCAAGGAAUUCUACGAUUAUUAUUUUCCUGAUGUGUAUCAGGAUAUUAAACGAAGUGAAUUCUUUCGGUUGGUUUAGGGAUCUCUGACAGUUGAGGAGUAUGAGAAGAAAUUUUUAGACCUCUCUAGAUUUGCUACAUCUGUAGUCGGUGAUGAGAGUGAGAGAUGUAGACGGUUCGAGGAUGGCCUCCGAUUUGAGAUUCGCACCACCGUGACUACAUCACGAUAUACUGAGUUUGGAGAGGUGGUUAAGGCAGCCAGGAGAGUAGAGCACAGUAUUUCAGAAGGACGUAGAUUUCAUGCACUGAAGCAGAAGCGUAGCCAGAGCUGGGCAGUGGGUGACUCUAGUAGUAGGCCGCCCAAGAGAGGGGGUAUUCCUACGAGUUAUUCUGAUAGUACGUAAAGGAGUCAGAGUACAGGCUUCAGGGGAGACGCGAGACAGGCUGUCAGUCAAAGCUCUGUGCAACCAUCAGUGGGGAGUAAUACCAAGAAUCAGGGACAGUACGACCGCAGUGGUAGGGGAUAUCGUGAUGAUCGUUCUAGGAGUUUCCAGCAGACUUCUUGCCCUUCAUGUGGCAGGAAUCAUCAGGGCCAAUAUCGCGUUGAAGACAGAGUUUGUUAUUUAUGUGGUCAGCCUAGACACAUCAGGAGAUUCUGCCCUACUUCAUCUCAGGGUGAUAACUCUACAGGAGGGACAGCCUCACGGUAUCAGCCUUACUCUGGCCAGACUCAGGGUCAGAAAGGAGUGCAGACAGGAGGUUCUACAUCUACCUUUAAGAGUCAGAUGACUGCUCCAGGUCAGAGAGGUCAGCCUGGUCGACCUCAUAAUCAGGCUCGAGUUUUUCCUUUGACGCAGCAGGAGACACGUGCUGCACCAGAAGUUAUUAUGGGUAUAUUAUCUAUCCUUGGCCGCGAGGCUCAUAUUCUUAUUGAUCCUGGAUCCACACACUCUUUUGUUUCUCGUACGUUUGCUAUGCACAUAGGGCGAGAGCCUGAACUGCUAGAUUGCGAUUUAGUUGUUCGUACACCUGCCGGAGAGUCAUUACUUGCUGAGAGUGUGUAUCAAGAUUGUAUGAUUGGAAUGGGUGAACAUGCAUGUGAGGCAAAUUUGAUUUCCUUAGAUAUUUAUGACUUUGAUGCUAUUUUGGGCAUGGAUUGGCUUGAAUCUCAUUAUGCUAUGGUGGAUUGUUUCAAAAAGGAGGUUGUGUUUAAAAAGCCAGGGAAAGCUGAGGUGAAAUUCUGUGGGGAGUGCAAAGUUCUACCUUCAUGUGUUAUAUCUGCUCUUAGUGCAAGAAGGUUGCUAAGAAAAGGAUGCUCAGCUUAUUUAGCUCAUGUGAUAGAUACAGAAGCUCGAGAAUUGAGAUUAGAGGAUAUUACAGUAGUUAAAGAAUUUCCAAAUGUAUUUCCAAAUGAACUUCCUGAGAUGCCACCUAACAGAGAAGUUGAGUUUUCUAUUGACUUAGUUCCUGGAACAUCUCCAAUAUCUAUGGCACCGUACAGAAUGGUUCCAGCAGAAUUGAAGGAAUUGAAGGUUCAAUUACAAGAGUUGGGGGAGAAAGGGUUUAUUAGACAUAGUGUGUCCCUGUGGGGAGCUCCAGUCUUGUUUGUUAAGAAAAAUGAUGGGACUUUUAGACUCUGCAUCGAUUACAGGCAGUUGAAUAAAGUUACGGUACGCAAUAAGUAUCCACUUCCGCGUAUUGAUGACUUGUUUGAUCACCUCCAAGCGCCAAAAGUAUUUUCUAAGAUCGAUUUGCGCUCGGGUUACCAUCAGCUUAGAAUUAAAGAUGUUGACAUUCUUAAAACAGCAUUUAAAACCCGUUAUGGGCACUAUGAGUUCUUAGUGAUGCCAUUUGGGUUGACAAAUGCCCCAGCUGCUUUUAUGGACCUGAUGAAUAGGGUAUUUCGCCCGUACUUCGAUCGGUUUGUGAUUGUAUUCAUUGAUGAUAUCUUGGUGUAUUCCCGAAGCGAGGAGGUGCAUGCAGAGCAUUUGCGGACUAUUUUACAGACUUUGAGACAUAAUCAAUUGUAUGCCAAGUUCAGUAAAUGCGAGUUCUGGUUGGACAGAGUAGUAUUUUUGGGCCAUGUGAUAUCAGCGGAAGGCAUUUAUGUUGAUCCUCAAAAGAUUGAAGCAGUUGUGAAAUGGGAACGGCCUACAAAUGUCACAGAGGUUCAAAGUUUUCUUGGAUUGGCUGGUUAUUAUCGUAGAUUUGUGGAAUGAUUCUCCAAGAUUGCUACUCCUCUGACACGGUUAACCAGAAAGAAUGCUAAGUUCCAAUGGGAUGAUAACUUUGAGAAGAAUUUUCAAGAACUUAAGACAUGUUUGACCUCAGCACCAGUUCUUACACUUCCAUCUGGUAAUGAAGGAUUUGUGGUUUACAGCGAUGCCUCUAGGCAGGGAUUGGGUUGUGUAUUGAUGCAGCAUGGGAAAGUGGUGGCUUAUGCUUCUAGAAAACUUAAGAAGCAUGAACAAAACUACCCAACACAUGACUUAGAGCUAGCAGCAGCAGUGGUGUUUACGAUGGGAAAUGACGGAGUCUUAUUCAUGGGUAAUAGACUCUGUGUACCUGAUAUUAAAGAUCUGAAAGAAGAGAUUAUGGAAGAAGCUCACUGUUCAGCAUAUGCGAUGCAUCCUGGUAGUACAAAGAUGUACCGUACCCUGAGAGAUCAUUAUUGGUGGCAGGGCAUGAAGAGAGAGAUAGCAGAAUUUGUUUCUCGAUGUUUAGUCUGUCAGCAGAUUAAGGCUGAACACCAGAGGCCUGCAGGGUGUUCUCAGCCGCUUCCUAUUCCUGAGUGGAAGUGGGAGCACAUCACCAUGGAUUUUGUAGCGGGACUUCCACGUACUUAGAAAGGACAUGAUGGUGUUUGGGUGAUUGUUGAUCGACUUACAAAAUCUGCUCAUUUCUUACCUUUCAAGACCACCUACUCGAUGGACAAGUUGGGGAGUAUUUAUGUGGCUGAAAUAGUUCGAUUUCAUGGAGUACCUGUGUCCAUAGUCUCAGAUAGAGAUUCCCGAUUUACUUCUAAGUUCUGGACUAGCUUGCAAAAUGCCUUAGGCACCAAGUUGAACUUCAGUACAGCUUUUCAUCCACAGACUGAUAGACAGUCAGAGCGUACUAUUCAAACUCUGGAGGAUAUGUUGCGAGCUUGUGUUAUGGAGUUUAAAGGUAAUUGGGAUAAUUAUUUACCUCUGAUGGAGUUUGCUUACAACAACAGUUAUCAAGCUAGUAUCGAGAUGGCACCAUAUGAGGCUUUGUAUGGUAGAAAAUGCAGGACUCCAGUAUAUUAGGAUGAAGUUGGUGAGCGGAGGUUAUUCGGUCCAGAACUAGUCCAGGAUACGAACGAGAAUAUACAAUUGAUUCGGGGUAGAUUAAAGGUGGCCCAAGAUAGAUAGAAGAGCUAUGCAGACAAGCGUAGGCAGGAACUUGAAUUCGAAGUUGGUGAUAGAGUUUUUAUACGGAUAUCUCCUUGGAAAGGGGUGCUUCGAUUUGGGAAACAUGAGAAGUUAAGUCCACAUUACAUUGGGCCAUAUGAGAUCAUUAAGCGCAUCGGUCCGUUAGCUUAUCGAUUAACUCUACCACCCGAGUUAUCCAGAAUCCAUGAUGUGUUUCAUGUCUCAAUGCUCCGGAAGUACAUAUAUGACCCGAGUCAUGUGUUAUCGAAGCAACCAAUUCAGUUAAAGGAAGAUUUGACUUACGAAGAGGAACCAGUGGAGAUACUGGAAGAGAAACACCAAGUUCUGCGUUCUAAGACCAUUCCUCUAGUAAAAGUGCGGUGGAGGAAUCAUACAAAGGAAGAGGCUACCUGGGAACGCGAGGACUUCAUGCGAGCUCAGUAUCCUUGUCUUUUCUUAUCAGGUACGUAAAUUUCGAGGACGAAAUUUUUAUAAGGGGGGAGGAUUGUAACAUAUGUGAAUUUCAAAAUAAAAUGAGGCGGUUAAGAAUUUUGGCGGUUCAGGAUUUAUUAAACAAAAGAAGAAGCUGGAAAAAACAGAGCAAAAAACCAGAAGCUACACGUGUGUGAGAGAGUGAGAGAGAGAAGCCGCAACCCGACCCGAAAACCCGACCCGGAACCCGCGACCUUGACCCGACCAUAUCUCUCAUUUCCAGCCACCGUUUCGGCCGAGCUUGGUACCAAUCUGAAGCUUAGAAGCCGACCGUCAUUCCCCUGCCAUCCUCGGCGCCGAAAACCAACCGGAACGCCGGUGAUCGAAGCUUUAAACCCGCGACUGUUUCACUUUACUCCGCCGGGAUUUUCGCCGAUUUUGGGUGACACCACCUGUUGGAUCUUGUUCCCUACGGCUCCCUCUUCCAUUUCCGAUCAUCCAUAGGCACUGAGAGUCACUGUUUUGCCGCCAGUCGAAUGUUGGAAUUCACGGCUGCCGAGCUCGAUUCCGGCGCCGUUGCCGCGCGUUGGAGCUCACCGACGGUACCAUUGAACUCAGCGUGAUUGGAACUUUCAGAUUUGAGCUUCCUAGCCAGCAUUGACCAAAUUCCAGUGACCGUUGAUCGGCAAGGGCAUUUUGGUAAUUUCACACUAUGAGGACAAUUUUGUAAUUUCUGAGCCUGUGGAUAUUUUAGUAAUUCAUAGAAUUGAGGAUUGGGUGUAAUUACGAUUCCGAGGGUAAUUCAGUGAUUUACGAUUUCGGAGCAUGUUAAUGAUUUACGGGCUCAAGGGCAUUUUAGUAAUUUUAUGGACACGGGAGUUGUCAAUUAUGGAUAGAUGUUCGUUUCGAGUUUAUUGCAUAAAUUGAGUCGUAAUUCCGAUUUACGGAAAAUAAUUAUGUCGUUUCCUUGAUUUAGGAGGAUCUACGAGCGAGAACCGGUCCACAGACGUGGAUGAUAACCGACCGUGAACACUUUCACUGUGAGUGGAAUAUACAAAACCUAUUUUCAUAGUUAAUUAUGAUAGUAAUGCAUGUUUGUGAAAUAAGUAUUUUGAAUGUUCUGAUUUAAUGAUUUCCUCGAAAUGGAUUUUUAUUUACGCAUUGGUAUUUUAUUAAAAUGUUUGGUUCUUGAUUUGCGUAUCGACUUUGAAUAAAGCAUGAUAAUAUUUUAAAGAUAAGAAAAGUGGAUUCAAAUGUGGUAUGAUUGCAAGUAUGAUUAAAAGGUAUGUGAAUAUGAGUAUAAUGAUUGUUUUUAAAAUCAUUAGACAAUACCCUUCCCCUCCAGAUACAGUGAUACAGGUGAUAUGAGAUGAGAGGCCUUUGGGGCCCGUCUGAACACACAUAGAGGCUUUGGGCCGUGUGUUUGGGCGCUUUUGCCUUUUGGGGGCAUAUGCAUGCGGUAUGAUGAUUACAGAGAUACAGAUAUGAGAUACAAACAGAUAUUGAGAUACAAAUGAUACAGAUGAGUUACAGGCCUUUGGGGCCCGUCUGAGUACACAUAGAGGCUUUGGGCCGUGUGCUUGGGCGUUUUAUUAUGCAUGCACAGAUAUGAUGAGAUAUGAGAUGGUAUUUCCCUGUCUAUCCGUGUAGCUCCGGGGCAUGACGUUACCCAGAUAAUACGUCAUUGCCCGUCCGUUGAGGUCCGGAUAUGACGAGAUUAUUUCCCUGGGUACUUGUUUGGUGACGAUUUUCAGAUUUGUGAAUUCUAUAUGAUAUUGUGAUAUGAUUUCCAUGGUUAGUAAUCUGAUUUAAAUGUUUAAUGAUUUAUUAUUGAUUUCUCGCUUAUGGUUUAAUGAAAUCGUGUUUGGAAAUGAGAUGAUUAUUUCUUUUAAAGUAAAAAUUAAUUUUCAAAACUAUUAUCAACUCACUGAUCUCACUGAGUUUUAAACUUACCCCGUUUUUAUUAUAUUUCCCCCCCCUCACCAGGAGGUUGGAGGUACACCAGACCAACCCAGCGACUGUAAAUAUAUUUUGAGUCUUGGCCACGUGAUGGUGUUAGAAGAUAUAGAUGUUUUUGUUAGGACAUCUCAGUCAUCUUGUUCUUUUGGGAUUGUAUAAUUUUGUUAUAUUCUUCUUUUGGGAUUAAGAAUAAACUGAGAUAUUAAUAUUAGUUAUAAUAUUAUCUUUUGAGACUCUGGAGAUAUAAAACUCAGCAUCUUGGUUGAGGAUGUUGAGCACUGGAGUUUGUUGUAUAUUGAAUUGUAUUGGAAGUGUUAUAUUCAUAUUUGUAGAUUGGGA
rnacentral:lncRNA from 1 species